rnacentral:lncRNA from 1 species
AACACAAUACCUUCAGACACUGUUUCGUAAGUUGUAAACCAAUCCCGAUUGGGACUCAUGUGAAAGGUGCAACCCGAAUCAAGGAUCCACUCAUCGCUCGCUUUGGAAUUGCUGACAGAAGCGACUAGAAGUUCACCAUCACUGUAAUCUUCUACAACAUCAGCUUUACCAGAAUUUUCUAGUUGUUUUCCAUUUUGAUUCGCAGCCACCCUUUUAAUCUUGUUCUGUAGCUUAUAGCACUCAGAUUUAAUGUGCCCUUUCUUCUUGCAAAAGUUACAAGUUUUACCUUUGUUUGAAGACUUCGAUCUACCCUUAGAUUUACUGCGAGGAUUCUGUUCCUGUGUCCUUCCACGAUCAUCAUCAGCAUUUCGAUCUUGUCUCCCACGAACAAUAAGACCCUCUCCCUGAGAGUCAGUUUUAACCACAAUAUGUUUCAGCUUAUCAUACGAGGUUAAAGAAUCAUAAACCUCAUCAACUGUGAGAGGCUCGCGGCCAUAUAAAAUCGUAUCUCUAAAGGUUGAAUAAGACAGGGGCAACGAACAAAGUAGAAUUAACCCUAGAUCUUCCUUAUCAUACUGAACCUCCAUGGCCUCCAAGUUUGAGAGAAUUUCUUUGAAUACUGUUAAGUGUUCGUGCACAGAUGCACCUUCCUCCAAACGAUGAGCAUAAAGACGCUGCUUCAUAUGUAGCUUACUAGUUAGAGUUUUAGACAUACAUAUCUGUUCCAACCUCUUCCAUAAUCCAGCGAUAGUCUUUUCCUUCAUCACAUCCUGCAAAAUUUCGUUAGACAAAUGCAGAUGUAACUGUGUUAUCCUUGCGCUUCUUCUCUUCUUCCGUCAAUGUUGAAGGCAUCUUAUCUACCCCUAGUAGGGCUUCCUCUAAGUCCAUCUGUGCAAGAACUGCUUGCAUCUUUAUCUGCCACAACGCAAAUCUGGUGUUACGAUCCAACAGCGAAAUUUCGUACUUCAAAGAUGUCAUUACUAUGAUUGAGAUGAACAACCCGGAAGCUUUAAUACCAAUUUGAGAAAAAUAUAAUGUCGGUAAUGACAAUAUAUCGCAAAGAAAAAUAGAAAUAGAAAAAUAAAGAACACACAGAUUUUACGUGGAAACCCUUUUGGGAAAAAAUCACGGGCAGAGGAGAAGAAAAUUCACUAUGUGGAAUUCGAAUUAUUUACAAGAGGAGUAGACUAUGCCUAUUUAUAGGCUUGUAAACCUUAUUCUAAUAAGAGUGAAACUCCUUAUUCUACUAAUAAUAUCAAAUAGAUGGAGUUUAAUAAGGUUUAAAAAACCUUAUUUUAAAAUAAAAUAAAAGAAGUAUAAUUCUAUAAGGAUUUUACUUUUAUUUUAUUUUACCACAGUAUUUAAUUUAAAUAAGGAUUUGUGUCACUUAAUUCUAACAUUAUUUUUCUCCACUAAUAACAGAAGGUUGAUAAACCGAUUGAUCAUUAUUGCUUUCUGACACCUUUUUCGAGAAAAAAGAUUCAAUCUUUUUGUUUAUCAUAAUUUAAUUGAAAAAACUGAAGACUAUAAUAAUAUAUUAAAUAACAACAUAUUAGGAAAAAAUAAUAAUAAUAAGUCAAAUAAAUAAAGAACAUGAUUUAUGCAAAAAUAUUUACUAGGAGAUCUUUUGUGUAAGGAGCCGAGAGGAGAUAAUUUGUAAUUUUUUUACUCUAUGCUCUCAGUCUAGACAUCAAACUCCUUUCUUUUUCUCUCGGCAGUGUUUGCACUUUAUCAGAGGAAGAUAAUUCCUAAGCAAGACAUAUAAAUCAAAAUAAAAGAAAGUCACUAACCUAAUAUGUAUGGGUAUGAACCAAAUUAAUUUAUUCUAGAAUUUGGGUUUAAAGUUCAUAUUGGGCUUCUAAGUUUAGUCUUUUAAGGCCCUUUAUACAUUAAUAUUUGAUUAUUAUUAUUUUGCCAAAGGGGCAAAUAUUGUACAAUGUAGAUACGAAAUCUAAAAUAUAUGACAAUUUAUAUAUAAAAGUAAAAUAUCUAAAAAUUCUAAGGGGAAAACCACCCCAGCCCCCUGGAUCCAUCUUUGAAGAUGACUUUGGUGUAGUAAGAUUUCAAAGCUUUGAUGGACUUUUUUUUUUCCCAGAUCAUUCAAUAUAACAAAAUAAAAAAUAAAUUAUUUUUCAAUUAAUAUAAAGUCUAACCCAUAAUUUAUAAUAAUUCAUAGGCAUCAUAAUUUUUCCCUCCCAUUUUACAAAUAAAAUAUUAUUUUAGUCCUCUAUUUAAUUUUUUGUCCCUUUCAAUUUUGGAAUUUGUAUUUUUUUGUCAAAUCACCUCAAAAUAAAUAGAAAAGUUAACGUUUUCUAACCUUGCUAAAUGGCACACAAGUGGUUUACCACGUGGAUGACACAUCAAUAUUAAUUAUUUUUUAAAAUAGAAAAAUAUUUUUUUAUAUUUUUAAUAAUUUUAAUUUUAAAAUUAAUUAAAUGCAUGUGUGUCAUCCAUGUGUAUGCCACAUCAACAAAGUUAUAAAACGUUAACUUUUUCAUCCAUUUUGAGGUGAGUUGAUAAAAAAAUGUAAGUUUACAAUCUAAAAGAACAAAAAAUUAAAUGGAGGACUAAAAUAACUUUUCUUAUAUAUAUAAAAUUGAAGGAUUAAAAAAAUUAUUAUACCUAACUAAUAUAAACAUGGAUUAAUUUUUUGCUAUGGGCUUUUAAUUAACUAAAUUUUAAAAGACAAAAGCUUCUAUGUUCUUCUUUUGAAAGGAAGCUUUCAUGUUAUAACAAAUAACACGAUUUAAGUGGAACAAUAAUUUUUUAUUUUAACAAUCUUCCAUGUUGAUUCCUAAUUCGUUCAGACAUUUGUUUUGUAGUGGCAUCCAUUUUAACUUUAUAUAAUUCUAAAAGCAGAAGGUAACAAGAUUGGGAUCUGUCUCUUAGUCUUAUAUUCUACUCAACCAUGAAUUGAAUAUAAGCGAAAGAGGAAAAAAAGAAGAAUAUAUGUUCUCCAUCCUAUAGUUUUGACUUUAUUUUAUUUGUACUUUGUAAUGGAGGAGAUAUUUCUAAGCUUACAAUUUUUUUAACAUAUCUUUCUAGUUUUAUGAGGCAUAAUAUAAAUGAUAAUAUUGUUAGAAUAAGAAAAUUAAUAUCUAAUAUAAAAUUUUAUAAAAUUAGGACCUGUCAUGUAAAAUUAUUAAGAAUAAAUUAAGAACAAACACUACACCAAAACAUGCUUUUAGCGGCACUUUUUUAGGCCUUUAGCGGCGCUUUUUAGCGCCGCAGAUACUUUUAGCGGCGCUUUGAAAAGCGCCGCAACAGACGCCGCUAAUGAAUGCCCGCUAACUUUAGCGGCGUUUUUAGAAAUAAACGCCGCUAAAGGUGUUGGUCUAUAGCGGCGCUUCAAGCACAAACGCCGCUGAAGACUAAGACCUUUAGCGGCGCUUUAGUGGAAGCGCCGCUAAAGACCCUGAUCUUUAGCGGCGUUUGUGCUAGAAGCGCCGCUAUAGAUCAGGGUCUUUAGCGGCGUUUUUUUUCUCAAAAGCCGGAAUAGACCCUGAUCUAUAGCGGCGCUUUGACUACAAACGCCACUAAAGAACCUAAUCUUUAGCGGCGCUUUCCCCUAAAACGCCGCAAUAGACCCUGAUCUAUAGCGGCGCUUUCCCCAAAAACGCCGCUAAAGACCAUGAUCUUUAGUGGCGCUUUUUCCACUAACGCCGCUAAAGACCCUUAUCUUUAGCGGCGCUUUGACCAAAAACGCCACUAAAGGUGUUUGACCAAAAACGCCACUAAAGGCCAACACCUUUAGUGGCGUUUUUUUAAAACGCCACUAAAUUUGGCAGAUUUGUAAAAUAAAAUUUUUUAUAUUUUCAGCCCUCCUGUAAAAACAAAUCAGAAGAAAUCAUAUCUAAACCAGCCAAAAGUAAUAAAUCUAUAUAUUAAACAAAUAAUAAAUAUCAAUAAAUAAAAUAAAUUUCGUAUUAUUCUUAGAAAAAUGUUAAAAGUUAAAAUGGUAAUUAAAAGUCAAAAUCGAAGUAUAUUUACACGAUAGUCUAAGACGGCGGCUGUUGCGACUGCUGAAACAUCUUCAUCAUGCUCUGAAGCUGCUGUUGGAGUUCAUCAAACUUUUGACGCUGCUCUGCUUCCCUCGCUGCAGCCUCUGCUUCCCUCGCUUUAGCCUCUGCUUCCCUCGCUGCAGCCUGUACUUCUCUAGCUGUCGCCUCUGCUUCUCUUACUGCCGCAUCUGCUUUAAGCUGCUGCUGGAGUUCUUCAUACUUUCGUUGAACCUCAGCUUCUCUCGCUGCUGCAUCUGCUUUCAAUUGUAGCUGGAGUUCUUCAUAUCUUUUUUGAACCUUAGCUUCUCUCGAUGUUGCCUCCGCUUUAACUUGUGUAAUUUUCUCAAUUGUUGUCGCUUGCAUCUGAGCCAUCUGGUCUCUAAAUCUCUGAACUUCAGCUUCGGCUCGACUCCCCGAAGGCAUAUAUUGUUGCGAGCUAGAUCCAAAAUAUUGGGAUGGGUUAACAAAAGAUCCUUGAAAUCGAACCCGAUCAUACCUUUCAGAACCCAAAACUUCAGUGAUAAUUCGGUUAUCAAUGUCGUCAAUAUGAACAGAACUAUCACUGGAAGCAAUCGCUUCGUACUCCGCCUUUUUAUCCUUUAAUUUUUCCUAAAAAAUAAAUCCUAUAGUUAGGAACGCAAGAUAUAUUAAAAAAACCCAAUGCAACAUAACUUAACAAUAUUUGCAUUACAAUAAAUGAAAUAAAUCAUUAGAAAAUAAACACUAUAAAUUAUUAAAACAAUUUAAAUUGUAUUAAUUAAGCAAACGUACCAUAAUUUCUGCAGCUUCAGGAGUCAUAGGGUUUCCAUCUUUCUUCCUAUGUGUAAUGUCAAAAAGUUGAAGGCGUCUAACUUUUUGACCGGACGACAGUUCCUACAAUACAAUAGUAAAAAUAUUAAUGUAAGUAAGUAAUAAAUAUCUGCCAAUAUUAAAAAAUUGAAAAUACCUCUGCAUGAGCUACACACGCAAAACUUUUCGACCCAGCUGUGUGAGUGAAUUUUUGUUGCUGCCUACUUUUUUUCCAACUUCUUCACGAUCCUACAUUAUGAAAUUAUUAGUACGUUAAUUAGGAAAUACUAUACACCAAAGUAAUUACAAAAUUUUAUAAGUUACACAUACCUCUCCUUUCUUCGAAGUCCAAAAUCUAACGACCUCUUCCCACUGGUACCUCAGCAUUCCCGGUGGGACAUUUUGUAAUCUCUCCUCGAGUGUUGUUUUUGUCUUAAAAUAGUCUUUCUUUAAAGUGCUCUUAUGGUCUCUCCAUCUUUUUCCCAAUGCCUUCUUUACAUAAGCAUCGGAGACCUCUAGAGCAAAUCUCGCCUACAAAAAACACAACUUAAGAAAGUAAAUAUAAACGAAACUUAAACCCAAGUAUUAUAAAUGACAUACACGUUUUGUUACCUUAAUGUUAUCCAGAGCUUGGUUCUUGUUACUCUCGGGCACUUUAUGCCAUGACUCGAAGUUAAUGGGUAACAUAUUUGCAUUCCGUGCUAGAAUGCCCAUGUAUCCUGCUAAAAGGCGAGCUUCUGAUCCAACAGGCUGACCGAAGCUAUUACUGGAUACUUGGACACGCUCGACUGGAUCUAGGUCGUAUAAAUCGCUCAGUACCGUACGUCCGCGACCUCUCCGCGUCCGACCAGUUUCAUCUGAAAAAUAAAAGUAUUGUAAUAUAUGAAAUUUAAAAAAAAACAAACAAGAAGUCAACACACAUGUAAAUUAAAUGUUAAAUUACUUUGAACUUCUAUAGGUUCCUCAGGUGUAACCGGAACAUUCGAAGAUCCAAUAGCAGUCUGUUGUUCAGUGCUGUUUGUUUCCGCCGAGUUUGGAGUACCUUGAACAAUGCGGUGCGAUCGCACUUUUCUUCUAGGCAUUUUAUCUGCAAUACAAAUAAAUUAGUUGAAAACUUAGUAUACAAUUACAACAAUAAUAUCACAUAUAAAAUAGUUGAAAUGUCAUCAUUCGUAGAUGUAAUUAGAUAAUCGUAAAAGCUUACUACAUUAUAAUUCGUAAAUCUCAUCAUUCGUAUCCUGGCGGACCCAUUGAAAUUGUGUACUAGUACUAGGGAUGUUUUCGUUUAAGUUCUGUUCUGGAAAUGGCAAAGUUUGUGUUCUGUCAUCAAUGUCAUCUUUACUUCCACUGCCCAUGUCAAACAAGUCUCUAGGGAUGUUACGGAGUACAACGUACCAACCCUCAUCAGUUGGGUCUUUUGAGUAAAAAACUUGUUUGACUUGAGAAGAAAAUACAUACGGCUCAUCAAUCAAUUGUUGUCCUGUGUGAAUCAAUCGAGCAAAGUUUACCAUUGUGAAACCAAAUUGAUCUUGCUUGAUUCCAUGUGCAGUAUUAACAUCGGCCCAAUCACCUCGAAAUAAGACAACUUUUCAUUUGCCGUAGUAAUCCAACUCAAUUAUGUCAGUAAGAAGUCCAAAAUAUUCCACAUUUCCCUCCACAGGAUUAUUGUCCCUAGCACUAGCAUAACUUGUAAUUGAGGAAUUAACCACUAUUCCACAAUUUUGCGUUCUCCUCAAUCUCUCGCGAUAUUUUGUAUGAAAUCUGAAUCCGUUUAUGAGGAACGCACUAUAUCUUUUAACCACCCGAUUUGGACCUUGGGAAAGCCUUUUAACUUCGUCGGUGAUGUUCUUCCCACUCCAAACCUAUUGAAUGGAAAGUAAACUGAGUAAUUAAAAAUGUUUUGAGUAAAUGUUAUUAUUUGUCGGUGAAAGCUCCAAUUACAUACCGUUUGGCUUAACCAUUCAUGAAAAGAUUCUGUAAACAACUUAUUGAUAUCUCGAUGUUGUGUUCUUCGGGAGCGCGAACGAGAUCUUAAUAUUUGUUUGUACUCACUAUGUUAAAAAUAUGUUCACUUUAUUAGACUAUAAACAAUUUUUAAAUGAUGAAUAUUUAUCAAAUUUCCAGAACUUACUUGCGUAAAGGUUCGAUUGAUUCGUGGUGAAACAGAACAUAUCGAUGUGCUUGAACCCACGAUAAAUCAUCUAAUUCUGCAAUUUCAACUUUACCGAUUGGUUCUCCAAAACUUUGGAACAAAUAAGUCUCGGCAAAGUUAUGAUCCGUGAGUCCAGCAUUUCUAUUUGGUCUGUUCAACCUUGUUUCAACAUCUUCCAAAUAUCUUGAACAGAAGGUCAUACAUUCCUCUACCAAGUAGCCUUCAGCAAUCGAUCCUUCUAGAUAACGCUUGUUGCGGCAAUAAGACUUUAAUUUGGAUAGGAACCUAAACACGGCAUACACAUUAUCAAAAGUUGUAACUAAAGGCAUAUAGGUGAAUGGAGGAAAAUUUUAAAAAUUGUAAUUAACACCUUUCUAUGGGAUACAUCCAUCGAUAGAAAACAGGUCCGCCAAGAAUUGCUUCAUGCGGGAGAUGGAUUAUCAAGUGAACCAUAAUAGUGAAGAAGGAAGGUGGGAAGAUUUUCUCCAUGUUGCAUAAAGUUAAAGCGGCUCGAUCCUGUACCUUCUAAAGUUCUUGAACAUCCAAAACUUUGCCACAAAUGACUUUCAUUAUAUUGGAUAGUUCAAUUAUACAAGAUGUCACCUUCUUCGAAAUACAACAUCGUAGAGAAACUGGCAGUAAAUCUUGCAUUAAGAUGUGAUAGUCAUGUGAUUUUAGCGAAUAUAGUCUUCGAUCUUUAACACUAACACAUCGAGAUAUAUUAGAUGCAUACGCAUCUGGAACCUUUAUAUCCUUCAACACCAUGCAGAACACUUCUUUCUCUGUCUUCGACAUUGAGAAAAUAGAAGGCGGCAACCGAUAUUUACCAUUCGGAAGUGGAUUCGGAUGAAGAUCAGGUCGAAUUCCCAUCUGAACUAAAUCAAGUCGACUCUGAAAAUUGUCUUUUUAUUUUCCGUCUACAUUCAAAAUUGUACAGACAAUGUUCUCGCAAACAUUUUUCUCAAUGUGCAUAACAUCAAGAUUGUGUCGUAAAAGGUGGUGCUCCCAAUAAGGCAACUCAAAAAAAAUACUUCUUUUUUUCCACAAGUCCGCCUCAUUAGGAUCAUCCUCUUCAUCGGAGUUAUCAUCAGCUUCAUCAUUUGAUCUUUUAUUUCUUUGCGUGUUUGCCGGUUGAUUCAUCUUCCCAUAACUGAAAUUCAUAUCUUCCAACAUUAACAAGAUUUCAGAUCCACUUGUCUGCGAAGGAGCUUCUCUGAACUCUUCAGUACCGUCAAAUGUCGAACUCUGAGAUCUAAAUCUAUGAUUUUCCGGUAACCACCGACGAUGCCCAUGUAAGAGAACUUCUUCCCAUUGUAUAACCAUUGCGAACAUGUUUGUGCAGCACAACAAGGGCACGCAUAACGACCCUUGGUACUCCAACCGGAUAAAUUGGCAUAAGCGGGGAAGUCAUUAAUGGUCCACAUCAAAGCUGCACGUAAAUUAAAGUUCUCCUUUCUCAGCACAUCGUAUGUCUCGACACCAGCCCAUAAUUGUUUUAACUCUUCAAUAAGUGGCUGUAAAUAAAUGUUGAUAUCAUUCCCGGGCCCUUUCUCUCCAGGGAUUAUCAUAGAUAAGAUAAGGGAAGAUUGCUUCAUGCAAAUCCACGGAGGCAGAUUGUAAGGAACAAGCACUACUGGCCAAGUACUGUAUGCAGUACUCAUGAUCUUGUAAGGAUUAAAUCCAUCAGAUGCUAGGCCAAGCCUCACACUCCUGGGAUCACUUGCGAAGCUUGGAAAUUUAUUGUCAAAUGAUUUCCAAGCUAAAGAAUCUGCCGGAUGCCUUGAUAGUCCAUCAUCAGUUCGUCCUUCAUGGUGCCACGUCAUUGACUCCGCUGUCUUCGACGACAUGAAAAGCCUUUGAAGCCUUGGUAUCAGCGGAAAAUACCGCAAAAUCUUGACCAACUUCUUUCUUGGCUGUGCAUCAUUUUCAUCGUCAUUCCCAUCUUCUGUGUUUCUAUUUAUCCAACGGGAUUCGCCGCAUACAUGACAGCACUGUUGGUUUCUCCGAUCGCCCCAGUACAAUAUGCAAUCAUUCGGGCAACUAUGGAUUUUGUUGUACCCAAGACCUAAGUCUUUUAUCAUUUUCUUCAUAUCUUUGCAUGACUGAGGGAUUUUUGCAAACGGAAACAUUUCUCUCAAAAACUCUAACAGCAUUGUCAAUGAGUUCCCGGUCCACCCUCCCAAACAUUUUAACUGGAAAAGACGAAUGCAGAAAGACAUUUUUGAAAAUUUCGAUCCCUCAUAUAGUUCUGAGUUCAUCUCAUUAAGUAGCGCAUAGAACUUCGCCGCUUCCCCAUUCGGCUCUUUAUGAGGUACACUUCUUCCCUGUUCGACAAAAGCAUUUCCACCGAGAUUACAAUCAUCAGAUGCCACAAAGUCGGCUGGGAACGACUGCAAACCAUGAUUGUGCAUAUUAAAUGCAUUUCGCAACAUCCCUUCCAUGUCAUCCCCUCUAACAGACUGAUGGUAAGCAUUACCAUCAUAAGAUACAUCCAUCCUUGAGGAGGAAGUACUAGGCGGGCAUUCUCCAUGAAAAAACCAUUGUUUAUAACCCCGAACAAAACCAUCAACAAUUAGAUGCUCGUAUACAACUUCACGAUAAUGCCAGUUUAUGUUCACACACUUCUUACACGGGCAAAGAAUCAUGUUCUCUUGGCUUGCAUAUUGAAAUGCAAAAUUUAGAAAAGCCUGUACUCCAUUUCGAUAAUCGUCGCUUACCCUUGACAAAUUCAUCCAAGAGCGAUCCAUUUCUUAAUUAUGUAUGUCUGACAUUGACAAUAAAUUGCACGGGUUUAAGAUUUAGGAAUAAGUGUAAUUAAGGUAUGUAAGUUAUUAUUUAAGUUAAGGUAUAGUAAAUAUCACGGUAACUUAUAAGUGUAUUUAACUUAUUUGAGUUCCACCACAUAAGGGAUAUUUAUGUAAGUUAUGUAAGUUAUGUAUUAAGUAAAUUAUGUAAGUUAUGUAUUAUCUAAGUUAUGUAAGUUAUGUAUUAAGUAGGUUAUGUAAUUUAUGUCUUAUGUAAGUUAUGUAAGUUUUUGAUUUUGUGUAUUAUGUAACUUAUUUAAUUUGAUCUGGUUAUGUAUUAUUAUGUAAGUUACUAUUUAGGUUAUUAUGUAAGUCAUUAUAUAUGUUGGUUAUGUAAGUUGUGAUAUGAUUAAUAUUUAUGUAUGUAAGUUAUGAUAUGAUUGAUAAAUUUAAGUUAUAUAAGUUAUGUAUUAUUACGUAAGUUAUUUAAGUUAUAUGAUUGAUAAAUUUAAGUUAUUUAAGUUACGUAAGUGGUGUAUUAUGUAAGUUAAGUAAGUUACGUAGGCUAUGUAUUAUGCAAGUUAUUUAUGUAAGUGGUGUAUUAUGCAAGUUAUUUAUGUAAGUGGUGUAUUAUGUAAGUUAUGUACGCUAUGUAUUAUCUAAGUUUUUAUGUUAUUAUGUAAGUUAUGCAAGUUUCUAUAUAAGUUUCUAUGUAAGUUAUGUAGGUUAUUAUUUAAGUUAUGUAUUAUGUAAGAAUAAAUAAAAAUUUUAUUUAAGUUAUGUAUUAUGUAACUGUAUAUAUAAGUUAUGAUAUGAUUGAUAAAUUUGAGUUAUCAAAUUUUAUUAUGUAACUGUAUAUAUAAGUUAUGAUAUGAUUGUUAUUAUGUAACUGUAUUGUGUAACAGUUACAUAUAUAAGUUAAGAAUAAAUAAAUUUUAGCAUUAAUUUGACUCUGUUUUUAGUAAAGGUUCAAUACACAAUAAUUUUAUGGAGAAAAAUUAGUUCAUAUGCCCUUAUUUUUUAAAGGUACAAAUAUAAUUAUAUCAAUAUUUGUGAUCACAAGUAAUUUAACUUAACAAACUAACCAAUCAACACGCAUACAGUUACAUUCGUUGUAGCACUCUAACCUAAAAUCUUCAAGUUUUCAAAGCUUCAACCUUGUUUGGUUAACUAAAGUGGGAACCUUUUAUUUUUAGGCCAACCAUCUUCAUAGAGAUAAUACAAAGAAUCCGAAGGCAUGGUGAAGGAUGAAGAAGGAAAGCUCUUUUCCGAGCUCUUCAAAUCCAUUGAAGAAUAUGAGAAAUCUCUUGAAGCCAAACAGUCCCAAAAUCCAUGACUUGAUUGAAAUAAAAAAAAGGGGGGCUUCUUCUUGCUAUAUUUGAAACUUUAUGUUACCCAUGUUAUUCGAAUUUUAAAUAUAUAUAAAUUUUAAAUAUAUAUAUAUAUAUAUUAAAAAAUUAUAAAAAUAUUAUUUAAUGUAAGUAAUAUAUUACAAAUUUAAAGAAAAUUAAUUACUUUUUAAUUAAUUAUAAAUUUUCAUCAAAGUAAACACUAAAAAUUAAACAACCUACUUUCAAACGUUAAAAUGUUCAUCAAAUAAAAAAUUAUAAAUAUCACAUUAAAAAAUGUUAAACUCGUUUUAAACCUUUCAUAAUUACGUACAUAUAAUCAUGUCUACAUUAGUGUUGUGUUUUAAUUACUCAUAAAAUGACACAUAUUUUGCAAUGCUAGUGAGGAAAAAACACCUUAGUUACAAAACAAAAUAAUGAAAGAAUAAAUCAAUGUCACUGAUUACAGUUAAAAAAGAAAAAAAAUUUGAAAAACUCACUCAUUUCUCUCGAUAUUAUAUCUGUUUAUAUAACCCCAUGAAGGAAGAGAGGUUUUUCCAUAGUUGGAAAGAGUAAAGAACUUGCUUUCUGGGUUUUCAGGCUCACCAACUCUCUUCCCAAGCUCUCGUUUCAGCCAAUUAAGAAGACAUGGAAGUGGCUGUUGAGGUAGAAGCCUGUGUAUUUUUUUGUAGAUUUAAACAAGCAAAUCUCUUUGCUUAUCAUGGAUGAUGAGCAAAUAAAUCGUCACCGACAAAAAAUUAAAAAUUGAAACCUCACCGACAAAACAUUACAAAUUGAAACCUCUGUGAAUAACAUCAUAAAUCAUCGCUUCAGCAAAAUAUUAAAAAUUGAAACCUCACCGACAAAACAAAAAAGAAAAAAGAAAAAAAGACCAUCUCAAAUGAAACAUUUUAGUCUGCAUAAACCCAGUCUUAUUUGUCUUGCAAUUAAAAGAAACCAAAAAGAAACAAAAACUAAGGGCAGAGGGAAAAACAUAAGAAAAAUAGAAGAAUAGAAUAAUCUUACCGAUUUCUCUGACGGCAGAGGAGUGUGACAGUAGAGGCCUGCGACGGUCCACGAGUGCGACGAUGUAGCAGAUUUGGGGAAGGUCUGUCUCGUCGAGGGCAGCAGGCUAAGGUUCUUUAUUUGGGGGAAUUUUGGGGAAAAUAGGGAGGGGAAUAGAACCAAGGUUUUCGGGUAUGGGGAAAUUUAGAAGCAGAAAUAAUUGAAAAUUUGCGGCGUUUCUAUAGUAGCACCACUAAUGCCCACAAAAACGGUGACGUUUUGUUUAAACAACAGCCCAACCUUGCGGCGUUUUUAUAAACGCGCCGCUAAUGCGCACAUUUAGUGGCGUUUUUCCCUAGCGCCGCUAAAGCCAUUAAAAUCGCAGACUAAAGCUACGCCGUUUUGUCUAUAAAUUAAGAAUUUUUGUGGCGUUUUUAUUCCAAACGCCGCUAAUGUCUCGUUUAUUGCGGCGUUUUUAGUGGAAACGCCACUGCGAAAUCAAAUUUUAUAUUGAAACGGCGCCGUUUAGGUAUUCCAUAGUUUUGUUAAGUAAUAUUUAUAAUAUAUAGUAGUAAAAAUUAUAAAUUUUAGUGUUUUAACUAAUAUUUAUAAAUUUUAGAUAAAAUUAUAAAUUUUAGUAUUUUUAUUUUUUUAUUUUAAUUUAAUUCCAUUUGUUAAUUUGGUCCUCUCCUAAAUUAUCAAAUGUUAUAUAUUAAUUUUUUAACUUAUUUAUUAGUUUCCUUUAAGUAAUAUUUAUAAUAAAUUAGAUAAAAUUAACAUUUUUAGUGUUUAAAUUUCAUUUUUAUUUUUCUAUUUUAAUUAUCUUUUAUUUUCUUCCACAUUUGUGGCGUUUUAAAGAAAAAACGCCACUACCUAAACUGACCCUAUUGAAAAAUUGCAAUACAUAUUUGCGGCGUUUUUACAAAAACGCCGGUAAUGUCUACCUUUUGCGGCGUUUUUGCUGAAAACGCCACUAAAAAAUUUAAAUUUUUCUACCCAAACGGCACCGUUUUAGGAAAUUUUAAUACAUAGUAGUGGCGUUUUUUGCUGAAAACGCCGCUAAAGCUCACAUAUUUUUUUUAUAUUCAAUUAUUGUAUCUUUCAUAUAAAUUUUACAUAAAGAAUUAUUAUAAUUUUAAGUAAUAUUUAAAAGAAUUAGAAAAAUUUUUAUUUCAUUUUUUUUGUAUUUUAUUUUUUCUUAUAAUUUGGUCCUAUCCAAUUUAAAUAAUUGCCUAUCUAUCCAUAUUAAAUAUAUCAAAUGGUUUAGAUUAAAUAUUUUUAAAUAUAAAAGCAUUAAUUAAUUGUAUAAAAUUGUAUCAUUUAACAAAUCUAAAAUAAACCUUAAAUCUUAAAUUAACCAUUCAAUAUACAUAAAGUCUAUCUAUUAUAUAUCUCUUAAAUAAUAUAAACUAUACUCAUAAUUUCAAUAUAUUAAACUUAUUAUUAUAUCUUUUACAAUUAUAUAAGAACAUAUUUAAUAUAUAAAUAAAAAAACUAAUUAGUCUAAACCUUAAACCUUAACCCAACCCUUGAAACCUUAAAUCCCUAGCUCUUAACCCCUAAACCCCCUAACUCCUAACCCCUAAACCUUAAACCAUAAUCCCUAAAUCCAUAUAUAAUCCCCAGACCUUAAAAUAGUAACUCCUAAACUGACCUUCAAUCUUAAAUUAACCAUAUACCUUAAGCCAUAUAAACCCUAAACUAUAAUGAUAAUUAAUUAAAUAUUUUAAAAUAUUUGUUAUCUUAUCCUUUUCAAUUAUAUAUGAAAUUUAAAAACAUAUUUAAAAUAUAAAUAAAAAAAUUAAUCUAAACCCAAAACCCCAACUCGACCCAUGAAACCCUAAACUAUAUAUCCUAAUUAGCUCUUAACCCCUAAACCCCUAACCCUAACCCCUGAACCUUAAAUCCUAACCCGACCCUAAAUCUCUAAUCCCUAAACCCCAACCCAAUCCAGAUUCCCUAACCCUAAACAUUAUUUAAUAUAUAAAUUAAAACACACUAAUUAAUCUAAACCUAACCCCUAUACCUCUAACCCUUAAAUCCAUAAACCCUAAAUCCAUAAACACCAUAUUUGGUGUUUUAUAUUUACUUUAUUUGAUUUAUUUAAUCGAACUAUCAAUUUAAGUUUUAUGAUAUUUUAUUUUACUCAUAAUUUAAUAUAUUUUUCUAGUAAAGUAGUUUAAAUAAACUAUAUGAUUGAAAAAAUAAUAAAUAGUUAGGAGGUAGGACUUCUCUUUAAUAAAAACAUUUUGUAUUAAAAAAUAUUAUUUGUUAUCAUUUAAAUAUAAAUUUCACUAUUAUAUAAUGAAUACAACGAAAUAUCAAUUUUUCAACUUAUAAUAAAAAAAUAUUAGCGGCGCUUUUUCAAAAACGCCGCUAAAGAUCUUAGCAUUAGCGGCGCUUCUUCAAAAAUGCCGCUAAAGGCCAGAGCAUUAUCGGCGCUUCUUCAAAAACGUCGCUAAAGGAUAGAGCAUUAGCGGCGUUUUUUAAGAAGCGCCGCUAAUGCUCUGGCCUUUAGCGGCGCUUACUCAAAAACGCCACUAAAGGCCAGAGCAUUAGCGGCGCUUCCUAAAAAACGCCGCUAAGGGCCCCAAAAACUCAGAAAACGGUGUCAUAUGGCUUAGGCUUUUUGCGGCGAUUUUCAGAAAACGCCGCUAAUGCUAAUUUUUAGCAGCGUUUUCUGUAAAGCGCCGCUAAUGCUCUACCUUUAGCGGAGUUUUUAUAAAAGCGCCGCUAAUGCUCGAUUUUUAGUGGCGUUUUUUGUUCAAACGCCGCUAAAAAUGCCGCUAAAAGCCUGUUUUGGUGUAGUGAAAAUUAGAAACGGAAGCAUACUUGAAUUCAUCAAUUUCUUGAAAUCUUUGGAUAUUAUGAUUUUAAUCUUUCAAAUUAGCACACAAGUAAUUCAGAUAAAAUGACUCUCUCUUUUCUAAAGAUGGGAUAUUAGAAAAGCUAGUUAUGUGUAAUUUGAGGACCAUAACCCUAAUAUAUAACUUUUGCAUAUUAACCCUAAUUUUUAAUCAGCCCUUCGUUAAUUAGAAUUAGUUCCUAGAGUAUCUACACAUAUUUGAGUCAUACUUUAUUUAAUAAGUAAAGUCUAAUAAACCUUAUGAUAAUAAAUAAUAACAUGUAAUUACUCUUAUCAUAUAUGUGUUGUCCAUACUUGCCAAUAAAUAUACAAUUAAAGAGUUAAUACUGUUUUUUUUUAUAAAAAUGACCCUAAGGUCAACCUCAUUUUAUUGUAUCAUUAAUGGCAAUAUUAUGGAUUUCCAUAGGAUAAUCCAUAUUGAAAUACAAAUUACACUUUUUCUUAAUAGCUAGAUUACAAAGUAAAUCAGCAGCCUUAUUACUGCAGCGGUCGGUCCAAUUAAUUUGGACAAAAUUUCUAAAAACCAUACAAGCCUUUUUCACACAGCAGCCCAAAAUGGUGAUAUCUUGGUCUCUCUUUUUUAUCGUGUUGACUAGCGUUGCAUUGUUAGACUCUAAAAUAAGCUUUGCCACUUUCAACGUUGAAGCCAAUGUUGGAAUUAAGAACAAAGAUUAAUGGAACAAAUAAUUUCUUGAGCUUGAAGGCUCGAUACUUGCUGUGCAAACAAAAAACAGAAUUGAGCUUGAAGAACUAAAGAAAACAAAGAAUUAAGAGAGCAUUAGAUGGAGAAUUCUUUGAUGAAUUUUCAUUAACUUGAAAGAUGGCAUAAUGCCAAUACAUAUACCAGACAUAAGCUAGUCAAAAGAAGAAAAAUGGUUACGUAAACAUUACCUACUACCACUAAGUACAUUGAAACUUGUUAAACAAAACUUGCACACUUGGUAAAGCUGAUUUAUCAACUCAAACAUCAACAAAUUACAUCAAGUACAUUAAUAACUUAGUUCUAAUCUAAUUAAGUUACAAAAUAUCAUUUGAAAGUAACAAAAUAAACAGCAGCAUGAACUUCAGCUGCGGCUACUUGGCUCAGGUAGCUUUGCUGCUUCUUGUCUGCAUGCAGGCCAGCUUCAACACUCCUCCUUGGCUUGCAUGCUGCAAACUUCCAUUUUGGCUCUCAAACAUUUGAACCUUGACACACAAAGAGGUUUGUCAAGAUAUCAGCAAGUUGAUUCUUCAAAACUGCAAUGAAUCAAUUUUACCUCUUGAGAUUGUUCCAUUUCUCUGACAAAAUGAAACUUAAUCUUGAAGUGCUUUAUUCUCCCAUGGAACACUGGAUUCUUUGCAAGUAGACCGGUUGUCACAUUUGUUCUUUGUUGCUUCCCUUUGGUGUAGAUUCAAACUGUCAUGAUUUUUCUUAGCCAAAUGGCUUGAUUAACAGCAUUGGCAGCUGCUACAUACUUAGCUUCAGCAGUUGAUUGAGCAACAACACUUUGGUUAUUUGAACUUCAACAAAAAAUGGCUAAAGCAAGGGUAUCUGUUUACCCCGAGGUGCUCUUCGUAUCAUCUAUCGAUCCAGCCCAAUCACUAUCAGCAUAACCAAGUAGCUUCAUACUAUCAACUUUGCUGAACAUCAUUCCAAAGCUCAGUGUACCUUUGAUGUACCUGAGAACUCUUUUGAUAGUUUGGAAAUACUUCACAUUACAACAAUGCAUGAAUCUUGAUAACAGACUUACAACAAACAUAAUAUCUGGUCUAGUAGUUGUCAAUUAAAGCAAACAUCCAAGCAAACUUCUGUAGGUUGUUUCACAAAUCUUCUUGAAAUCACCUUGGCUUGACAGCUUCUCUCCAACAGCAACUAGUAUCCUUGUUGCCUUGCAGUUCAGCAUGGAGAAUUUGUUCAAAAUCUUCAAGGCAAAUGCCUUCUGACUUAGAAAGAUCCCUUGCUGAGUUUGAGACACUUCCAUGCUAAGGAAGCAAGACAUUUGUCCCAAACCAGACAUCUCAAACAUUUCUUCCAUUUUGACUUUGAAAUCAACUAGCAUUGUAUAAUUUUCUCCUGUCACCAGUAGGUCAUCGACAUACAGGGACACUAUAAGCUAUGUUUCAUUACCUUUCUUCUUCAUAUACAAGGUUGGCUCACUAAUGCUUCACUCGAACCCCAAGCUAGUUAGUUAGCUAUCUAUUCUGUCAUACCAGGCUCUUGGUGCUUGUUUAAAGCCAUACAAGGCUUUCUUCAGCUUGUAGACACUAUCUUCCUUGCCUUCUAUUUUGAAACCUUCAGGCUGUUUAACAUAGAUUUCCUCAUCAAGAAAACCAUUGAAAAAGGUUGACUUUACAUCGAAUUGAUGAAUUUUCCAUUGCUUCUGUGUAGCCAAAGCAACCAGUAACCUGAUUGUGUCAAGCUUGGCCACUGGUGUAAAUGUCUCACAGUAGUAAAUGCCAUACUUCUGUUUGAAUCCCUUCACUACCAGCCUUACUUUUAGCUUGUUCAAAGUUCCAUCAGUAUUAUUCUUGGCUCGAAACACCCAUUUCACUCCUAUGACCUUCCUGUUGGCUGGUCUUGCAACUAGCUUCUAGGUCUAGUUCUUGUCAAUCAUGCUCAUUUCAUCGAGCAUAGCCUGUUUCCAUCUUUGUUGAGCUUCAGCUUCUUUAAAAUAGCUUGGUUCAACAACAUCCACUUCAGCCCUCUCAUAUAUCUCACUCAAAGGUCUGGUUUCCUUGUCUAGCUCAUGGUUAAUGUCCAUUUUAGGACCAUUUUGAUAAGCUUCAGUCUAAUCCAUUAUUAGAUCUUCAGUAACACAUUUUGGUUCAUUCUUAUCCUAAUUCUAGCUUGAUUUCUCAUCAAAUACUACAUCUCUGCUCACAAAGACCUUAAUAGAUGAAUGAUCCAAAAUCCUAUAGCAUUUCUUCGCACUGUUAUAGCCCACCAGGAUGCCAAGUUGAGCCUUUUUAGCCAGCUUGUCUCUUUUCACUACUGGAACAUGUGCAAAACAUAUGCAGCACAACACCCUCAGGUGAGCCACUGAUGGUUUAAACCCAAACUAGGCCUCGAAUAGAGUUUUAUGAACCAAUGCCUUGGUUGGUAACUUGUUUUGAAGAUAUAGAACAGUGUUAACUGCUUCAGUCCACAAGGUCUUGGGGAAAUUCUUUCCAAACAACGGGUAUCUUGCCAUAUCCAUUAAGCUUCUAUUCUUUCUUUCACUAACACUAUUUUGUUGAGGUGUGUAGGCGUUGGUGAGUUGGCGCUUGAUGCCUCCUUCAUCACAAAAGCCCUGAAACAUAGCUAAGGUAUACUCUGUCCCAUUAUUUAACCUUAAUAUCUUCAGCUUGCAACCUGCUUCUAUUUCUAUUGCAGCCUUGAACUUUUAAAAUACUUAGGCCACUUUUUACUUGUUCUUUAGGAAGUAAAUCCAACAGUACCACAAGUAAUCAUCAAUGAACAGAAUAAAAUACCUACUGCCAUUUAAGAACAUGGUUUUUAUAGGGCCACACACAUCAGUAUAGACUAGUUGUAACCUUUCAAAAGCUCUUUAAGCCUUGUUUGAAGGAAAUGGCAAUCUGGUUUGCUUUCCUAGCUGACACACCUCACAAACAUCUUCUUUCUCAACUAAUUUGGAGAAGUUUUCAACCAAGUCUUAUUUGGUUAGCUGACCCAGUAACUUGUAGUUGACAUGGCCUAGCCUCUUGUACCACAUCUUAAAUUCUUCUAAAAUAACUGUGUAAGCACUGUUAGAGCUCUUGUUCCACUCCACUACAAAACUUCUAUCAUCCAUGGUCACUGACAUGAGUUUGGAUUCACUUGGAUCACUGAUCAGGCAUUAUUUGCCUUUGAACACUACUGAAUAGCCUUUUUCUAGCAACUGAGCUAUACUAAGUAGAUUUCUAUCAAUUUCAGGCACAAACAAGACAAUAGUGACAAGUUUGUUACCUGUAAGAAUGCCUAUCAACACAUCUCCCUUGCUUUCUACUUUGAUGAAGUGUCCAUUUCUAACUUUCACCUUUGUUUUGAAGCUUCUAUCAAUGUUCUUGAAGAUAGCAUCAUUAGGGGUCAUGUGGUUUGUGUAACCACUGUCUAUCAGCCAUCCUUUUGUGGCUUUUCUUUUGGCAGCUGAGCAAGAGACUCCAAAGACUUGCUCUUCCUAGUCAUUGCCUUCUUCUACCACUUGAGCUUUAGCUCUUGACUGUUGAGGUUGGUUUUGUCUCAACUUGCCUUUGUUUCUGCAAACUUUCUCAACAUGACCUUUUUUUUACAGACUUUGCACUGCACUGCACCUCAGGCCUGAACCAGCAGUUUGCUUCUGGAUGACUGAGCCUUUUGUAAUAUGGGCAAGGUGGAUACCUUCUUCUUGCUCCAUCUCUUCUAGACUUGUCAGACCGGGCCUUCUUGCCUUUAUAGCCAGAAGAGCUCGAGGCAGGUCUACUUUUAGCUUAAAAGGCACCUUCUUGAUGCUCAUCCUGCCUGCUAGCCCUUCUUUGCUCUUGAUCAUAAAGAGCAUUGAUCAACUCAGUUAAAGAGAUGCUAGUCAGAUCUCUCGAGUCUUCAAGAGAAGAAAUCUUGACAUCAUAUCUCUCAGGAAAAGUUGAGAUAACCUUCUCUACAAUUUUUGCUUCACUAAACUGGCCCCCAAGCAAUCUGCUGUUGUUCACAAUAGCCAUGAUUCUGUCUGAAUAUUGCUUCACUGUUUCUUCUUCCAUCAUUUUCAAAAUUUCAAAUUCCCUUCUCAAAUUCAAGAGUUGUUGCUGUCUUGUUCUUUCAGUCCCUUGAAACUCCUCCUUAAGUUUAUCCGAAGGUUGUUUUGGAGACUCACAAGCCAUGAUCCUUAUGAAAAUCACAUCAGACACACUGUUUUGGAUGCAAAACCUGGCCUUGUGCCUCUUGAUUCUUUCAUCUGUAUGCUGCCUGAUCUGAGCCAUUGUGGGAUUGGCUCUUAGAGGUGCUGGUUCAACAUCUGAGUUAACAACCUCCCACAAGUCAAAUGCCUACAGGUAGGUCUUCAUUUUCACUACCCAAAUGUGGUAGCCUUCACCAUUGAACAUUGAUGGUUGAGCUAGAGAGAAUCCAGAUGAAGACAUGAUUUUUAGACUUAAAGAAUGACAGGUCCACUAAGAAAUAAGCUCUUGAUACCAAUUGUUGGAAUUAAGAAUAAAGAUGAAUGAAACAAGUAAUUUCUUGAGCUUGAAGGUUCGAUACUUACUAUGCAAACAAAUAUAGAAUUGUGCUUGAAGAACUAAAGAAAGAAAAGAAUUAAGAUAGCAUUAGAUGAAGAAGUCUUUGAUGAAUUUUUAUUAACUUGAAAGAUGGCAUAAUGCUAAUAAAUAUACCAGACAUAAGCUGGUCAAGAGAAGCAAAAUGGUUACCUAAACAUUACCUACUACCACUAAGUACAUUGAAACUUGUGAAACAAAACUUACACACUUGGUAAAGUUGAUUUAUCAGCUCAAACAUAAACAAAUUACAUCAAGUACAUUAACUGUAAAAAUUCCCUUAUAUAUUUAUUUUUGUAUUUUUGUGACACAAAUAUAUGAUAGCUUUAGUGGUUAUGUGUUCUGAGAGUGUCUGAGAAGUCUUUGGUUCAAGCCCUUACUUGGGCAAAUCUUUUUUUUGUUUUAAUUGAAUAAACCUCUAUCUCUAACCAUUAGGCUUAUAAAUAAAUAUUGGUGAAAUAUGUCAAAAUGGGUCUGCUGGUCUGGUGGUUAAGUGGAGUGCUUAUGUUGCAAGAGGUUUGGAGUUUGAGUCCUUGUAUGGGCAAAGAGGAUAAUUUUUACUCUUUAUUUCAGCAAGAGGUUGUUUUGACUGGGUUUCUGAGUAGUAGUGGCAUGGUGGAGGAGUGUUGGAGUGAUUUUAAGAGGGAAAUAUGGGAUUGGAGUGUUGGGGUGAUUUUAGGAGGAAAAUAUGGGAUUGUGGAGUUAUCUUUCUUCCAAAUUCGGUCAUUUGGCAUAGUUUUUUUCUUUUCUUUUUGCUCCACCAUUUUCUUUUGCUUUUCUUACCCAUUUUUUGUCAUUUUUCCUUCCUUAACUCCCCAUUGUUGCUGUUGAAAUUUUAAUUGGUAUUCUUUCUUCCUCUUUCACUUUUAUUUUUCCAUUCAAUUGUUCGGGAUUGCAUAUCGUUGUAUUGUGUGUGGUUGGUAAGUUUGGAACUAUUGUUAGACUAUCGAUUCUUUUGCUUAUUAAUUGAUUAAGAGGGGUUUCGACUGGUUUUAGGUGUUAAUCGAGAGGCUGAACUGUGGUCUUCAACGAUUUAAGUGUUUAGGAUCUCUGUUGAUUAACCGAAGGUAAGGGUUUGUUUUUAUUAUUAUAGUUUGGUAUACCUCACUGAAUUUUGAUUAAUUAUCGAUUAAAGAUAACUGAUUGGAAGGUUACUUUUUGUUUUGACAGCAAUGAAUUGGGUGGACUGGGGAUGUUAUAGCAUUGAUUUGUGGUUGGAUCGUUGAAGUGUUGAGGGUAAGUGAGCUUUUGUAUAAUUGUUGAUGUUACCUAUUUGACUAUAGCUUUUCGAUUGUGAUUAAAUCCGUUCUAAACUCUAGUUGACGUUUUAGGGUGCUAGAGUGAUCGUUGUGGCAUUAGCAUAAAAAACAUUUCAGGUGUGUAAUCACGUCACUGAAUACUCUAGUUGGCAAAAAUCCAAAAAAUAGGACUGACGAUGCCACGUGUAACUGCUCAAUUUUAACUUAAUUAGAAUAGUUGUUUUUGGACCAUAAAUUCGAGUCAAAAAAAUAUUUUAAUAUUAUUUUUGGUGUCUACUUCAUGUUAAUUUAUGUGUGUGAAAAUUUCAUGAAUUAAUUUUAUUGUUUGUGUGCCAAUUUGUGAAAAAGGAUUUAAUUGUACAAAAUGCAAAAGUUAUGUGCCAUUUGUUAAAGUGCUAAAUUGACAUGACUUUUUAAGUAUAAGGUCCUUAUGAUGCAAUUGGACCAUUGAAUUAGUGCAUGGACAAGUAAGGACAUUAGUUAGUGGGAUUUUAAUGAUAUAUGACCAAGGCUAAAAUGGUAAUUUUGUAUUAAUAUGUAUUAAAUAAAAUAAAACAUGAAAAUGGCCAUGCAUGUUCUUUAUUUUUGGUCGAAUGUUGAGAAAGAAAAUAAGCUUUUAAGCUUUUAGGUAUUCGACACUUUGGAGCUGAAAAUUUGGUAUGUUUCUUGUUCGGUUUUUGAUAAUUAAGUGUCAUUGUUGAUAAUGUGAUGAAAUUAUUGUUUGAUGAUGAAAAAAUAAAUUUUUGAUGUUAGAUUAUUAUGUUUAAUUAAGUGAUUUUUAGUAAAAAUGUGUACUAAGGAUUAAAUUUUGAAUUUUGUAAAUUGAGGGGUCAAGAUGUGAAAUCAAUUAUAGCAAUGGGUGGUUAGGGACCUUAAGUAGAUUCGGCCUAACUAGAGUGGGUUGAAAUUUUGAAUAUUUUGAGUUGUUUUGAAAUAGGGACUAAAGUGAAAAAAAUGUGAAAUGUUAGAGGCUAAAAUGCAAAUUGCCCAUUUAUGUGUUUUUGAAUAAAUUUGAACGAAUAUAUGACCAAAUAAGUCAAAUUUGUAUUAAAUUAGAUCAAGAAAAGAAGAAAUCGGAUUUGGAUCGGGGGAAAUCAAAAGUUGUUGAAUAGUUGUCCCUGUCAGUUCGUCUUCAUCCGAGGUAAGCUCGUAAGUAAAUUAUUAAAGUUUAAUUUAUUGUAUUUAUUUUAUGUAUAGCUGGAUCUAAAUGUGUAUAUGUACACUAUAAUGCCGAAUCGCAUUUGACAAAUGAUGAUUAAUUAUGAGUUUAAAUUGAUUGAUUACGACAUCCGAAAGUCAUACGAACUAUAGUAAUGCUGAAAUGUGACAUCGUGUAAGACCACGUCUGGGAAAUUGGCAUCGUAUGUUAUUACAUGUAAGACCCUGUCUAGGACAGUGGCAUCAUUAUUUGAUUACAUGUAAGACCAUGUAUGGGACGUUGGCAUUAUACUAGCUUUUGGAGCCGAUCGAGUAUCUUUUCUUUGAAUCCGCAAGGUAUAAUGGGAAAAUCAUAUGGUAAACCUGAAUGUGAGUUUGAAUUAAAUAAUUCACAUAUGUUUAAGUUAUAUGAAAUUGGAAGUAAAGGUAAGUAAUAUGUAUAAUAUGAAAAGAUGAAUUAAUCGUACAAAUAUGAUUAUAUAUGUAUGUGUACAUGAUUACUAAAUGUCUGGCUACUGGUGUAAUUUUUUUAUAAGUUCUUUGAAAAUUUUAUACUUACAACUUACUAAGCUAUUUAAGCUUAUUGUAUGUCUGUUCAUUCAUUUCUUUUAUAGAUUUUGGAAGCUAGUUACGAGCUCAGGGAUCUUCAAGGAAGUCCGUCACACUACCGACCUUUAUCUCGGUAUUUUGAAAGCUUGAAAUUUUGAACAUAUGGCAUGUAUAGGCUAGCACUUGUUUUGGUUGGUCUUGGAAAUUGUAGAUAUUUAGCCAUGCAGAAAUGACUUGAUUUAAUGCUAAUGUGCUAAUGUUUAAGAAAUUUUGGAACAUGGAAUAUUUGUGUGGUAUACUUAGUAUAUAAAUUCUAUAUGAUGCAAAGAUAUAUAUAUAUGGUAUGGUUAGUUCAUGUUGGUAAGCUUGAUAUAAGGAUGAUGGAUUUAUUUUGGUUGUGUUUUGUUAAUGAUGCUAUGAUCAUGUAUAAUCGCCCAUGAAAUAGCUCAUUUUGGAGGUAUGAUUUGUAGCAUAUCUGUGUGAUGAUUGAUUAUAUAGUUCGGCUUAAUUGAAGUAAAUAUUGUUGAUUAAAUGUUGUCCAAAUGUUGAUUAAAUUCUGUCUAAAUGUUGAUUGAAUGUUGUCCAAUUGUUGAUUGAAUGUUAUCCAAUUGUUGAUUAAAAGCUGUCCAAAUGUUGAUUAAAUGAUGUUCAAAUGUUGAUUGAAUGCUGUCCAAUUGUUGAUUGAAUGCUGUCCAAUUGUUGAUUAAAUGUUGUCCAAAUGUUGAUUAAAUGUUGUCCAAAUGUUGAUUGAAUGUUGUAUAAUUAUUGAUUAAAUGUUGUCCGAAUGUUGGUUAAUUGCUGUCCGUUUUUGAGCAUAUUAAUCCUAUCCAAAUUAAUGCUCAUAUGUUGUUUAUUUUUGUACAAAUCAAAACUAUCCAAAACAGGGUAGGUUACCUAUGUUUUGUCUUAAAUUUCACACAUAUGAAUAACAUAUAAAUUACUAUUUUUAUAAACUAUUAAUGAAUUGGGUUAGCUUAAAUUUAGAAAUGGCUUUGUAUUAGAAUGUUAUGCGCAUGUAUAUAUAUCUUAUAAAAUGAUAUGUUUGAUAAAUAGUUAGAGAUAUGGAUUGUUCUUACUUAGUAUGCAUAUGUGCAUAGUUUUUAUAAUGGCAUGGCUAGAAGUUUACUAAUUAAAUAAAUAUAUACAAUGAAUGAUUUGACAUAAGCUUCAUGAAUAUGAUGUAAUGAUAUAAGCUUGAAUAUAUAUUGAAUAUUCGAAUGGUACAAAUAUAAUAGUGAAUAGGUUCAAAUAAUAGACUUGUAAAGCAUGCAAUAUUUUAUUAAUGUGUGAUAGCUUGGUAAAAAAAUUUAUUUAAAUUGGUUAAUAGUAUUGAUUGAUUGAAUUUUAGAGUGCCAUGAUCUUUGGUCAUAAAGUUUGGCUAUAGGAGUUAUAUAGUAUAUGUAUUAUGAUAUUUUGUAUAUUCAUUUGGUUGAAUAGGUGAUUAAAUAAAUAAUAUUAAUAUGAUUAAUUUUUUUAAAACAUAAAUUGCUUAUAUAUUGUAAGUAGUAAAACAUGAUUAGUUUUAAUUGAUUAAGUAAUCUACAUGUGCAAAUGUGAUUUAUAUGAUUGGACUGCUAAUUACUAUUCGAGUUUCUUUUAAAAAAAUUGUGAUUGAGUUAGUCUAAUUUUUGCAUAAUUUAUAAUGAAAUACUGUUCUGAGUUGUGUUUUGAUCGGUAAUGCCUCGUAACCCUAAUCCAGUGAUGGACACAGGUUCGGGGUGUUACACCACACGAGUGUGGAACCACUAGUGUGGUAGGCCGUGUGAUCAAACAUGGCCAUGUGAUCGACGAGGCUGGCCAUGUGCGAUUCAUGGGCUGGGCCAUUUUGGGCCGUGUGGGCCACACAGGCGUAUGGACCCACAUGGACAAGCAACAUGGGCUUGUCGGCCCAUAUCCUCUAUUUGACUGCUAAGGUUGCAUGGGUCGUCCCGGUCGACUACGGAUCUACUGUAGGGUCGGUAAGCAUACCUAGACCCCUAAUUGACUGAAUGACUGUUAUAUCAUGUUGUUAGAAACUGUACUAAUUUUAUGUAUGAUACCAUGAUUUGGCAUGACAUGAUUGUAUGAUGCAUCGCAUGGGGAUUGGUUUUUAUUGACCGGAGGAAGUGUAAUGAAAGGCUUCGAGACUAAUUUACCGGUAGCUCAGCUGCAUAUUAUUAUACGGUGCCGCAUUCGGUACUACUUGGAGUGUAGGGAUGGGUGGGUUGAUUAUAUCCCCACAUGGAGUGUUAGGUUGGACAAAGAUGGAGUGUAGAGGCUGGCUAGGUAGGACCUGUAUAUUGUAUAGUCUGUUACUGUACUGAUUAUUGUUACUGUAAUGGGUCAAGGCCCAAACACAUGAUUGCUUCUGCGCUGAAAUGGGCUAAAGCCCAAACUGAUAUUGUCACUGAUACUGAAAAUGGCUUAGGCCCAGACUGUGAUUGCUUUUUGUCUGUUUACUUAUUAUGGGAUUACAUUCUGAGUUUCCAUAAACUCACCCUUCUGAUUUGAUUGUACAGGUUAUUCCCAGACAUAGGCGGAUUGGUACGACGAAGGACUCAACGGUGGCCAUACGACAUAUUUAAUACGAUUUAGUACUUAAUUAAAAUUUUGAUUCUAUUUUGGGGGUAUUUUAUUAUAAUUAUGGCCUCUUUGGAUUUUUACUUUUAAUUUUGGGUUUCUAUUGUUUGAUUUACAACUGCUAGUAGUAGAAAUAUUCGAGUUUUCAAAAUGAAACAAACGUUUUAACAAAAUACGCUCAAAUAUGCAAACUGUUUUAAAAGCUUUCACAUAGAAUAAACGUUUUUGAAACUUUCGACUAAUUAAUUAACACGACUUUAGAAUUAACAAGUAAUAAUGAAAAGUCUCUAAGUGGAAAAUGUUUUAAGCAAAGUUAUGGUUUUCCAACACAACCUACGGUUUUCAAACACACUAACAUGUGACAUCGCCAGAUUCAGCCAUAACGUCCAGGCCGAGUCUGGGGCGUUACAUUUAGUGGUAUCAGAGCCAAGUUAUAAAACUAGGCUGUGGAUUUGGGUUUAAAACUUGGUAUUUAAAGCACUGAUUUCUGAAUGAUAUGAAACAUUUUUACUAAAUGUGUGGCACAUCGAGUCUCUGGCACCGAUCCUGUAACUCCUCUGUAUUGAUAUCUGUUUAAAAAACUGAAAGUGCUAUAGAUAGUAUAUACUGAGCCUGCUAUAGAUAGAUUGUACUGAAAACAUUCAGGUUAGUAUAUACUAAUACUGUAGUAAAAUCGAUAAACACUGGUAGACACUGCGUCGUACGAAAACAAACUACGAACUACUAAAACUAUUUCUAUAAACCAUCUGCUAAUAACUAUUUAACUGUAAACUGAUUCAUAAAACUUUUAAUACAGAUAAGUGCGACUAGACGUUGAGCGCAAGGUAGAGGCCAAGGUAGAGGCCGUAGAGGGGCUCGAGCUGAGUCCUCUUCACUGGGCAGUAUGCCAAAUCUAGACACUAGCGAGACGCCAGUGUCGCCUGUCACUGCUAGGUCACAAGACCGAGUGACUAGAGACGACGCACUGUUUCAAGCCAUGUUAAGGAUUGUAGAGAAGGUCGCUAGGCCCAAUACUAGAGCUGGAGGCUGAAGGUCGACUACGGAAUGACCCCGGUCCAAUGGAACCGAGAAUUUUAGGGGUACUGCUGGAUUUACCCCUAAUGUGGCUGAGUACUAGAUAGAGGCCACAGAGAGAAUUAUGGAUGACCUAGACUGCACUCUUGCGUAGAAGUUAAAGGGUGUUGUAUCGUUGUUACGAGAUGAGGCUUAUCAGUGGUGACUCACUGUUAAGAGGGGCACUCAGCCUGAUCGACUGACCUGGGAGUUCUUUAAGACCGUUUUCCGUGGAAAGUAUGUGGGUGCUAGUUAUGUGGAUACCCGUAGGAGAGAAUUCUUGAAUCUGACUGAGGGGGACAGAUCAUUGGCCGAGCAUGAGGCCGAGUUUUUACGACUGAGCUGCUAUGCGUGUGUUAUGGUGGCAACUGAAUAUGAGCAAUGUGUUCGCUUUGAGGAUGGCCUCGUGGAUAAUUUGAGGGUUCUGAUAGCUCCACAGAGGGAGUGAGACUUUGCUGCAUUGGUUGAUAAGACGAAGAUUACAGAGGAAAUAAAGCGCGCUGAGUACUAUAAUCGAGAAAGAGGUAGGAAGAAGAGGGAUUUGGAGCCCUCGAGUUCUGUUCAGAGGCCUUAGAAAAAGGCCAGAGUUAAUGGGCCGAUCAAAGUUGGGGCUCCCAUUGCUGGUACUAGAUAGCCGCUGUGUAUUGACUAUGGUAGAUGCCAUCAGGGCGAGUGUUGGAAAAGAAUUAGGGCAUGUUUGAGGUACAGUUCUCUAAAGCACCGUAUUAGAGAGUGUCCAUGGAGGUCUGAUCAAAUGCAAGCUCCGGGUAAUAAUACUGUACAGCCACCAAUAGUAAUUCAUCAACCAUCGAGAGGCCGGGGUCAAGCUAGAGGUAGUAAUGGUUUGGGUCGUGGUCAGAGAGCACCGGGUAGAGGUGCUAGACAUACUGAGGCGAGGAAGCCAGCUCUACUUUAUGCUACUCGUCACCUAGAGGAUGGAGAUGCUCCAGACGUCAUUACGAGUACAUUCUUUAUUUAUAAUGUACCAUAUACUGCACUGAUAGAUAUAGGAUCCACUCACUCCUAUAUAGCUUGUACCGUAUCUAAAAACUUGGGUAUAUUGGUUGAGAGCACUACGAGUGAGGUCACUGUACUGAGUCCAUUGGGGCAGUCAAUAAGGGUUAACAAAAUGUUUAGAGAUGCUCCUCUAUAGGUUCAAGGAGCUAUCUUUUUCGUUGAUAUGGUAGAACUGCCUUUUGGGGAAUUUGAUCUGAUAUAGGGAAUGGACUGGUUGGUUAAACACCGAGUGAGCUUAGAUUGUGCCACGAAAAUGGUUAUUUUGAGAAUUGUGGAAGAUAGAGAGGUAGUCGUAAUUAGGGAGCGUUGGAACUAGUUAUCGAAUGUGAUUUUUACAUUAAGGGCUGAAAAGUUGGUUCAUAAGGGAUGUUAGGCGUAUCUGGCUUACAUCAGUGUUUUAGAUUCUAGGGGCUCUUCGGUUAAUGAUGUCAGGACGGUUAAGGAGUUUUCGGAAGUUUUUUUUCUGAAGAGCUACUUGGGUUACCUCUAAAUGGUGAAGUAGAGUUUGGGAUUGAGCUCCUUCACGGUAUAGCUUCAGUGUUCAUUGCCCCUUAUAGAAUGGCACCAAAAGAACUUGUGGAGCUUAAGGCCCAGAUUCAAGAGCUACUAGAUCGUGGGUUUAUCUGCCCUAGUGUGUCUCCGUGGGGAACACUGGUUUAGUUUGUGAAAAAGAAGGAUGGGUCCAUGCGUAUGUGUAUUGACCACCGGUAAUUGAAUAACUUAAGCAUUAAGAAUAAGUACCCCCUACCAAGGAUAGACGAUCUAUUUGAUCAGUUCUGAGGUGCUUUGAUUUUCUUUAAGAUUGAUCUACGGUCAGGAUAUCACUAGUUGAGAGUUAAAGAGGCUGACGUGCAUAAGAUGGCAUUUAGGACUCGCUAUGGUUAUAACGAGUUCCUAGUGAUGCCAUUUGGACUGACAUGCACCGACAGCUUUUCUGGAUCUGAUGAAUCGAGUGUUCCAGCCCUAUCUGGAUCGGUUCGUAGUGGUAUUUAUUGAUGAUAUAAUGGUGUAUUUGAAAACUGAGGAUGAACACGAUAAACACCUCAGAGUGGUUCUACAGAUUCUGCGAGAAAAAUAAUUAUACGCCAAGUUCAGUAAAUGUGAGUUAUGGUUACGUGAAGUAACGUUUUUGAGACAUGUGGUUUCUGCUGAGGGGGUUAGAGUCAAUCCUCGAAAGAUUGAGGCUAUCAUGGAUUGGAAGUAGCCUAACAUUGUAUCUGAGAUUCGUAUUUUUCUGGGACUGGCAGGGUAUUAUCGAUGAUUUGUGGAGGGAUUUUCUCUGAUUAUCGCACCCUUGACAAAGCUACUACGUAAGGGUGUGUCGUUUAACUGGACUGAUGCGUAGCAAGAGAGCUUUGAAAAUCUCAAGACUAUACUGAUGGAGGCCCCUGUUCUAAUACAGCCAAAGUUUGGAAAAGAGUUUACUGUUUACAACGACGCAUCACAUGUCAGUUUAGGAUGUGUGUUGAUGAAAAAGGGUAAGGUGGUAGCGUACGCAUCUCGUCAGCUUAAGACUCAUAAGGAAAAUUAUCCUACGUAUGACUUGGAGUUGGCCGUAGUGGUAUUCGCACUGAAAAUCUGGAGGUAUUACUUGUAUGGUGAGAAGUGUAUCAUUGACACUGAUCACAAGAGCCUCAAGUACCUCCUCACUCAGAAGAAGCUGAAUCUUAGUCAGCGUAAAUAGGUUGAGCUGCUUAAAGACUACGACUGUACUAUUGAAUACCACCCUGGUAAGGCUAAUGUGGUGGUUGAUGCACUGAGCCGUAGAGCUAUGAUUAACCUGAGGCCGAUGUUUACUCGCCUCAGUUUAUUUGAUGAUAGUAGUCUGUUGGCCGAAAUUUAAGUUAAAUCAAUGUGGAUAGAGUAUAUUAAGGGUAAAUAGAUAGAGGAUGAGCCCUUGGGUCUUCAUUUCUGACAGGUUGAGAGUGAGAAUACCAAGGAUUUUGGACUGAAUAGUGAAGGGGUGCUCUGUUUCCAUUGGAGAAUCUGUGUACCAAAAGAUACUGAGCUGAGGCAAUCUAUACUGCGAGAGGAGCAUAGUAGCCCUUAUGCUAUGCAUCCUGGCAGAAAUAAGAUGUACCGCGACCUUCGUGAGUUAUACUGGUGGCUAGGUCUUAAGCGAGAGGUUACUGAAUUUGUGGCUAAGUGUCUGACUUGCCAGCAGGUUAAGGCUGAGCAUCAGUUACCUUCGGGUUUGUUACAGCCAGUCAAGAUUUCGCUUUGGAAGUGGGAGAGAGUGACUAUAGACUUCGCUAGUGGGUUACCCCUAAAACCUACUAGGAAUGAUUCUGUAUGGGUCAUCGUGGAUCGAUUGACCAAGUCCGCCCACUUUAUACCAGUUCGUACCAACUACUCUCUACAAAAGCUGGCUAAAUUUUGUGUCUGAGAUAGUGAGACUGCAUGGGGUAUCGGUUUCAAUAAUAUCUAAUAGGGAUCCUCACUUCACGCCUUGAUUUUAGAAGAAGCUACAUGAAUCUCUAGGUGUAAGAUUGGACUUUAGUACUAUGUUCCAUCCUGAGACUGGCAGUCAGUCAGUCAGAAAGGGUGAUUCAAAUACUGGAGGAUAUGUUAAGAAGUUGUGUGAUUGACUUUCGAGGUAGUUGGGAGGAUUACCUGCCGCUAGCAGAAUUUGCGUAUAACAACAACUAUCAGUCUAGCAUUCAAAUGGUCGUAGGUGUCGCACAUCUUCAUGUUGGACUGAGUUGGGCGGACGACGUGUUUUAGGCAUUAAGCUAGUUUUUGAUACCGAGGAAAAAGUUAGGUUGAUUCGAGACCAACUGAAAGCAGUAUCUGAUAGGCAGAAGUCCUACGCCGACAUGAAGCAUCAAGAGAUUGAGUUUUCGAUGGGGGACUUUGUUUUCCUCAAGGUCUCGCUGUGGAAGAAGGUACUAAGAUUUGGUCACAAUGGCAAGUGGAGCCUUGGAUUUAUUGGACCUUACCGUGUGCUUAAGCGAGUGGAACCGGUUGCUUACCAGCUGGAAUUAGCUCUGGAAUUGGAUCAGAUUCAUGACGUGUUCCACGUCUCUAUAUUGAGGCGCUACUGCUCUGAUCACAUGCAUAUUGUUCCUGUUGAGGAGAUCGAGGUUAGGCCAAAUCUGACAUUCAAAGAAGAGCCAAUUCAGAUAUUGGAGCGAGAUGCAAAGGUUCUAAAAAGGAAAUCCGUCCCACUAGUUAAGGUUCUUUGGAGUAAUCAUAGCUCUGAGGAGGCCACGUGGGAGCCUGAGGAUGCGAUGCGAUAGCAGUAUCCUCAUCUAUUUUGAUUAUGUAAAAUUUCGAGGUCAAAAUUUGCUUUUAAGGGGUAGAGUUGUAAAACCCCAAAAAUCCCUUAUAUAUUUAUUUUUGUAUGUUUGUGACACGAAUAUAUGUAAGCUUUAGUGGUUAUGUGUUCUGGCAGUAUCUGAGAAGUCUUGGGUUCAAGCCUUAACUUGGGUAAAAAAAAUUGUUUUAAUUGAAUAAAUCUCUAUCUCUAACCAGUAGGCUUAUAAAUAAAUAUUGGUGAAAUAUGUUAGAAUGGGUCGCUGGUCUGAUGGUUAAGUGGAGUGCUUAUGUCACAAGAGGUUUGGAGUUCGAGUCCUUGCAUAGGCAAAGAGGAUAAUUUUUGCUCUUUGUUUUGGCAAGAGGUUGUUUUGACUGGGUUUCUGAGUGGUACUGACGUGGUGGGGGAGUGUUGGAGUGAUUUUAGGACGGAAAUAUAGGAUUGGAGUGUUGGAGUGAUUUUAGGAGGAAAACAUGGGAUUGUGGAGUUAUCUUUCUUCCAAAUUCAAUCAUUUGGCAUAGUUUUUCUUUUCUUUUCGUUUUGCUCCACCAUUUUCUUUUGCUUUUCUUACCCAUUUUCUGUCAUUUUUCCUUCCGCAAUUCCCCAUUGUUGCUGGCAAAAUUUUAAUUGGUAUUCUUUCUUUCUCUUUAACUUGCGAUUUUCCAUUCAAUUGUUUGGGAUUUUAUAUUGUUGUGUUGUGCAUGGUUGGUAAGUUUGGAACUGUUGUUAGACUAUUGGUUCUUUUGGUAAUUAAUUGAUUAAGAGGGCUUUCGACUGGUUUUAGGUGUUAAUCGAGAGGCUGAAUAGUGGUCUUCAACGAUUUAAGUGUUUAGGAUCUCUGUUGAUUAACUGAAGGUAUGGGUUUGUUUUUUGAUUAUAGUUUGGUAUACCUCACCGAAUAUUAUCGAUUAAAGAUAACUGAUUAGAUGGUUACUUUCUGUUUUGAUAGCAAAGAAUUGGGUAGACUAGGGCUGUUAUAGCAUUGAUUUGUGGUUUGAUCGUUGAAGUGUUGAGGGUAAGUGAGCUUUUGUAUAAUUGUUGAUGUUGUCAAGUUGACCUUUUAAGGUGCUGGAGUGAUCGUGGUGGCAUUAGCAUCAAAAACGUUUUAGGUUUGUAAUCACAUCCCUGAAAAUGCUAGUUGGUAAAAAGCCAAAAAAUAGGACCGACGACACCACAUGAGCUUAGAACCGCUCGUGUGGUAGGCCGUGUGAUCAAACAUGGCUGUGUGAUCGACGAGGCUGGCCAUGUGUGAUUCAUGGGCUAGGCCAUUUUGGGACGUGUAGGCCACACGGGCGUGUGGGCCCAUAUGAGCAAGCAACAUGGGCUUGUAGGCCCAUAUCCUCUGUUUGACUGUUAAGGUUGCACGAGUUGCCCCAGUCGACUGCGGACCUACUGUAGGGUCAGUAAGCUUACCUAAACCCCUAAUUGACUGAAUGACUGUUAUAUCCAUAUAUGAUAUUUAUAUAUAUAUGUAUGACUGUAUAGAGAGCAUGUUGUUAGAAACUGUACUAAUUUUAUGUAUGAUACUAUGAUUUGGCAUGACAUGAUUGUAUGAUGCAUCACAUGGGGAUGGGUUGAUAUUGAUCGGAGGAAGUGUACUAAAAGGCUUCGAGCCUAACUUACUGGUAGCUCAGCUACAUAUUACUGUAUGGUGCCGUAUUCGAUAGUACUUGGAGUGUAGGGAUGGGUGGGUUGAUUAUAUCCCUACAUGGAGUGUAGGGUUGGACAGAGAUGGAGUGUAGAGGCUAGCUGGGUAGGACCUAUAUACUAUAUAAUCUAUUACUGUACUAAUUAUUGUUACUGUAAUGCGCGAAGGCCCAAACACAUGAUUGCUUUGCACUGAGAUGGGCUAAAGCCCAAACUGAUAUUGUCACUGAUACUGAAAAGGGCUUAGGCCCAAACUAUAAUUGCUUUUUGUCUAUUUGCUUAUUAUGGGAUUACACACUGAGUUUUCGUAAACUCACCCUUCUGAUUUAACUGUACAGGUAAUCCCCAGACACAGGCGAAUUGGUGCGACGGAGGACUCAGCGAUGGCCACACGACCUAUUUAAUUUGAUUUAGUACUUAAUUAAAAUUUUGAAUCUAUUUCGGCGGUAUUUUAUUGUAAUUAUGGCCUCUUUGGAUUUUUACUUUUAAUUUGAGGUUUCUAUUGUUUGAUUUACAACUGCUAGUAGUAGGAAUAUUCGAGUUUUCAAAACGAAACAAACUUUUUAACAAAAUACGCUCAAAUAUGCAAAUGUUUUAAAAGCUUCCGCAUAGAAUAAAUGUUUUUGAAACUUUGGACUGAUUAAUUAACACGACUUUAGAAUUAACAAGUAAUAAUGAAAAGUUUCUAAGUGGAAAAUGUUUUAAGCAAAGUUACAGUUUUCCAACACAACAUACGGUUUUCGAACACACUACCAUGUGACAUCUCUAGAUUCGGCCAUUACGUCUAGGCCGGGUUUGGAGCAUUACAUUAACAACUUUGUUCUAAUCUAACUACGUUACAAAAUAUCAUUUGAGAGUAACAAAAUGAAUAGUAGCAUGAACUUUAGCUACAACUUCUUGGCUCGGGCAACUUUGCUGCUUCUUGUCUACAUGCAGGCCAGCUUCAACAGCCAAUUUUAAAUCGUCAACCAAAGCUUCAAACUCUGCCCAAACCGCGUCCAGGUAUUUAUUUGCAUAACCAUAGCUCCUCCCAAGAACGAAACCUUCAUGGUCUCUGGCUAUAGCCCCAUACCUGAUACUUCCAUUCAAAACUACAGCAUCAACAUUGAUUUUAAUAAAACCAAUUGGAGGCUUCGUCCAGCUUUUACGCACUCACGUUGGGGGAUAACAGUACUGUUGAAGAUUCUAAAAUCUUUGCUGAGAGUCUGCCUUCUUUCCCACACCGCCAAAGUCGUAUCAUCCUUACCUUGAAAGACCAUCUUGUUCCUAUCAUUCCAACAGUUCCAAAGGAGAGUAAAAAAGUCCACAGCAGCUUUGGUGUCAAGCUCAAGAAGGACGUCUUUCAGCCAGUCAAUGCACCUCUCGUUUCUACCACUAAGUAGCCUAUUGUUUAGGCCACUGAUCAUGAAGAUCUCACGGACCUUUGGGCAUUCUUUCAUGGCAUGGAUAAGAGUUUCGUCACCGUUUUUGCAUCUUGGAUAGGUUGUCGAGAAGUUGUGACGGAUGCGGGCAAUAUUGUCGUAAGUAGGAAAAACAUUAUGGCCUAUUCUCCAGUGAAGACUUUAAUAUUGGGGAGCAUUCAUAACUUCCAAAUAAUUCUCCAAAAUAAUCUGUGAGGACCGAAACCAAUUUUCCCAAGGGAUAACGACGAAGAAGUAGAUUUUGAGGUAUAAAAACCAUGAGGGUUUUGAUUCCACGUUCUACUAUCAUUUAUCCCAUUAUGGAGAAUAGGUAAAUUACAAAUAUGAGUCCCUAUUAUUUUGCCAUAUAAUUCAAUAACCCUCUCUAUUUUCCACUACCUAUGAUUGUGGUCCCACAAGUCUUUGACUUUUCUUUCUUCAUUUGUUAACAAUGACAAUCCCCAUUAAGACCCUCUAUACCCCAUUGAUCCCUUCGAAUGUCCAUAGUGUUGCCAGCCCCAACCUGCCAUAGAAAUCCAUCCUUGAGAACUUCGAUCGCCCUAGCUAUACUAGACCAAGUAAAAGACAGUUUAUCACAGUAUUUAGGCCCGAACACAUCACUUUCGGGGAAAUAUUUUGCACCCAGCACCUUAAGACAUAAAGUGUCCUUGAAGUUUAACAGCCUCCAAACUUGUCUACCUAGGAGGGCUAUAUUAAACAAAUGCAUAUCCCCAAAGUUGAUGCCUCCCAUACCUUUUGUGGUAACAUAAACGCUCUCAAGCCAUCAUAGCCCAACCCCUAGUCUUUUCAUUGUUCGUCCACCACAUUCGACCCAUUUUCGAGUGUAAGUCCUCAAUGAUACCUUUUGGGGCAAGAAAGACAGAAAAUGCAUAGGUUGGAAUAGACUGAAUAAUUGCUUUUAUGAAGAUCUCUUUUUCUCCAUAAGAAAGAAGCAGCUUCAACAAACUAUUGAUCCUGCAAGCACAAUGAUUAAUGAUAUUAGUAAAAGAAAAUGAUUUCUUUCUACUUAUAGGCAAAGGUAACCCAAGAUAAUUAUCGACCAUACACAUCCCGAGCAUGGAACAAAAAAGAUGCCUUUGAGGCAAAAGAGUUUUCGGACUAAACAUAAUCAUGGAUUUAUCAUUGUUAAUUUUUUGGCCCGAAACAUAAGUAAACUUCGUUAUGAUAUUGACGAUUUCUUCUACAUCCUUUUUUCUUGUUAGAAUAAAAAGUAGUGCAUGAUCAGCAAAAAAUAGGUGAUUAAUACGCGGUCCAUUAAUGCUAGCCCGGAUUCCUUUUAAAAUAUUAUUAUUUUGAGCUUGAAUUAACAGUUUAGAAAAAACUUCCAUGCAAAAGAGAAAAAAGAUAGGGAGAGAGAGCAUCCCCUUGUGUGAGGCCCCUUUUCGGCACAAUAGUUUCAAAAAGGGUCGAGUUGCAUUUGACCAAGUAACUGACCGAACGAACGCAACUCCUUACUUUAGUCACCCAAGCAUCCGUAUAGCCCACUCUUUUCAUAACCUCUUCAAUGAAAUUCCAUUCAACCCUAUCAUAUGCUUUGCUCGUGUCAAGCUUGGUCACAAAGCCUUUAUUUGGACCGUUUUUAGCAUUUUGAAGGUAAUGGACCAACUCAUGAGCGAUUAAGAUGUUGUCGUGAAUCAUACGUCUGGGAACAAAUGCGCUUUGAUUUUGACUAAUGCAAUUCGGAAGAGUAUAUUUCAGCCGAUUUGCAAGAACUAUAGCAAAGAUCUUGUAGACCACCCUACAAAGACUAAUCGGACGGAAAUUAGUCAUAUCAAUAGGCUCUUUUAUUUUUGGGAUAAGAACAAUAAUUUGUAAAAAUAUAUGCGCACAUGUCAUGGGGCUAGAAUUUUAGUCUAACAAACCGCGCGGUCUUAUGCGAUUUCUUGGGUUCAAAUCCUACCUAAGUUAAUGUACUCUCGAAAAUGAAAAUUCUUGCAGAAAUUCUACAAGGCACUAAAGCAAAGAAGCAAAGUCGAAAUGAAAGAGAAAAGAAUAGAUAGGAAAGCCAAAUAGAAAUAUCUUACACCAAGUGUUUGAGUAACUGCUUUCAAUAUAUUCUUAACUCAAUAAUGGAAUGAUUACAAAUGAAGGGGAGAACUUUAUUUAUAAUUGAGCUCUCCAAAGUUCAAUGGUAUAUGUUGAAUUACAUUAAUGGCUAAGAUUAGUUUCCAUCUACAAUAAGUGACUCUUAAGGGACUCAAAUUUUAUACAUUUUUAUCCUUUAGGAUUUACAAUAAUUACCCUGGUAAAAUACAUUGUUUACAAUUUAGCUAGGACCCAAGUAGAUGGGCCUUGAGUCCUUUCCAAGAAAUGGGCCAGUCUUGUCCAGCCGAAUGACCCGCAAUGAACAAGAGGGAACAUCAGAGUGUGCCUUGGUUGCAGGCUUCUUUGCACUGCUCAUGACAUUCUCCCCCACUUGUUCUCACGACUCCCUCAUCACAUCCUCGGAAUGGAACUGAUCUAUCUUCUCUUGGAACUACCAUAAAGCUUCGACAGGUUCCCAACUAGCCUCACUAUCAGGAAGUCCCUUCCAUCAAAAAAGGUACUCUUGCUUUGGCCUGUAGUACUUCCAUUGGAUUACUCGGUCUACCAUGAUGCAUUCAACAUCACGAUCAUAGGAGACCUAUCUCACAUUGGUGCUUUUUCGGGCUUGCCUCGAUUUGGAUCCUCCUGAUCCUCAUGGAAAGGCUUAAGCAUACUAACAUGGGACACCAGAUUGACCUUGAGUUUUGAGGAUGGUGGAUAAUAUUUUUAUCCAUUCUACCUCGAUUUGAUGUGAUUUAAGCAAACCAAGAUGAAUUAAAAGUUACGUUGUGAAUAUGGAUUCGUGCUCUAAAUAUAAAAUGCUUGUUCAACUUCGAUAGAUUUUUUUUUGUGUUGAGAAAAGUUAUUUUAAGUGGUUGUCGAAGUGCCAUUGGAAUUGGCCACUAUGGUUGACAUUACAACAAACAAAAUAACUUGUCAUUCUUGGAGUUGGCAAUCUUUUCAACAAAAUUAGUUGGACAACAACUUGGAUGAUUUUGUGGAUGUGUCUUGGCUCAUAUUUUCAAAUUCAUCUUGUAGAGUUACAAACCUUUGAAGAUUGAAUCCAUCCGAAUAAAGCAAAUUAGAUCCAUUGUUUUGUGGAGAUUAGCUUGAUUGAUUUGAAAACUUAUUUUGGAGAUCAUUGAUUUAUUCUAGAUUGUACGAGGAUACUUUUAAAGUAUUUUCUGUGAAUCUAUUUUUCUUAAGAUCUCGUUUUUAAUUGAUUUUUAUUUUAGUAAGCCUUAAACUCUUAUAUAUUAGAAGCAUAAUACCCUUUUAAAUUAAGUAAAUAGAAGCUUUCUUUUAUCUUUCAAUUAAAAUCUAAUAUAUAUUAAUAAAAAAAUUAGAGAUAUUUUUAGAUCACAUUUAAGUAUAAAAUUCAACUCAUAUUUUUAAAAAUAUAUAGUCUGAAUGCUUUUAUUCUAAUCAUUAUCUUAGACCCGUAUGUAUAUUGUUGGUGGAAUUAAAAAAAUAAGUUUUGAAUGUGGGUAGAUGCAGUAGCUGGAGAAAACAUAUUAAGUGAAAUAAUAAGCUAAUAAAGGGCCUUUUAUUUUUCCAUAAUAAUAUUAUACAAACAGUCAGCCAUGCAAAUGCAUGGCAGUGACAUAAUAUUGCGAAGGCCUUAACACGAAGACACUCAUACAUCUACUACUGGGUAUCAUAUUUAGUACAGUAGUGGUAUAGGCAAUGCACCCAGAGGGAAGCACAUUAUUAUUUAUUUUAGAUAGCCUUCAUUAUCACAACAAUUUGAUCAGCAAGCAAAACCCAGUUAUGCCUCUGACUCAAAUGAUGCCUUCAGUGUCGGCGAACGUUUCUUGGGAUCAAUUUCCAUUGAUGCAACGUACCCAAACUUUCUAACUUUAGAUUUUGAGCUUCCUCUUGUGUCAAGAUCGGUUUUGAUUUGCUCCCAACGAAUAGGUUCUUUGUGGAUAUUAGUAUAGACCUGCAACAAGCAUACAGUUAAUCAUAGACUAUCUGAUUAUAUCUAUGUAUAUAUACCCACUUUGAUUAAUAGUAAGAUUGAAUUGAAUGCAAUAUAUACCUUGCUGUCUUCACCUUGAGGGUUGCUCCAAGCAACAAUCCACCUAGUUCCAUCAUGUAGCUUGUACACAAGACCAACCAUGGAACCUGGAACAUCAUUCUGCUCAGUCACUGCAUCAUGCGUAAACUCACCCACAUAUCUUCAAUGGUUUCCGGGAAAUCCGCGUCAUGAGAGCCUUGCCAAACUUUCUUGCCACUCAGGGUUACAGUUUCGCUGGUAGAGUUCCAAAGCUUGCCCAUUGUGUAUUUUUGAGCUUUUUUCAUUUGACAAUUAGCCAUGGUAGCUUCGUAUGUGUUUUGCUUUGCUAUAGUUUGAUUUGGUUGUGUUAUGUUUCAAAUAUUGCAAUACACACCUACUUAUAUACUAGCUCAGAUCACGCAUGCAUGCAUGCAUACAUGUAUUGUCCAUAAGAACAAAGUGAUGUGCAUGGAAGUAGUAUACUACGUUCAGUGGCGGAGCCACGUUGAGGUCGAGGGGGCCAAAAUUUAAAAUUUUCAAUUUAGUCCUUUGUAAAUUAACACUAUGGCCCUCCAAAAAUAUAAGUAGGCCACCCCGAAGGUUUAAAAUUUUUUCAAUUUUUUCCUUUGUAUAUAUAUAUUAUAGCCUUCCUAAAAGUAUAAGUAGGCCCUCCAAUAUUUUUAUAGGAUUAAAAAUAAUAUUAAAAAAUUUAUUAUUGAUAAAGACAAAGAGAAAAUCUUCUUGAAGAAAAUAAAUUACUCAUGAUGAUUUUUGAAUGAUAUUUUUGCUAAAUAAUAAUAAAUUAAUGUUUAUUUAAUAGUUUACUUAACCUAAUAAUAUUUUAUAAGUAAUAUAAUAAUAUAUAUAUAUAUAUAAAAAGAAAAGAAAAGAUGAAGAGACUUUUAUCAUCUUACUUCUUCAUAUUGUUGCUUAGCAAGAAAAGAAGAAUAAAAAAAUUUCUUUAUCAUUUUUCCUCCAAAUUUGAAGUAUAAGGUAUGUUUUUCUUCAAACUUUUCAAAAAUGUUGAAUAUUUGAAACUUGUUUUACAUAUAUGUACCAAUAGUUUUUUGUUUUAUCAAGUAUAUUAAAAGUUGUCAUUAAAGGAUCUUGAUGGAACUUAGAAGCUUAUAAAAUUAAGUGAAAUGUGUAUGUUUUUGGAUGGAAAAAGAUUAGGAGACGGUUUCUAACUUGUUAGAAGUGUAAAAAUGAAACAAAAAUAGUUAGAUAAUGUUAUAGUAAGUUUCGGCCAAAGUGAAAGGGAGGAAGAAAACCUUGGUCACUUUGUUUAAAAUUAUGUCAAAUGAUAGCAUGUGAAGCAGUGAGCAUUCCUGUAAAAACGGAAAAAAAAGGUUAACCGAAUCAAAUGAUAGCUAUUUCAUCUUAAUUGUUGGAAUAUUAUUUCUUUUGAAAAAAAAAUUAUAUGUUUAAAUCGAUUGUCAUGUUGGAAUACUUCUUCUUUUGAAUCGGUUGUUUAUAUGUUUAUAUCGACAGUUACAUAACACUUCUAAUUUUAACUUGGGCCCAAAAUUAAAAUCCUAACUCUGCCAUUUCUACAUUGGUAUCCAAACUUUUUAUCUCCUUUUUCCUUUUCCUUAUUCCUAAUGUUGAGGUGUUUUUUCUUAUAUUAUUAUAAUUAUUUACUAAGCUCCACGUAGCUCAUUACAAUCUUUAUCUUCUCUCUCUCUCUACGUACAUAUAUUCCUCCUAUUAUUGAUAUAAACAUAUACGUUUGUCAUCGUUCUCACAAUUUUGGUGGGAUAGUGAAUGACAAAUUUGGAGGGACCGGAAUCUUAUCGAUUAAAAAGGUUACUAAAGCAUCAGAAUAACUUUUAAGAUGAAUCCAGAAAAAUAUUAUGUUAAACAAAUUAUGUUACAUCAUAUUUUUACUAAAGCUUAUUUAUUUAAUACAUGUUAGAUUAUGGAACACUUAUUAGGUAGAUGGUUGAAAAAAUAUAUGUUUGAUCUAAUAUGGCUUUAGAUAACUGUUUAGACAUCAUAAUUUGUUAUAUUUGUUGUUGGUAAUCUUUUUUAACUAAAAGAAUUAUAUUAAAAUUAAAUUUAUAUUAUGGAAGUGUGUUGGUCCAUCUGAAAAGAUGGUCUUAUGGAGAAAAUGAUCUUAAAAGAUUGGAGUGAACUAGAUCAUACAAAUUAGAUUUUUUAUUUUAUAGAGAUUGAACCAAAUGAUUUAAAAGAAAUAUGUUGAAAUAUCUUAUUUAUCCAAGACUUUAUUAGGAAAUUUGUAGUCUUGGUAUUACAAUUGGUUGGUAUUUUAGCAAGCCUCAAAUGCUAAUAUAUUGGGAGGCUUGUGUACGUAACUGAUAAGAGAGUUAGCACUUUAUUUUGUUUAAUUAAGAACUAUUAUAUUAAUGCAUUUUGUUCACUUGAUUUGAUAAUUGAGUUUUUAAGAGAAAAAUUUAAUGGCGUGAUUUAAAUUUUUAUGAGUGUGAAGUUGCUAUAUGGUGAGCGACUUAAAUCAUCAUUUCUAUAUACUUGAACUUAAUAUAUUAUCUCUCUAACUACACCUCGCAAACGUAAAUGAAAAUCAUGCCGUAUAACCAAUUUUUUUUGUAUUACUGUUUUUAUCGUUAAUUGAAAAUUUAUAACUAGCGAUACAUCAUAUCGUAAAAAUCAAUUGUUUCAUAAUUAAAAAUGCACAAACAAAGAAACAUCAAUGUCAACAUUAAACUUAUCUCUCCCGAAGAGCUAAGAUUAAGGUUACCACUUUAAACUGCAUAAUUCUAAAAGCAGAAGGUGAGCGGAUAGGAAUUUGUCCCCUAAUCAUACAUUCUGACUCAACAUGAAUUGAAUAUAUGCUCUUUUAUUUUUUAUAAAAAUUGAAUAUAUGCUUAUUAACUUUAAAAAAAAAAAGGAAUGUAUAUUAUACGUGUCUCCUUCCAAUAGUUUUAGCUUUAUUUUAUUCGUAACUAGUAUGGUUCCCAUUAGGUUUCAUGUUGAAUUAAUUGUUUUAAUCUUUUUCUUCUCAAUCGAGAAAAAUAAUGUAAAAUCGAGAAAGACAUAGGAAUCAUCAACAUCUUUCAAGGACAACAUGAAUACAACAGUAUUACUAUUGACAACCAAAGACAAAAUCCUCCAGGCAACUAGAACUAUAAUGCAUUAAACAAAAUUCACCACCGGGCUUUAAAAAAAAAAGGAAGAUCAUGAUAUACCAGCUUUUGCCAAAGCGUCCUCCAUACCAUUACCUUACUUGUGAAUAUCUUCGAACCGAAAUUGAGCCAAUUGGUUAGUGCCACAGUCGAUAUCCCCAAACAAUUUCCGUAACGAUCACAGUCUAUAAUUCCUAUUCAUCAACCAUUCCGAAGUUACACUCGAGCAAAAUUCGAUGACUAAAGGUAUAUGCGCCUUCCAACAUGACCCAAUAUACAUAUCCACAUAUGUUUUAAUUGCCCUUAUAUUUGUCAUUUCUGAUUCCCUAUCUUAAGUCCUCCCCGAGAAUAACACACAAGCCACUCCUUUAUCAUCUCUCAAAACCCCACCACAACCCGCUUCAUCCUCCAAAGCAAGAGCUACAUUUCGCAGGCCAAAACCACCAAUAGCCUGUUGAAAAUAGGCAAUCUUCAUGCACUGAUGGGCGUCGAAUCCACCAAUAUAAACCUACACCUAAUUUUGCAAUUUUAAGCAGUAUAGGGAGUAGGGUCAAUCCCUCAGAGACUGGGUUUACUGCAAAUUGUUGCUCUCUUGACCAGAUUUAAGUCGGGGCUGUUGUCGUGCCCAAGAAAUUUGGGAGGAGGAUAAAAUCGUAAACCUGGAACCUGAAAUAAAUAAAUAAAAUGUGUAAAAAGUAAAAGCUGAAAAUAAAUAAUAAAAAGCAGUUAAAUAAAUCUGAAGAAAAAUUAAUUAAAAUAAGCUCAGCUUUAGGCACGGAUUUUUCCUCGUCUUUGAACCAAUCCUCGAAAUUAGAUGAACUCCUCUUUUCCAAUAAGCUAGUUAUAGCUACCAAGGACGCCUCGGACACCAACUUUUCCUUGUGUAAAUUAGUUAUGGAACGUCCAAUAACUAACCCUUGUCGAUCGAACAACCACGAAACGUUUGUGAUUUAGAACUCCGGCAGCCUUGCGUUCUAGAAGAGCCUAGCUCGAACCAAUGUCCUCAACCGCGUGGGACAUUUAAAUCCGGUUACUACUUCCCUUGACAGAACCAAACAGCUAUCUCCACUUGGCACGCCAAUGUGUUCACAAAAAACCGAUUAGAAACGUUCCUUUCAGAAUUCCAACUGUACAUCUAACCACACUAACUCAAACGACAUCUUUUUUGACUUAGUGUUGAUCUGACUUUAUGAGCUGACAAAAUCAUAUUCUUAAUCCAGAGAAAUAAUAAGUAUUGGAGUUUUGGAAUUAAUUUGCUCGGGUUCGUAACUCACGGGUUUUGACGAGGCUAAUUUCGGCCUAAAGCUGAAAUGGAUACUUGAUAAUAAAAACUUGGUAAUUUAAAACUUGAUUAAUAACUUGAUUCAAGACUUGAGAUAAAAAUGAACAAAGUAGUCCACUAUUUAUACUAGUGGCUUUGCUAAAUUAAGAGCCAACUAGUAUAGAAAAUCAAGGAAUAAAAUAUUAAAAAUCCCUACAUAAUCUCCCACUAAGUCAACAAAAAUUUCAACUAAUUAAUCUUGGAAAAAUUCUGCUUUGGCCCUCCUUCUUUGCUCCUUUCUUCAAUCUAGCCCAAUUGUUUCAUUUUUCUUCUAUUUAGCCCCAAAUUGCACCCCUGCACAAAAUUCAACAAAAACAUGGAAAAAUUAGUGGUGCACUCUCAUAAAUUAACCAAUUUAAUUACAUAAAAUAUGUAACUUUAGCAUUUAAUCAUGCACCGCCUUUACCCACAUCAAAGACCUCAUUUUAGAGUGGUACAACGUUGAAACUAGAUUCAUCGAUGUUAUGUUGAAAACUUUAUUGUUCCGAACUAACCACAUGGUCCACCAUGACGCCGAAAUCGCAAUCAACCAUAAAAUUUUUUGAAACCCUUUCAAAAAAAAUUCCUCUCGUAAAGAUUUUUUUAUCUGAAAUCCCAUUAGGUGCAUAAACAUUAAUCAAGGUUCCAUCCAAAUCUUCUUCAAUCCAUUUUACUUCCCCAACAACAAAAUGUUAGAACAAAGAUAACAACCUGCUUGAAACCGAACCUUGUCCCAUAUUGUUAUUACCUCUCCAAAAUUUCCUACAACAGCCGAAAAUCAAAAUUCAAAAUAUCGUCACUCUCUACCUUCCUAAUUAUGUCCUCAAUACCCAUUACUAGCUUUGAUUCUUCAAUGAAACACAAAUCCACUCUACCUUUACAAAUUACUCUUUUCACGCAAUUUUUUUGAUAUCCGAACACAUGCCCCUAAUGUCCCACAACAAAACCCCUAUUCUUCCCCCCCCAGAAAACCUCCCAUACACAGUAUAAAAUUACAACUACAAUCGAUACUAACCUGCACAAUGGCCUACAGACCCCUGCUCUUUCCUUUGUUGCUCUGAUCUACCUCUCUUUUAGUUUUAUAAUGUCAUCCACAACUUCUCACCUGUCACCUCAAACACAGAACCGAAGUUUUUUUCCACUUCCCAUGCGUUCCUAGCCUCCCUAAGAAUCACUCUCUUUCUAUUGUUGCUGUUAGAGUCGAAGAGAGAGGCGUUAACAACAACCUCCUCUUUGGAUGUGGUUUUUUUUCCUUUUUUCUUUCUCAACGUCCGAUCUCACUUCUUCUCUGCUACAGAAAUGAUUCUAUCUUGAAUUUCAUACAUCGAUCUAAUCUUUCGACCAGGGUUUUUUUGCUUCUUAUGUUUAAGAAAAAUUAGAGAUUCCCCCUCUGAAACCUUUUUUUCUCUGUUUGUUUCUCCCCUACCAAAACUCUAAAUCUUUUAAUAAGAAUACUACAAUCUGGUUCCCCCUGACUCUUUGGAGUUGCCUAUCUGUAAGCCCAAAUCUACCAUUAAGCCCACACCCUACUCAAUUUCUCUUUACUCAUCUUUUUGCUCCCUCUAUAUUUUCCAAUCCUAAAAUAGCUACUAAAAAGCCCAUGUUACUCAUAUUUUCCAUGGCUCGAUUACUAUACCCGAUUUUAUCCUUCUCUCCUAAACUAGGUUCAACCCUCUUUCACUCAUCUGUUCCUCUUCCAACCUUAACAUAUUUUGUAAUGUAUUUUUACAUCCAUCGUUAUGGUUUGAUUUUUCGAGGAUAAACAUAUUAAUUGCUUCGUCUUCCCAACCUAGUCUCUCCUCCGAAGCCUUCUCUGAUCCAGGUCUCUUCACCGAUUCAGAUUAUGAUACGAUUUUGUCUUUCUUAUCUUGUACUGAUUUCUCAUUUUCUCUUCCCUUCACGCCAUGGUCUUUACUGUUAUCACCUAAAGAUUCCGAUAAACCCAUUUCAACAACUCUUAUAGGAAAUUUUAUCCUCCCUACCUCUAGAUAGAUUAGCUCGUCUAUUCUUUCUUGCUAAUUGAUUGAUACCAACAUUGACAUUUUAUUGUAACUUUUAACCGAUGUAGAAUUCUUACCAAGAGAGAUUAACUCUCCCUAUACACCAGCUAUCCUUCUGAAGGAAGUAUAGUUUCAACAGUGCAGGGGGAUGCCAAACGCUUCAAUCCACGACACUCUUUCCUUUACCAUUGUUUUCUCCAAUCAAGGCUCAAUUUUGAUCAAGGCUCAAUACAUCAAACAGUUCCAAGUCUGGUAUUUCAAUCAAAAAGUGUCUUCCUUGGAUUCUUCUAAUUUUAAUUUCCCCUAAUCCAUUCCUAACUAUUCUUUCAAAUAAGCUCUUUGAAUCACAACACGUUGCUAUUGUACCCACCAAGCAUCUUUGAAGCUUCCAAAGUUGCUCCUCUUCAACAUGUCCCUGAACUGUUAUAUUGUUAUUUUUCGCCUUACAAUCCUCUUUUCCAGUCUUAUUCAGAUUGUUGCUAUAUAUCAAAGAGUUUUCUCUUGCUUCCAUUCUGCUAUUUUUUUGUGACUUUUCAUACUCCUCCCUUUCAUUUUUUUUUUCAUUCUUCCGUUGUUCUAAAUUUCCUUCCACUAAAACUUUUUUCCAUAUUUGUCUUCUCCCCUUAAACUAGGAGAAGUCCAUCAAUAAUCUAUUCCCUAAAAGUUAAAAUAUAUUUAGUCAAAUUUAAUCAAAUUAUAGAAUAAAUUUUAAAAGUUAAAAUAUAUUUUAAGUGUAUGUACUUUCUUGGCAUUUAGAAUUUAAUCUUCAUAUUAUUAUUUUAAGAAUUUAGUCCUCUACACAGUGACGGAUCUUAACAUUAAGUUUUUUGGGUAGCUAAAAUUUUAAAAAAUUUCAGGGUUUCUGUGAAAAUUUAUAAAAAUUUUGGUAGGUCUAAUUAAAACUUUAAAAAUUUUUAGAGGUUUAAUGAAAAUUUAAAAAAAAAAGAAGAGUAAAGAGUCUAAUUGAAAUUUUUAAAAUUUUGUAAAGGUUAAUAAUAAUUUUCAAAAAUUUAGGGGGUCUAAUUAAAAAUUUUAGAAAAUUGUAAGGGUCUAACUAAAAUUUAAAAAACUUUGGCAGGCCAAGGUCCCCCUAGGGAGAAUCCACCUCUACCUCUACUUUCAAAUUUAAAACAUUCAACUCCAAUUGUUAAUACCAUUAAAUUCUUUUGUUAAAUUUGCUAGAGUGACCUUUUAAAUUUUUUUUAAAAAUACUCACAUGAUAUCAUUGUAAUAAAAAAAAUAUAUUGUAAUGGACGUGAAUUUUUAUAGAUAAUUUUAAUGGUGAUGACAACAUUUAAAAGUUACAUAAUAAAGUGUUUGGGCUAACCAAUGACGUUGUAAAAGUUGAGGUACCAAAAUAUGUCAAGAGGUUGAAGUAUAAAGAUUAAAUCUUAAAUUUGAGCGUAGUAUAGGGACCAAAAUUAAAACUUGACUAUUUUUAUAUAAUAUAUAGAAAAAAAUACAGUGUCAUACCACUUUGCCAUGUUCAUAGUUUUUUUUUUUACAUCAAGAUGUUUAUAAAUAGUUGAAAAUAAAUAUUUUUAACCUUUCAACUACAAAUAGUCUUUUUUAGUCUUGGACACUUAUUAGUAUACAAAGAAUAUGAUAGUAAAAUAAUAACAUAACUAUCACAGAGAAGUGUGUAAAUUAUUUGAAUUAAUUAAUAUCAUCGUUAAAGUAAUUGUCCAAAUAAUGUAAAAUUAAAAUAUUAAGAUUAACACUUUUAAUAAUUAUUGUAGCUAAUAUGGAUUUUUUUUUAAAACUUAUUUCAACUCAUUAUGUCAAAAUAAUUUUUUAGAAAGGUAUUUUUCUAAAAAAAAUAUUCACAUAAAAAAGUUCUGAGAGUAAUUAACAAUAUUAACUAUUUGGAUUAAAAAGUAUAAAAAAUGGGGAAUACAUUAUUUUAGAAAUUCAAGUAGAAAGAUUAAAUCUUAAUUUUAGAAAUCAUACAUUUGAAAUUUUGACCUUCUAUUUUAUUUUCAUAAAUUUAGUUCCUUUACUUUUCGACUUUAAAAAUUCAAGUCAGUUGUUAAAUAGCCCCUAAACCCUAAGACUCUUAGGGCAUCAAAUUAUAUAUAACAGUGUACUUUAUUUUAAAAAAAGUUGACAAUAUUAACUAUUUGGAUUAAUUAAUAACAUUAUAAAAAUAUAGAGACUGAAUUAUGUUAGAAAUUAAAGUAUAAGGAUUAAAUCUUAAUGUUAGGCAUAAUAAAGGUACCAAAACUAAAAUUUAACCAUUUUUCUGAAAUGUAGGAGAGAGAGAGAAAAGAUUUAUACAUUUGAAAUUUAGUCUCCUACUUUUAUUUUUUAGGAAUUUAAUCUCUCUAGUUUCCAAAUUUAAAAAUUCAAGUUCUUCUAUUCAAAUUAUCUAAUCACAUUUUGAAAAUUUUAAAAAAAUCUACACUUAGUAGUCAUGCAAUAAUAAAAAUAACAUUGAAAUUACUAGUUAGGACUUUUCUUAAAAAUAUAUAUUUAAACUCGUCAUGAUAAAAUAAUUUUUUAUUGGAAUAGUUGGAAUAUUUAACAAUAAUAGCUAUUUAAAUUAACUAAUGACACUAUAAAAAUAAAUAUAUAUAAAUUAUAUAUAACCACGUAAUAAUUUAAUAAAAAAAAGUUAAUGAUAUUAAUUAUAUAGACUACUUAAUAACAUUUUAUAUAAAAUAUUAAUAUGAGUCUAUUUAAUUACUAUUAAAAAUUUCUUCAACUGGAACCCUGUGUGUUCGCUUAAUGGCCAGGGUGUUCACCGCCCCAAGUGUGGUCUGGGUUCAAAUCGUGCUAGCCGCGUUAAUGGAAGUGCACAUCUUCCCCAAAUAUUUGGACCAAGUUCAUAUCUUGAGGUUGACAUUGUUAGGAAGGCUUUACCUGAAUCCAACCGGUCCGAAAAGAAUUAGACUCAAACCGUAAAACAAAUGAGGACAUUUGUAACUAUAAAAGAAAAAAAAACGUAUUUAUUUUUUAAACAAAUUGCUAUAAUAUAAGAAUAAGAAGAGAUUAUUGAUGUUCAAAUUUUAACCUAUAUAUACAACAUAAUUGAUAGAGGUGUAACCCAAAUUAAUGUUAAAAAUAAUGGCAAGAUAGGGGAAUCUACGAGGACAAAAGCCGAGGGCUGAAGGCCCAAAUGGAAGUAUAUUUCCUCUGUUUGAUAUUGUUUUGAAUAAAGUGUUUCAACCUUAUUGCGUUACUUCUAUUAGAUGUUGAUUAAAAUAUUUUUUUUUUGUAAACUAUAAAUAGAUAUGGUCUAUACUCCUAUUGUAUCAUUCGAACUCGACAUUGUGAGUUUUUUUCUCCUCUGCAAGUCUUUUUUCCCGAAAAGGUUUUUACGUAAAUUUUGUGUGUUCCUCUUCUUUCUUCUCUUUGCGAUUCUUUGCUAUUAUCGACAUUCUAUUUUAUAAUAAUUAAAUUGAAUGCUUUUAUUCUAAUAAUUAUAUUAGACCCAUAUGUAUAUCGUUGGUGCAAUUAAAAAAAAAUAGUUUUGAAUAUGGGUGGAUGCAGUGGCUGGAGAAAACAAGUUAAGUGAAAUAAUAAGCUAAUAAAGGGCCUUUUGUUUUUCCAUAAUAAUAUUAUACAAAUAGUCAGCCAUGCAAAUGCAUGGCAGUGACUUAAUAUUGCGAAGGCCUUAACACGAAGACACUCACACAUCUUCUACUGGGUAUCAUAUUUAGUAUAGUAGUGGUACAGACAAUGCACCCAGCAGGAAGCACAGUAUUAUUUAUUUUAGAUAGCCUUCAUUACCACCACAAUUUGAUCAGCAAGCAAAACCUAGUUAUGCCUCUGACUCAAAUGAUGCCUUCAGUUUCGGCAAACGUUUCUUGGGAUCAAUUUCUAUUGAUGCAACGUACCCAAACUUUCUAACUUUAGAUUUUGAGCUUCCUCUUGUGUCAAGAUCGGUUUUGAUUUGCUCCCAACAAAUAGGUUCUUUGUGGAUAUUAGUAUAGACUAUUUGAUUAUAUCUAUGUAUAUAUACCCACUUUGAUUAAUAGUAAGAUUGAAUUGAAUGCUGUUAAUAUCUACAGUAAGUUGAAAGAUACUAGAAUAUGUAUAGGAUGAUUUUUGUAUUGUUAUCUUCUUUAACCAGUAGAGCAAUAGUAUUUAUAAAGUGUGUAUGAGUAAUUGCUGCUAACAAUUUAACAACAUAACUUCUUUGUGUAACAGGCUAACAUUCACUCAUAUUCUCGACGGGCAAAACCCGAAGAAGACUGCGAAAUUGAGCAAAGGGCGAAACAGACAAUGGCUUGGUAAGAAUGUUGGCAACCUGAUCACAAGCAGGCAGCUCACCAACAACAACAGAACCAUCAGCUACCUUUUCACGAACAAAGAACAAGUCAAGCUCAACAUGUUUGAACUUAGAAUGUAAGACGUGACUAGCAUCAACUGCUACUGCACUAGAGUUGUCUCACCAAAUAGUAGGUGGAUCGUCAAAACAAAGUUGUAAUUCCUUUAGCAACGAGACUAACCAAGUAACAUCACUGGUAGCUGCAGUGAGGCUCCGAUAUUCUACCUCAACCGUAGACCGCGAAACAACUUGUUGUUUCUUAGAAUACCAGGAGAUGGGUGUGUGGCCAAAAUACACACAGUAGCCCAUUGUAGACCUGCAAUCAUCAAAAUCCAGUCCCAAGUUGGCAUCGACAUAAUUGACUAAAGAAAGCCUGUCAGAUGGACGAAAGACAUUCCCAUAAUCAAAAGUGCCACAUAAAUACCGCAAGAUUCAUUUUAAUGCAACCAAAUGUACAGUAGUAGGCGCAUGCAUGAACUGACAUAUAUGAUUUACCGCGUAUGCAAUAUCAAGUCGAGUUAGGACCACAUACUAUAAUGCACCAGCUAGACUCUUGUAUUCAGUAGGAUCACUAAGAUGAUCCCCAUCAUCUUUAGACAAGAUAGACAAGCUGAUCAUCGGAGUGUGAACACUCUCUGCAUUAGUCAUGGAACUCCUGUCCAGCAAAUCGUGGAUGUACUUUCGUUGGCAGAGACAAAGACAUCCGGUGGACGAACAAGUAACCUCAAUCCUUAGAAAAUCAUAAAGAUCACCCAUGUCUUUAAAGGAAAACUCAUUAUGCAACUGCUGAACAAAAUUACUUAUACAGUUAGGCAUACUCCCAGUAAUGAUAAUAUCAUCCGCAUAAACGAGAACAAAAAAAGUGGAGUCAGGCAUAACUCGAACAAACAGAGAUGCAUCAAAAUUUGAUAGGAGAAAACUGACAUAAAUGAGAAAACAUUUCAAUUUAUCAAACCAGUCACGCAGAGCCUGACGUAGCCCAUACAAAGUUUUCUUCAGACGACAUACCAAAGAUUUGCCAUUCGGACCAUACUGAACAUAUCCUGGAGGUUGUUGCAUGAACACUUCAUCAGCAAGAUCACCAUUGAAAAACGCCUCAUUCACGUCGGCUUGACGGAGCUGCCAACCCUUGGAAACAACAACAGAGAAUAUAGUUUGAAUAGUAGCAGGUUUUACUACUGGACUAAAUGUUUCCUUGAAAUCACACCCGGGUACCUAAGAAUAACCUUUCGCCACCAAUUGAGCUUUACGACGGGCGACAGUCCCAUCAGGAUUUUUCUUUAAUUUGAAAUAGAGUAAAAGAGAAAAAAAAAAUUAACAAAAGAAAAAGAAUGAAACAGUAGAAAAAUAGGAAAGGAAAAAAUUGGGUAACGUGAGAAAGAAAGGGAAUUUUUUUUGGGAAAAUAAAAUAAUAAAAAGAAAAAAAUAAACCUUUUGAUAAUGAUAUUAUUAAUUUUAUUUUUUAUUUAAAAAAACAGAAAUCUCAAUCAUAUCUAACCAACCCCAAUUUCCUCAUAUCUUAUUAGAUUAUCCAAAAAUUGCAUUUUACCCAACCAUCACCACUACAUGGGCGACACACUAGAAAAAAAAAACCAAAAAUAAGUUUAUGUUUACACACGUAAAUACUUGAAUACAGGACCAAAGGGUAAGCUAAAACCUUACCACUGAACUAACAAGCUCAUUAUUAUCAACAAAUGUGCACAAUUCACUUUUAACCUAGAUUCUCAAAGAUAGGGGUCUAGACCAAAAUUUCGCAAAAAUACAAGGAAGAGGAUUCAAACCCAGAACUUCUCUCACCCAAGCACAACACUUAACAACUGAACCAAAUUAAUUCACUUUACAAAAUUCUUACAAUCUUAACUCAAAAUCAAGACGUGACCAUUCUAGGUUUUACAAACCCAAUUUCUACUAACUCGAUUUUUGAGAUAUGACAACUCUCUCCUCCUUAAAAGAAAUUCAUCCUUGAAAUUCCAAAUGUCACACCAUAUACAUAACCACAAAUCUAGAAUUAUUUUUCUAAACUAACCACCGCACUAUUGAUCUCCAUGCAAACCCCAUCAAGACAAUGUUUCUGACGACUUUCCUAUUCACUACCUUGAAUUGCCUAAAGAAGCUUCCCACAAAAAUAUCACUAAUGAUCCUCUACUCAAAACUCCCAAAAACAUCACUUACCACAAACAUGUAGGUACAAACAAAUCUAAUCAAUGCAGAGUACAUUUGGAGCAUAUCGUAAGAGUACCUGUAUUGUUACUAGAUGCACCACGAUCCCUUGACACCUAAUGGCAUAUCCACGUCUCUGAUUUCGAUCCUAAGUCGAAGCUUGCAUCCUACUAAAAGACUGUCAUGGGAAAUCCCUAAUUUGAUGCUCAACGAACCCACAUCUGAAACACACCCCUAUUUUUCUCCAACAAUCAUCCGGAUGACACAUAUCACAGUAAGUACAAAUCGAAACUUGAUCCAUGUUCACAACUUCCUCAACCUAUUGAGGUCUAACUAUUCUAGCCCAUUUCCUUGGUCGUAGAUUGAAAUUAAGAGGACCAGAACUCCUCUUAUUUCUCACUUUAUUGAUUUCCUUAUUCUUGCCCUUUCAGAGAUUACAUUUUUUUUUGCUAACUUGACUUGAUACGUCUAAGGUUACUCAAUCAUAAAAUCUUGACCCACAUAUGCAAAUUGGGUCCCAUCAAUCCUUUGUAAAUCAAUAAAAACAUCUUGGAAUAUAGUAGAGUCCCCAGCUUUCUAAUUACCACCCUUAAAUCCGGGCAUCUUAGCAAACUCGCUAAUUUCCAAAUUGGGCUUACUGCCCUGAGAAUAGGACUCGGCCUGAGUCACUCAUCUAUGUCCAUCACACCCUCACACAACAUGACUUCGAGUACUCAUUAUACUAACCUACAGUUUCAAAAAUUUUAUGAGUUAGCUUAGGUUUAUUAAAAAUCCUAAAUUUAAAGUUUUAACAAAGAGUUUUUUUUUUCAUAAUUACUAAAGCUUUUGGCUGGAGUAGAGUAAUCCUAGCACUAAAGUUUGCUAGUUUAUCUAGUAUAGCUAAAGUAAGGAUACUUACAGGAUCGACUCUAGAGUCUCAAAUUUUCUUUUUAUAGACUCAAAUAAUUAAUCAAAAUAUGAAUACACAUUCUUUUUAUAAACCCUAGGUAUCAAAAUAAUCAGAAAUUCAAUUUAUUUAAAACAAAUCACAUGAAAAAUUUUGUACCUAAAAAUCACAGCCCGAGUUUUGGAACCUAACUCUGAUACCACUAAAUAUAACACCCCCAAACCUGGUGCAAAAGUUACGGUCGAGUCUGGGGAGAUUACAAUAGCUUGUUAAAGAACUUUUGAUUUAAUCAAAUUUGGUAUGUGCUUAGAAAAUAUAAAAUUCUCACAAACAUUUUAAAAAACUUAAGUCCAAAAAAAUACUGAGUCUAAACCAAAAUUUGUACUCCAAAUCAUGUGUUUUGAUAGUAUCUAUUUCGAAAAUCAUUUCUAGUUUUAAGGAGACCACCCUUUGAAGCCGUUUGUUUAUUUACAAAAGAAAAACUCUUUAGGGGUUUCUUAGUUUGCACCAGAAAACUUUCAAAGUUUUAAUUUUGAAAACCAAAUCAUAAAUUUUAACUGGUGAGGUUUUCCGGUAUCACGUUCAAAAAUAUCAAUACUGAAAAAUUAAACAGAAACCAAAACAAAACCUAAAAACAAAUUACAGUCGCCAAAAGUCCAAAAAAAAUAAUUAUGAAAAUUACCAUUUUUUAUAUAAUUGAUAAAACCAUCUGAGCUCCCACAGGCCAAUUGAUUCUAAUUGUACCGAUUACCUGAAACGUCAGAAAUAAAACAAAGGGGGUGAGUUAUAGAGCUCGGUGUAUAACUAAAUCUCAAAUUGAGAUCACACACAUUACAAUAUACUAAACAAAAAACCACAUAAAAUUUCAUGACGUUUAGUCAAACAGAAUUGAGUGUGCAUGAUUAGGUCAAUGCGGUAUUUUUCAAAAAAACAUAAUGGGGAUUUUUUAGAAAACGUCCUACCCAACUUUGCUACACACCAAAAUAGAGUUCUCCCCCAAACUCAUCCAUCCAAAGCACUCCAAUUAAGCCAUCUCGGGUUGCCAAACAAUGAUGACCCGCCACCUCGGGUUGCCCAGCAACAAUGGCUUAACAAUAUGCCGUUAAACUGUCACAUCAAAUAUCUGUGGUCAAGCCACUGAUUACACAGAUCAUUAAACUGCCAGUAUAGAAUCUUUCUCCUUUAACAUUAUCUCAAACCCCAUGCAACGUGGCAUGGCAUGGCAUGCACGUAUAGAAUCAGAAUGGUAAGCAUGUAGAACAUGCUGACGUACAAUAACAGAAACAGGAGGCAUGGAAGUCCAUGCUUUACAGAACAAAUUAAUCUAACCUUAUAGAAACACAUUAGUUUUUGCCAUGAAGUCACAUGUGCAUAGUUACAUAACAAAUUAAAAAAUACAAAUUAAAAAAAUCAUACAUUAUACAAACUUAUACAGACAUAGUGAAUACCAUCAGAACUACCAGUACUAGAUCAUGCAAGUGUAUAUAUUACAAAUACCCUAAACCCAUCAACACAGAAGCAUAUUCACCGAUACCAUGUUUUCAAGUCUUAACUAAGCGGUACAGACCCUAGAGAGAGGUAAAAUAUAGUUCACAAAUAAAAAAGGCCAAAAGGCCAACCUGUGUGGACCACACAGCCCAAAAGGCCCAGAUCUUGUGACACAUACAGUCUAACAUAUAGCCUGUCACACGGUCAUGUGUCACACACAGUCAUGUGUCACACACGGCCUACCACAUGACCAUGUGGCAUCGACAGUCUCAAUUUUGGCUUUCUUCGGUCAUUGUUUUUUCAAGUUUUUGUUACAAACCUGAUUAUUUCCGAACUCCAACACGAUAACACACUUCUAGACCUUGAAAUUAUCGUUUGUAAUGGGCUAAUUAGCAACAUUAAAUGCAUCUGAGUCAUAAUAUUUGGCCUCGAACAAUUGAACAUUAAGUCUAAACUUUAAGAACCCAUCACUUGACAAUUGAUUACAUACCCAACAAAUUAGCAACCCAAUAGUACUACAUCGUCAGAAGGACGUUCAUUUCAAAAUCCUCACCUAGAAAAUCAACACCAUAAAAACGAUGUUCAUAUCAAGUAUAAAACAUCGAAAACACGCAAAGAACUAUUAAACCUUAUUAAUGGAAAACAACAAUACACUCAAUCUUUUUGAAUUAUGCACACCAAAUAUCACCCAGAACGACAACCAUAAGACAAAACAAUUACAAAACAAACAGACUUGAAAGUGAAAGAAGAGAAAUAGUGUAAAAGAGAAAAAAGUUAACAAAAGAAAAAGAAUGAAACAAUAGAAAGAUGGGAGAGAAAAAACGUGGGUGACAUCAAAAAGAAAGGGAAAUUUCUUUUGGGAAAAUAAAAUAAUAAAAAGAAAAAAAUAUAAACCUUUUGAUAAUGAUAUUAUUAAUUUUAUUUUUUCUUUUUUAAGAAAAAUAUCAGAAAUCUCAAUCAUAUCUAACUAACCUCAAUUUCUUUAUAUCUUAUCAGAUUACCCAAAAAUUGCAUUUUACCCAACCACCACCACUACAUGGGCGACACACUAGAAAAAUUAGCAAAAGUAAAUUUCUAUUUGCACACACAGAUACUCAAACACGGGACUAAAGGGUAAGUUAGAGUCUUACCACUGAACCAAGAAACUCAUUCUUGUCAACAAAUGCGCACAAUUAACUUUUAACUCAAAUUCUCAAAUAUAGGGGUCUAGACCAAAAUUUCACAAAAAAUACAAGGGAGAGGAUUCAAACCCAUAACUUCUCACACUUAAGCACAACACUUAACCACUAAAUCAAAUUAAUUCACUUAACAAAAUUCUUACAAUCUUAACUCAAAAUCAAGACGUGACCACUUUGGGUUUCACUAACCCAGUUUUUAGGAUGUGACAUAAAGUACAUCGAAACUUAUCUUGAUCUUGAUGGGCAUCCACUUAAUAAGAUAUUCAUAAUACUCCCCAUUGGAUGCCCAUUGGUAGAUAAUAUGUCUCAUUAAAAUCUUUCUAAGGUAAAACCCUUGUGAGAAAAAAAAAUCUUAAUGAAGGAAAAAGAUUACACAUAUCUAUAAUACGCAUAAUAUGCUACCUCAUUAAAAACCUUACCAAGAAAAUCCACUGGGACAAAACCUCGAUUAAGGAAAAAGAGUACAACGCGUAUUUACUCCCCCUCAUGAAAACAUCACAUACUUUCUCAUAUUCUACGUAUUCCAUCUUGAAUACUAGUUUUUCAAAUGACUAUUUGAAUGUAUUUGCUAAGCAUUUAUAUUACCAUUCUUUUGAAAGUCAUGAGUGAGGGAAAAUUUGAGGGAAAUAUAUUUUGAUCUCUUUAAGAGUUUCAACAAUAAUCAUAGCAAACUUUAAUCACGAUUCUUCUAUAAAAACACAAAUAGGUAUUUUGGAUCAUUUUAUAAUCCUCCAACUACUAUUUACCACAUAUGUUCAAAUUAUUUCAAUUCAUAUAAAUGAAAAAUUUUCCAAGAAUUUCAAUAUGCUUUUAGCAUUCUAAAUCCUUCAAGGAUUUUAAUAUAAACUUUACUAUAUAGUGAUUCAUAAAAAGUUGUAACAACAAUCAUUAAACACAAAUUAAAUCUUUUUUGAACUAUCAGUUUAAUAAUAUAUCUAAAGUUUAUUGUAUCUAUCACAAAAGAAUAUUAUAUCUUUUCAUAAUCAAUGUCAGUACUUAGCGAAAAACUUCAUAUUUUUCAUUCCUCUUUUGCAAAACUACUUCAUUUGCACCCUCACUAGCUUUAUACCAUUAGAUAUUUGGACUAUUGGUCCAAAAACUCCACGAAUUUAAUUGCACUUGAGUUGUGUCUUUCUAUUUUGACCAAUUUAUUUCAUAUUUGUAUUUCUCAAUAGUUUUAUUCAAGGUCCUCCUAUUAUUUUAUUAUUUCAAUAAUAAUAUUACAUGUAUAAUCAUUGCCAAGUAAUUUUAUUAUUGGUUCGACAUUUUCUCGAAUUGACAUAACUUACCAAGAUCUCUUAUUUUCACUAUUUUAAUCUUCAGUUUCAAGUACCUGAGUCUCUUUUAGAGUUUUAGUUAUUAGUGAUGUCUUAGGUCUCUUCUAGAGCACACGCCUCUACUACAUAACCAUUUAGAAGAAUUAUUUUCUUUUAUGAGAAAUUUCAUAUUUAGAACCUGUAAUGAGUUAUUCUUAUUGAACUUCUGGUUCCCCCUAACUCAUUACAAGUUAUUAUUUCUCUUCCCCUAAUGUCGGGAAAACUAUCGAAUCAAAAUAGUAAUCACAAAUCAUGUCAUAAUUGAAUCUCUAAUACAUUUAAAACAUAUAAUAAUACAAGAAGAUUCGUAAUUAAUAUACAUUCUCAACUUUCUUUGAGGACUCUCUUAUCUUUGUGUUGUGGUGGAACAAUUAGAAUAUAUACGUACAUACAAAAGUUCAAAGAUGAGAAAUAUUUAGCUCUUGAUAAAAAAAACCCAAUUAUAAUGGGGAGUAUUUAUAACUUAUUAGCUUGAUGCGUACAACACGUAAAUCAACAUAAUCUCAUGUUGAAAUAGGAAGUUUAGUUCUCAUAACUAAUAGUUUAGUUAUUAAUUAGAUGUGUUCAAUAAAUAAUUUCUCUAAACCAUUAUGCGCAUAAAUAACAAACUUUUACAAAAAAAAAUUCAAACUCAUCAAUAUUAGCAAGAUUAAUUUUCUUAAUUGCAUGAUCUAAAAUUAAUUAUUUAAACAAGCAAUAUUGUAAACGACAGGUUGCAAGUUAAUAACAAAUACGUGAUUAUUUUGUAGACGCAUCUACCAAAAUCAUAUAAUAUUAAAACCAUCCACAUGGUGGAUGAAUGGGCCCAUAUUCAUUUCAGAAUUGCAAGACAUUAAAUCUCAAUUUUAGCUAGUGAGUUUCAAACAAUCAAUUUUUAUUGAGAACAAGUAACAAAUAAGAAUUCUUUAAAUUAAAGAAUCUUCUGGUUCUUUAAUGAAUGUUGAUAUGAAUUCUCAAUUAAUUUUCGCAUCAUAUAUGAUCCAGGAUGGUCUAACUGGUCACACCAAGUAGUAAAUGCAUUUGUAUCAUUAAACUUCUGGUUUACUUUAAUAUACAUUUCAAUUGUACUAAUAAUGUCAAUAUAAAUUAUGACAAUUUGAUACUUUUAUUGGCAUUCUUUUUACUUUGUAUCCACAUAUAAGUACUAUUAUGACAUUUACUACUAGAAAUGUCUAAACCAAUGUGAAGUUUUUAAUCUCACUAAGUCAACAAAAUAAAUAUAAUCUCCAAACAAUUAUAUGCAAUAUUCACUUUAGGGAAUAUGCCAAAAUCUUCAAAUAUUCAAAAACAAAAUGAUGCCGUAAAGAGAAUAUUAUAUAAUAUUUUUCUCAUUCACAAUUUCAAUAUGAGAUCCAUUACCAUGAAUAUCUUUUAAAACUAAUGCAUUAACCAUCACAAAUUUUGUGCUUUUUGGAUAUUGAUAUAUUAGCUCUUCUAUAACUCUUCUGGAGCUUUCAACUACUUUUGUACUAUCAAAUAUUGGAAUAAUAUUUGUUUGUUUCAUAAUCACCAUCGCAAACAUGUGUGGAUUUUAAAUCAAAAUCUAUUUAUUCAUGUUGUCAUGAUUAGUCUCCAAUUACAAUAAACAUGAUAUAAUAACUAAACUACAGUAAAAUAUAACUAAGAUUUUUUAACAUCAUCGUUAUCACCCUGGCUAUUAUUACAAGCAUUAUUACAAGUAGUAAAACAACAUUAUUUUUGUAAUAACAUUUAUAAUCUAAUUUGUAAAAAAAUCAUUUAAUAAACAAAAUUAAAAUCUUCGUGUAUGAUGCUUGAAAGUUAUCCGAUACACAUUGUAUUAAAUUUCAAUACCACAUAUAUGUUAUAAAAUCUUAUGAUGCUGUAAUAAAAUAUUUCUAAAUUCAAUUAAAAAUAUAUAAUAUAAUAAUUUCAAGCAUAUUUAAUAACAAUAAUUUAAUCAUCAAAAAUUUUAAUCAUCCAAAUAUCAUACAUACUAUAAUUUAAUAAAAGAAUCUUAUUUUAAAAGAAACCUUAAAGUAAUAAUAUUUUUCAUAAAAUAAUUUUACCAAAAAUCAAUCAACAAAAGAGAAAAACAUACCACGUAAGGAUUAUAUAAAUUUCUUUGCAUAAUGAUUACCCAUAAUGUGCACGCCUCAAUUGAAGACUGAAAUAACAGUAACUCUAGAAGGAAAUUGACAACAACUUGAGUAGCAAAUUUGAGUGAUCAACUAUUACAUUAGUUGUUGCUUGAUGAAAGGGAAAAAUUUUUGUGACUUAUGAAGAAAAACAAUUAAAAGAGAACCAUGCUGAUAACGUGUUAUAAAAUAAAAGACCAAGAGUAAAGAACAAAGAAAAUAGGAGAGCAAAGAGAUAAGAAUAUCUACAAAGCUUUUCCAAAGUCUCUAUUUAUAGGCAUAAGAAGUAUAAAUGAAGUAGAAAUCAACAUCUAAUGACUAUAAGAAUUUAAAGUACAUCAAAACUUAUCUUAAACUUGAUGAGCAUUCACUUAAUAAGAUAUUCAUAACAAGUGAUAAUUAAUCGAUGUUUUAUUUUAUUUUAUGCUUAAAAUUUUAUUCUAAUUAAAACUCAAUUUUACAUCAAUAUUUUCUUUUAAUUGAGUUGUACUUUAAAACAAUAAAGUUUUAUGUAGUCUUUUUUUUAACUAAUAAUUAUAAACAAAUUAUCACAAUAUAAAUUAAAUUAUAAUUAUUUUUAGAUAUUAAUUUAGUAAUAUUAUGAGGAAAAAGUAUUUUUUCACCAAUUUAAGAUUUUUUUCAAACUCGUGCUUUUUUAUAUAUUAUAGAUAAUAUAUAUGAUUUAAAUUUAAUUAUAAAAAGUUAUAAAUAUUAAUAUAAAAAUAUUUUAUCUUUUUAUUAUUUUUUGAAUGUUAUAGGGGUUUUUGGUUAGGCCAUGCGCAAUUCAAUUUCAUUCUAACUUUAAUAAGGAUUUCAAAUUGUUUUGGGCCACAACCCAACCCGACCUAUAAAUAUUUUUAUUGGCUUCUUUAAACAAAAUGAUUCAUUUUGAUUUUGUUUCCAAUGUGAGUUGUGGCUUGUUUGAGGUGUUUAUAGGUUGAGGUUUUUUUAUCAUAAUAUUAUACUAUAUUUAUUAAUUAUAUGGUGCAAACCAUAUGAUACACAGGUUAAUCAUGUUUGUCAAUAUAACUAAUUUUAAAAAGAAUAAAAAAUAAUAUAAAUUUAAUUUUAACAUACAAAUCAGUAGUGUAUAAAUAAAAUAUAUGUUUUAUUAUGAAGUUUGAAAAUAUUAUCUUAAAAUUAUUAUGAUAAAUAGAAAUGUCAAUUGUUAAAAUAAAUCAAAAAAAUUUUGAAUUUUAAACAUUAUAUUAAAAUGAUUAUAAUAAAUAGAUAUGUCAAUUUUUUAUUAUAAAAUUUUAUAGUAACAGACAAACUAAUUUAUGAAAAAACUAUUAUAAUUAACAGUAACAUAAAGAAUUUUAUUUAUAAAAAAACAAUAAUAAUAAGAUUAAUUUAAAAAGAGUCUUAUAAAUUAAUAUAAUAAUUAAGUUAUACUUAAAGUAUAUUAUUUAAUAUGAUUUAAAAAGGUAAGAAGUAAAAAUAUAAUUUAUCCAAAGUGAAAAUAAAUAUUUUAAAUGGGAAGGAGUGUUACGUGUUAACAACCCAUAAUAUGAGCAAUAUAUAAUAUAUAUUAGAUAUGAGAAAAAGAGAGAAAGGACGGUAUAAAAUACAUACGUUGUUCAUUUCUAUUAGUUUAAUGUCACAUCAAUACUUUUUCUUUAAAUCUAAGAUUUUCAUUUGGAAUUAGAUUUUUUUUUCUACUUAUUUUAAAUGAAAACAGUAUUUAAAAUUUUGUGCUUUUGAAAAAAAUAGUAUAUAUGUAGUAAAUACAAAUUGGACUUCUUCUUCCCUUUUCUAUCCAUAAUUAUAUUUAGAAUAUAUAAUAAGAAGAUGAUUUUUAAUUUUGUAAUUUAUAAUAAUUUUAUUUGAUAAUUUUCUUUUAAAGAAAUCAGCAUUGAUGUCAUGAUAUCAUAAUAUCCCCUAAACUUUUUGUAAAUGUGCAAUAUGGUACAUACCUAGUUUGAUUCAAUGAUACAUUUCACCCCCAGCCUUUAACAUGACAUUAUCCAAUACGUGGAUGAUUAUUUGAUGUCAUUCUCAGUUACAUGCCAUGUGGACAAAUUUGAUUGGAUGUUUUACUUGCACUUAUUCCAUUAUCUUCUCUCCCACACCUUUCUAUUCAGUUUUGAGAUAGAAAUUUCUCUUCUUCCAUGUGGACAAAUUUGACCUAAUGGGCGACCUCAAACUUUCUUUUCUACGCAUUAAUUAGAUUUUAGAUAGAAAUUUCUAUGUUCAUUUAUUUCACAUGCAUAUGAAUACCCUUUUCUCUACGUCGUCCGAUUUUACCAUUAGUCGGUGGUGAUUCUUUUGUCUUCAUCGUGGCCACAAAUAUCUACCUCCCAUCUGUCUCGAUGCUCUAUUUUUUAGGCUUUGUCUUCCUCCUCUCCUCGUGACUCUCGUUGUACUGCGUCUGGAACUACAACUGCCCUUAUCAAAUUAUUAUAUUUGUAGUAUAUAAAUAAAUACAACAAUAAUAUACUUAGUAUUAUUUUUUAAUUUAAAUUAAUAAUUAAAAAUAAAAAUAAGGUUAUUGAUAUAACAUAUUUUAAAAAACACUGUGUCCUUAUUAUGCUGGAAAAGACAUUAUAUAGUGUCCAUGCAAGCACAACACAAUACAAGCAAAUCUCAUUGAAUAGCUAAAAUUUGGUUGAAGCUUAGCUAACAAUGGCUACUCUCACCCAAUGCACGCUUUGGAAUGGAACAGAGAGCUCUGCAAACUUGGAAUUCUCGAUCUACGAAGGUGCUAAGGAAGACAUUACAAUGACCACACUCAGUUCAUUUGAGCAGUCUAUCAAUUCCAUGGCCGGAGGUUUGGUUUAUAAUGUCGGAACUAAGAUUAAGUGGAUUGUUGCUUGGACCAAUGAUGGAAAGGUACAAAUCUCUUCUUCUUUUUUACAUUCAUCUUAACUAAUUCCUUUUUCCUAAAUUAAUUUAUUUAUCAAUUGUAUUUGAAGGUGUGUACUACUAUCAAGAAAUGUGACGAGUCGGUUACCUGGUCUAAAAUCAUAACCCAACUUCAGCCCCACGAUAGCACCCACACUUAUCAGGGAUACACAUCGAAGGUUAAUGUUGAGAUGAAUUCUAAUGGUUCAUUAACCUUGGAGGCCAAACUCCUUGUCUAAUUUUAACCUGCAUGCUUGGUGUGGUGUGUCAGGCUGUCGAAAUUAAAUAAAAAAUAUUGUAGUUGUUUACACAUUAACUGCACUACUAUUUUAUUUUAGAUUUGUAUGUAAUGUAUUUAAAUAAAUUUGAAAAGCCAGGGCUGCUUUUCCUACUAGCUUUAGCUAAUGAAUAAUGCUUGCACAGUUUGUUGGUUUCUUGUUUGUCAUAAAAAAUGUUAAAAAAAAAAAAAGUAUAUGCAUCCUUUCUUAAUAGAUAUAAUUAUUUGUGUGUAUUUAAAUAAGUGAUGGUUGCCGAUUGAGUUUUAACUCGAUUAGUAUUAGUAUUGUUUUCAAUGUAGAAGGACGUGAAUUUGAGUGCGUUGAAGCGCGUUAUCCUUCUAUUUAAGGAUUGGGAGGGGAUAUGAAUUGUUUUAAGUUUUGCAUAAAAAAAAUAGAUAUAAAAACUUAUAAUGAAAUUAAUAUUUACACUUAUAUCAUCACCCAUCACAACUAAACAUAUUGGUUCAUGCAUGGCAUUUAUGCUUAUUUCCAUUGCCCAAGCCCAAUCCAAAUGCGCUUAAUUUUCUAGCCAAGUUCAAACCAAAUAGAAAACUAAAAGUUUGAGCCAAUUCAGCCGGCUCAUAUUUAAUUUUUUUAAUUAUUAUUAUUUUUUAUGGAAACAAAAUAGAAGAAUCAUUGAAUAUUCUAAAAAUCACUAAAAUAAAUAUUUUUCAAUACAUUGAAAAUACAUCAAAAUAAAGUAUUGAAAAUUUAAAAAACACCAUAACACUAGCAAAAUAACAAAAUAAUAGCAAUGAUAACAAUAACACAAAAAACAACAACAAAAGUAGUAACAAAUUACAUUAACAAAUCAACAUUAAAAUAGUAGUAUAAAAUCAACAAAGCAACACUAAAAUAGCAACAAAUUAGCACUUGAAUAGAAGCAAAUCAACACUAGAUCAGCACUAGAAUAGCAAAACAACAGCAGCAAAACAACGCUAGAAUAGCAGUAGCACAACAAAACUAAAACAACAAAAUAGCACUACAGUAAUAGCACAUCAACAAGGAAGUAGUAAGACAAUGACAAUAACAACAACAACCACAACCUAAAAAGCAACCUAAGUAGCAUCGUUGUCAUUAUCCUCACCAUUCACGUCUUAGUAGUCAUAAACUUCACUAACUCAGCCUAGACAUCAUGACAGGAUCUUGAAGGUUACAUUGUCUACUAAAAAAUUUGAUUGUUUUCUUUCUAAAACUUUACUGGUUUUCUGUUUCAACGAAUUUUGAAAAACUCGUUUCUACUUGUUAGCUAUAAAACUUAAUUGCUGUCAAUUAGAUGUUUUCUAAAUCAUUUGUUCAUUACCACUGAGUUGAUUUAAAAAAUAAUUUAAUCAUUUUUCAAAAACCUAGUUGCUCAUUUUGUUUUGCAGCAGAAAAAUCCAUAACCGAUUAAUUUGAAAACCCAACAUCCUAUUUACUUAACAGAAAAUCAUGUAGAUUAUUUAGGCUACUUAGCUAAAGCCCAUCAAAUCCCAAAACCAGAAAUAUAAAGUCCGAAAAUUCAUCCAACAGCCCAAAAAGUACAAAACUUUAAUUUGAAAAUUUCCUUAAUAACCGUCUUAUUAAGAAUAUCUAAUUCGAGCUCCCGAGUGCCGCCCAAUCCUCUGUCUAUGGAUUACUUGAGAUGAUAAAAUAAUUGGGUGAGCUAGAAGCCCAGUGUGCGACUUGGCCCACAUACAUAUCAAAUAGCAUAUUAAUACACAAAUGCAUAUGUCAAAACAAAAUAAUCAGAUAGCAGACAUGCUCAAAAUUGCAAUGUCGUACAAAAUAAUUCCUACCCCCAAUCGUUACACACCAUCUCCAUCCCACCCAACACACCAAUUAGGGUUACUAAUAACCCAUCCAACCUGCACACCAAAUAGUGGUCGUAUGCCACUCAAUUAGUAUGCACCCAAGUUGCCAAAAAUUAAUGUGGAAGAUCGCCAGAAAUAAUUAAUGUAGUUUAACUACCAGGAUUAGACUUUGAGGGUAAACAACUAGAAUUGUAGAUCGAAUCUGCCAAAAAUUCCUCCAUAUCAUAUUCAUAUCCCACACUAAUGCAUAUCCAAACAUAAAUUAUAUGUUUAAAAAAAACUCAUUUUAAACAUGUCACAUGUAACAUAACAUAUCAGAAACAUUAUGACAUUACAUACAAGAUAACAGAUCAUGAACAUACUGAUUAUCUAAUUCAGAAUUCCAUACAGAAACAUGCUCACAGAUUUACACAUACAAACAAACCUACGUAUUUAUCAAAUCUAACAUGCUCAUAAAAUAUUUGCAUAUAAGGGCAUGCAUAACAAUUAAUCUUAUCAGAUGACAAUCAUAAUCAAAUAACCAAUUACAGAAUUUAGCUAAAUUGCACAACUGACACAACUAAAUCGUUUGAAAUGGGCCUACACACCUUACCUAACCAGCUUGUGUGGCCCACAUGGUCAGGCACAUGCCCGUGUGGCAUUGACUGCCAUUUUCGAUUUCACACAAUUCCACUGAUUUUUGGGUUUGAGUCACACACCUGAUCAUUUUUAGGGAUGUCAACACUACAGCAGCAACCAAACUCUGCAUACGAUACCUAAAACUUAACAUAUUAGCAACCAUUCACAAAGAAUAGGCCUUUACUCAUUCAAAACAUUCAGCUAAAAGUAUGACCAUUACGAACCAACCACUAAACUAAAACACACGAACCUGGCCCUUAGAGAAAAGGUAUCUAACACACUUAAGUUGUUGGAGGAAUGUGCACCUCACGAUCUUCACCUAACAAAAUUGCAAACAAAUAGAACAAUGUCAUUAAAACAACAAUCCUCUCAACUUAAACCAAACCAACCUUCUUAAAAUUAAAAUUAAUGAAUGGAUUAUACUUACUUAAGAACCAAAUUAUGAUACUACCCUAAUUUGAACUGUGUCAUUGAGAGAUGAGUAGUUCUUGCCGACUAGUUAGGUUAGUAGAAGGCUGAGAAACCCUCCUAGGUUAAUUAGUAAUCAACUAUUUAAAACUCUACAUCAAUAAUUAAUCAGGUAAAAUAAUCGGAUCUAGGCUAAAGGAACUCGCAUAGUAGAAACAAGGGAUAGGAGAAGUCGAUACAUGAACUUAGAAAUAGAUUUAGGUUUAAUUCAAUUUAUUUGGUUAUUUUUAUCAUCUUACUUCUAAAUUAACACUAUUAAUUCAUGACUUGAGUAGAUUAGUAGUUAUUUUCAAUAAUUGGCUUAAUGGUAGUUUUUCCUAAACUACAAUCCCUAGGGAACAACCUUUGGAAUACUUAUUAAAUGUUCUGUUGUAAACAAACUAUAUUACAAUCUGGCUCGUAUACUUGCGGACACCAUGUAAUGCCCCAAUUUUCUUGUUUUUAGACCGUUAAAUUAUGUCAAGUAAUUUGAUUUGGUGUGUUGGUUGCGUGCCUUGAAUGUCUACUUUAGGUCCUGAGUUCGAUUAUCUCAUUUUGGAUUUUUCCUAUUAAUUUUGGCAUUAUGUUAAGCUUGAGCUUUUGGGCUUAUCCUUUAUUUUUAUUGAAUUGUUGAUAAGAAUGAACCUGUUGGUUCAGUGGUAAGGCUUGAACUUACCUAUAAAUAUUAUGUUCAAAUCUCGUUGUGCGCAAAUGUGAAAUGUUUUUUUUAUUUUGGCUAUUCUUUUGAAGUAAAGUUCAAAUUAAAUUCCAUAAAAUCUAGUGCGUUAAGAUUUGGUUAAAAUUGAAUUCCUUUAAUUUUUUUGAGUUAUCACCCUUAAUUUUACUCCCACUUCCAACCGUCCAACUUCUCUAAUACCUCUUUCACGUUUCUUUUUCUUCCCAUUUUGGUUUUCUUCUUUCUUUUUCUUUCACUUUCCUUUGAGUUUUCUUUCUUUUCUUUUUUGUUAAUUUUUUAUUUCGGUCAUCCUAUCUUUUUCGGUGUUUGUGUGUGUUACUCGCAAUUCGAUCGUUGUUCAAAGCAUAGUGUAAGUUUUAUCAAGAUAUUUUUCUAUUAUUUUAGCCUUAAUUUGUUCUUGAACAAGAUUAAAUUUGUUGAUGUUUAAUUUCCUUUCCAUGUUAUGUUAAGUGUUUUCGUGAUUUUGAUUAGGCGAAGGGUGUGAAAAUCAAAUUCCUCUAGCGAAGUAGUUCUCGUUUGGACGUUGUUUUCUGAGUAGUAAGUACUCAAACCUCACUUUAGGGACUAAACUUUUGAUAAAAGAAUGUGAUUUUGGAUGGACCUUUGAUAGAUAAUUGGUAUGAUUUGAUGAUUGAUUGUAUGAUUCAUGAGCUCCCAGUUGUGUGGCUAAUCAAAAAUAUUGUUAGGUGUGUGAAUUAACCCGAAAAACUUGACUAAAACUCGAAAAAACCCAAAAAUAAGGGUUGUUUUCAAAACUAUGUAGCAUCAUACAGUUGUGUGACAGGCCAUGUGAUAGACCUUGUGCACCACACGAUCGUAUGGUAGGCCAUGUGCUAGUCCUUGUGUGAUUACACAACUUGAACAAGAAGGUCGUGUGGACCACACGGGCUAGCUUAUUGGGCCGUGUAGGCCACACGACUGUAUGGGUUCUUUAGGCCAAUUUUAAAGGCCCGAUUAGGGGUCGAUUAAGUGACUCAAAAAUUGUAUUCAUGGGCAUUUUGGUAGGCCUAUAAAAGCAGAAAAUUUAGCAUGUUAAACAUGAGUAAGGUUAGAAAGCAUGUUAAGUAAGAUUCACUUUGUCUAAGUUAUGUGUUAUGUUACGCUCUGUAAAUAUAUGUUUAGAAAUGCAUGCCAUGCAACCUAUAUGAUACGUAUGUAUGUUAACAUGAUUAUGUAUAUGCAUUGGGGUGGGUUUUGGUAUGGUGGAGGAAGUGUAUUCUGGCAGUUUUACUAUAAUUCUAGCGGUUAAACCGCAAUUACUGUCUGACAGCUUAGCUAUAUAUUUUGAGUGGCAUACCGCCAUGUACUGGUAUGAUUGGAUGGAUGGACUUAUGUAUUCCAAAUUGGUGUGAUUGGUUGGACGAAGAUUGUAACACCCCAAAAUAGGGCCUAGAAGUUUUAGGGGUAAUUUAGGAAUUUUAGCCUUAGAGUGUUCAGAAUUUUACAACAUGGUAUACCGAUAAUGUUUUUUACAAUGGUUUUUAGAAAAUUAAAUCAAUUUCUAAAAAUGACUUUUAAAUAUCUUUAAUUUUGAUAAUAGGACUGAUUUGUAAAAGAGUCAAAACUUAAAGUUUUUAAGAGGCAAUUAGACCAAAUUUUAAAAUCCAACCUAAAACCCCUAUUUGUAGUUUUUUUUUCACAUUAGUCUUCUCCUUCUCUCAUACUUGUGACGUCUAUAGUUCUCCCAACUUUCUCAAUCAAUUUUGAAAUCCAAAUCCUAAUUCCUUUUGAUUUUUAUCACCUCUUAAGUUAUAAAUCUCUAUAGAAGUUAAGAAAAACACUCAAAAAUACUAUUGAUUUCUCCAUUGUCAAGCUUGUGAGUUUUUCAAGUUUUUGAUCAAACGUUUGGAUUUUCGUUAAUUAAGGUAACAAUUCAUCUUUCUAUUAGUUUUUAAUGUUAUCUAGUCUUUUACACGAAAAUUUUAGCCUUUAAAUCGCAUAAUUUUAAUAAAAAUCGAAAAUUGGGUUGUUAAUGGUGAAUUUCGGGAUUUUGGUUAAUAACAUGGUUUCAAAGUAUUUUUCAAUUAGUUUUGAUGUAACUAGAAGCUUUUUAAACUUACUUUUAAGUUUCAUUAAAGAAAUCUUGAGUUUUUAUGAAUUUUUGGAAAAUAGCCGUAAAAUAUGUCGAAAAAGUCGAUACUAUGAAUUGAGUAUUUUAUUAUAAUUUAAAGGUUGGGAAUUAGUCGUAGGUGAAUUAUAAGAUUUAUAAGAUGAACUGAAUUAGUUUUAGGUGAAAAUAUUGAGUAUAGACCGAGAUAUUUGAGUUUUAAGUUUGUUAUGUUAAAGGUUUCGGUUACAUGAUAAGGUUUAGGCUUAUAUUUUUUAUUACUUGUGGUGAGUUCUUAGCCGAUUAUUGAAUGCAUUGUUGUGGAAGUUGUCGUGUUGAAGUUCCAGAUUGGAUAGGACGUUCUAUGAAUAGAGAUAAAGGCAAGAAAAAGAAAGUUUGAGAUUUCGGCUUUUCGACGAAAGCGUAAUUGGUGAGUGUUUGGAACAAUUGCUUCUGAACAUGAUUCAAUGUAUUAUUUGGGAAUUUAGUAGCAGCUUAAACCCCUCCUCUAAACUCCAAGUGUAAGCUUUCUCAUACCUAUGUUAUCUUAUGAACUAUGUGUUUAUGUAUUUGUGAAUAUGUGAUUUAAGAUGAGAUUCUAUAACAUGUGAUAUGUGGUUAUGAUAACUGUUAUGAAAGUGCAAACAUGUACAUGUUAUGUAUAUGUUAAAUGUUAGUGACAAUGUUUUGCUAAAAAAGCAAAUAUGCAGUUAUACUGCAUAGAUAAUCGGUAAGUGAUAUGUGUUUGUUUCGGAUAUUUUGAUCUUUUGAUCUUGAAACCAUUGGAUAAAGUUGGCAUGCCAUAGGAUUAUGAGUACUCACCUAUAUGUACAGUGAUUUGGGGCGUUGAGGCCCUGGGGCAUGUUGGAAGGAUAAGGGAAUGGGAGCUAAGCUCCAUUCAACGACACAAGCGAGGGGACAUAAGGAAAGUGUUAGCUAUAUGCUUCACUUCUGGGACAUGUUUGACUCUAUGAGUCUAUGUGGCGUGUUGGAGAUCCGUGUAUCCGAUGAGUGAUGAUAGAGCUCACUUAUAUGUUUCAUAGCUCAAGUGUCAAAUUAUCUUAAAUUAUGAAUGUUAUGUGAUUAUAAGAGUAUUGUGAUAUAUGCUUAAAUGUUAUGUGAUUAUUUGAAUAUUGCGAUAUAUGCUUAAAAGUGAAUGUGAUUACCAUGUAAAUGAACUAGUAAAUAAUGCAUGAGUGAGUAUAAUGUAAAACUAGUGUUGGAACUGUUGAGGUUGUGAUAUAUGGUUGCUUCAUUUAUGCUUGAUGAAUUGUUUGCAUGGUAGUUAUUCUAGGCAUUCACUGAGCUUGUUAAGCUCACCCACUCCCUUCUUAAACUAUUGCAAAUUAGUUGUGUGCUGGUAUGAGUAGUGUGGUUUUCGAGGGGUGAUUCCAAGCAAGUCAUUUUCUGUUAUUUCGUAAGUGUUAUUGUUAUUUUUUUUCAUUUUGGGAAUAAGGCAAUAUGGUAGACUUUUUGUUGGUAUUUUCCAUGAUGUUUUGGAUGCUUCCAUUGACUAUAUGCUUCCAACUUUAUGAUAUUUGUUUCGUAUUAUGUUAAUUAUAGCUCGGACUUACUUUUGAUGUUUGAGACUAGUAUUGCAGCCAUUUCAACAUUUAUUUGAUGAUGAUAUGAUAGCAUGAGGAAUUGGUACAAGCUGGAAUGACUUAUAUGCUUAAAAAUGUUGUAUUUUUCUAGUAUGGAGCAGAGGUAUCAAUAUUCAUGUUGUAAAAACAAUAUCUCUGUAAUUUGAAAUGUGUAGGAAGUCAGAAUUGUAAAUUGGUAUCAAUACCAUAACACGAGUAUCGAUACUCGAGGUAGUUUUAUUGAUACUUUUACAAAGGUACCAAUAUUUUUCGAGACUUUGAUUUUAGACCAGAAAUAGAAUGUUGAUUUGGUAUUGAUUUUCCAUACGGUAUCAACACCGUACCACGAAAAUAUCGAUACCCUUAUCUUAGUAUCGAUAUCUACGUGAUUUUCUUGAAAAUUUUGCUAAGUGGUCCUAAUGCAUGUUUAAUUAUUAUUAUUAUAAGUUUAUUUAAAGUAUGUUUGGCAUGUUCUAAUGAUGAUUGAUAAAUGUUUGACUAAAAAUUUAUAAGAUCACUGAUAAAGAAGAUGAUUUCUUAAUACUGACAAUUUACUAUGAGUGUGAUAUGAGACGAUGGUGUGGCAUCUUAAUAUUCGGGCUUGGCAACUAGGCUGAGUAUAGGGUGUUACAGAGGUGGUGUGUAGCAAAUGGGGGUAGGAUUUGUUUUGAUAUGCUAUAUGUUCUGAAAUUUGAAAAAAAAACAUAUGUUCUGAAAAUUUUGAUCUGACAUUUGCAUAUGUGUAUGUUAUGAGUAAGAAAAUUCUGUAUGUGGGUCAAGUCACACAUUGGGCUUCUAGCUCAUUCAUUUUUGUUUCAUUUCAGGUGACCCUGAUGCAUAGGUUUGGGCAGCGAUUCUGGAGCUCUAUUUGCACAUUUUGGUUUAAGUAUGAUUUAGAUUAAAUUUCAGACUUUAUGAACUUUCUGAUUUUAACUUUGUUUUGGGACGUUAAAUUUGGUUUUGGUAAUUAUUUCAAAAAUGUACUAUUUAUAAUUCGUAAUUAUAUCCAAGACGACAUAACUAAUGGUAUUUAUGGUUUUAAAAGUUAAGGAUUUAUAAUGUAUUUUUCCGCUGGAAGGUUUUGAAACGAAAUGUGAUGUUUUACAACUCAAUUGCUUGAGCUUAUGGGAUUGGUUUAAUAAAAUUAACAAAACAAGUUUUUCGUCAAAGUACUCACACACGAUCUUCUGAUUACUCGUGUUUUGAUAAAUUAAAUAACUUAAUUACUCGGAUGAUAAAACUAAGUUUUCACGUAAAUUAAUCGACAAUGUUUUUUACGUAAUAAUGUAACCUUCAUAAUCCAACCGUAACUUCUAGGUCGGGUUUGGGGUGUUACACACCUUCUUAACUCAUAUAUUUAGUUGCAAUAUUCUCACUUCCAAUGUUGGUACGUCGAAAGGCAGUCAACCAUUGAUCCCUUUUAUUUCCCCUUUAAUUUCAGCCAAAAUGAUGGGUUAAUUGCCCAAACAGCCCUUAGGGUUCCCAAAACCUAAACAAUUUACCCCACCUUCUCCCAAUUGAAUUAGAAUUUCCCCUAAUCAAAUCCUAACAAGACUUCUGUCAACUUUUACUAUAUCUUCUCCUAUUUCUUUUCUUUUCUCUUCUUUACAUGAAUUUUUUACAUCAUCUAGCUACCAAAUAUUUUUGCUUUUCAACAGUAGAUCGUUCUCCAUUGGUUGAUUUUCCACCAGAAUCCUAAUUACUAUCAAAUCACAACCCUAGUCUUCGCCAAAGAAUCGAUAAGAACAUUCCAAUCCCAAUGUUUAAUUCUUAAAUUCCUGUAGAAUUUCUAUACACACUAAUUUUAAGAUCGAUUAAAUAAUCUUUUAUUAAUCUUGUCGAAAUUUUCGAUAAUCUUGAUAAAUCUUGAAAUUCAUUAUUAAUUCUAGUGUAAAUAUCGUUUGAAGGACUCGAUUUAGGUACCUCAUACCAAAUUUAAGCACAAAGAAAAACGUUCGAGAUCUUGGAGAUAGGUGUGUGUUCUUUUAGAAGCGAAUUGGGGCAAACCAUGCCUCAAAAUAGAGCCACACAGGCUUUUGGACCACACGGCCUGCCACAGGGUCGUGUCUCCCUUAUACCUUGAUUUUGCAAUUUCCACACAGCUCGGCCACAUGACCGUGUAACCCAUCCACACAACUUAAGGCAUUGCACACGACCUGGCCACAUAGACUUGUGUCCUUAUUUUAUAGUUUUGCCCAAAAAUUUUAUAAAUUGUUCAAUUUUGUCCCUGUAUGAUUUGUAAACUAUUUUUAGGGUUUUAUCUCUUAUAAUUAGGUCCCUAAUACUUUUAAUAAUGUGAAAUAUAUUAUUUGAUUGGUUAGAUUAUUACUCUUUAUGCAUGAUAUGCGAUUGAAACUUGUUUACUAUCAUCGAAUUAUUGAUGUAUUGUCACUAAUACCUGCACUAUAGUAUUUUUAAUUGCAUGAACAACAUGCCUAUUGUUAUUAAUAAACUGAAAUUAUGACAUUCAUGUCCACUGCUACUGUUAAAAUGAGUACAAGUUAUGCAUGUCCACUGUUUCUGUACUGUACAGUGAAUAACAUGUCGCAUUGCAUUGCAUGGGACGAGAUGCUGUGAAAGGAGGAAGUACUGACAGUUUUAACUAUAAACACUGGUGGUUUAUCCACAAAUUAUUGGUAGCUUUUAUCUGCAAACCCGUUGUUUAUUUACAACUACUGGCAUUGUAUUAACCUGCAAGCACUCGUGGUUUAUCCAUAAUUUAUACUGGCAGCUAUUAUCUAUAAAAUCAUUGUGUAUCCACAAUUACUGGUAGCAUAUUAACCUCCAAGACUGGUGGUUUAUCCAUUUACUGGAGUGUCCGAGAUGUAAGAAUUCUGAGAAACUCUUACUAAGGAGUGUAGCGGUGGGGUAAGACCUAUUUAUAUUGUUAAACUUAAAUUUCUAUGUAUUGCAUCAUCAUGUACAAGCAUGCUCGAAUGAACUGUCAAUUUAUGCUAUGCUAUAUGAUUGCUAAUGUAUGGUAAACUAUUGUUACAUACGCUUGGAUUACUAUUUGACACUAAUUUACUUGUGAUGGAACUCACAUUGAGCGUCAUAGCUCACUCCCCCAUAAUAUUCAUCCUUAUAGAUAACCCACUAGGCUAGGACACAGGUGCGACAUUCGGACGAUCUCGACUUCGUUGUUUUUAUCAAGUUAUUUUAGGCUCACUAUUUUAUCAUUAUUAUUCAAGACUAUACUAUUUUAUUUCAAACUAUGGCAUGGAACUUAAGAAUUGAAUUUUUAUAUUGCAUGAUACUUAAUUUAAGUUUUAAGAUAACUAGAUAUGAUUAUAAAUGAGUUAUGCAUGAAUCCCUAGUUUUUAUUAAACAACCACAUAUCAAAUGUUUAAAAAUGUUUUUUUUUUCAAAACAACCACUUAAUUAAAGUUUUGAGGAAUAAAAUGUUGAUAUUUAACUAAUUCUUUUACUUUAACAACUGUUUAAAAAUAUUUGUUUUCAAAACUUCAAUAGUCCACUGGGUCACUUCGGUGGCUAAUGCAAUCUUUCGAAUUUGGGUCUAAUAUCUAGACUGGGUUGGGGAGGUUACAGCUUCAUAGCUCACCCUUUUUUAUUUUCCAUUUCUACAGACAACUCAUCAGGUUAGGACGUGGACAAGGGAUCCGGAGGGUCUCGACACAAUUUUUUUAUUAAAAUAUUUUAAAAUUAUCAUUUGAUAUUUUUAUUAGUUAGAGACUGUAUUAAAAUAUUUUGAACUGUGGCAUGAGUUUGAUGACUUGUUUUCUUUUAGCAUGCAUAACAUUUAAUCUAAUUUUAGGAUGUCAAAGCAUGAACAUUAAUUAAUUAUGCAUGAACUUCGGUUCUUAUUAAAAAAUGUAAACUGUUAUAAAUUUUUUCGUUGCUAAAUUUUAAUUGAAGAUUUUGAGUAACAGGUAAAUAGGAAAUUAACUAAGUUUUUAAAAGAAAAGUAGACAUCAUUACAUAAAUAAUCUAAAUUGGUUUCUUGAUAACUCAUGAGCUUUUAUGAAAAAAAAGAACAAGUUUUCUAAUGUUUAAAUAUGUCAGAUUUAAAAAAUUCGAUAACUUAUUGGGUCACCUCAGUGGUUAAUGUAAUCUCUCGAAUUCGGGUCUAACGUCUAGGUCGGGUUGGGGAUAGGAGCGAAGGCAGAAAAUUUUUUUAAGGGGCAGAAUUAAAUUUUAAUUUUUACUAUAGUAAAAUGCAGUUUCACCAUUUGAAUAGCCUAUAUCUUUUAUAAUUUUUAAAGGAUUAAAUCAAUUUUUUAAUCAUUUUUAGGGGGACCAAAGUGAAAUUUUACCUUUACUAAUUUAAAUUUUUUAAAAAUUAAAGGUCCUAAAUAAAAAAAAUUCAUUUUAGGGGGGCCAGGGCCCCUGCUAGCCCCCUAGCUACACCCCUGGUUGGGAAGGUUACAAGAAUUGCCAAAAGAUCACAAGCCAAUAGUGAAAACCCAUUAAAUUCUUAAAAGAGUUUAAAUUAAAUUGUUAAUUUUUAAAGGGACAAAAAUGAAAAUUUUCCAUUAAACAAAGGGAUAAAAAUUCUUAAAUUAAAUAGUUAAUUUUUAGAAGUACAUAAAAUUGCAGUUAUCCCAUUUAGUCAAGAGAGGGCCUUACAUGCACCUCAGCUUCACCCCUAUGCAAUUUAUAUUAUCUAUAAUAUAUACAAAAUCACAAAAGCUUUUAUUUGGGAACUAGCUAGAAGCUUAAUUGCUUAAGCAAUGUCCUUUUCUUUUUCUUAUCACGAAGAUCUAUGCAUAUGCAAAAUAUGUGCAUGAAAUUAGUUGUACCUAACUGUACUUUAGAACUACCAUGCAUAUAUUAAACAUUAUGAAAAUGUUGUACCUACCUCAAUUGUCAUCUUAUGCCUAAUGAAAAAAUUUAUCACGCUUAAUAUUAUAAAAAUAAUAAUAUAGUUAAAAAUGUGUCUAGUUAAAAAUUGAAUAUAGUUUUUGUUAAAAUUUUAUUAGGUAGUAGUUAGAGAUUUUGUUUAACAUCUUGCUGAUACGGGUUUAAACUAAUAUUUUUGGAAUUAGAUCGGUGAUUAAAUUGAUUAGGUCACUGGUUCGUUGGUCUGAUCAAUUCGAUUCAAAAAUCAUUAAAAAUUUAUAAAAAAAUAAAAAAAAUCCAAUAACAUCUCAAAUAAUAGAAGUAAGAAGUUAGUACGAUAUACCAAUUCAUCUAAACCCCAAUCAUAAUUAGAUACGUGAUGUCUUAGGAUUAAGACAACUUACGUAUAUAAGCUAAGGCCCCAUUGAGAGAAGUAAGCAAGAGCGUUCCCACCAAAAUCAAGUGGCUCCCAUCUCUUUACAUAUGACCUUUGACUAUCAUAUAGCUCUUCACCUUUCUUCACCUUACAAUCUUUUUUGUGUAUCAACAAUGUAUUAUUAUUUAGAUCACUAAUAGUGAAUAGAACUAUACAUUAUAGGUAUAUGUGUAUACAUUAUAGGUAUAUAUCAUUGAACUAUGUAUCAUAAAUUGUAAUAAAAAAAUAAGAAUCUUGUAUCAUAAUUUUAUCGAAUAGGGACUAAAAAAUAUUAAAUGAAUUAAACUUAUUUUAAAAAUAAAUACCAUAAUAAUGACAAUUUAAUCAAAUGUAUUUAUAAAUAAUUUUACAUUUCAUCUAACAAACGCUUAAAUUUUAUAUCCAACCAAAUGGAACAAAUAAGAGAACGAAACGUAUCAUUAAAACAGAUGUAGUUAAGUAAUUUACGCAACACUAGCCCUUGCAUGUUCCGAGCAAGAGCAAGAAGUAGGUUUAGGAGAGUGGAGACGAAGGCCAACGAGAGUCACGAGGAGGAUAAUGUGAGAGGGAGAUUUGACAUUCCAAGUUUUGUUCUUUUCUCUAUUAAAGUAAUCUAAUCAGCUUUCAUAAUAUGAACUAAGGUCGCAUUUGGUAUGAAGUUAAUUUUAAACAAUCAUAUCACUAUGAUGGCUUUUUAACCAAUAUAUUAUACAAAAAAAAUGUACUACUUUUUUUUAGGAUAUCUUGAUAUUUAUGAACAUUAGGUUUGUGACAUUUAAAUUCUUCAUAGAUUUCGUGCUCAACUAGGCAAAUAUAGGUGAAGUAGAGCUCCACACUCUUUUAUCAAAUUCAUUUGAUUUUUACUAGGAUUAAUAAAUUUAUUCAAUAUGCUAUAUCGGAUACUAAAAAAGAGUGUGUAACAAACUUUAUUUUUUAUUAAAAUCACAUCUAAUUUACAUCGUUAAACACCAUGACUUCAAAAUUUUAAUUAAAAGUAAUAUAUAUAUUUAAAUAAAAUUACAUUGAAAAGAUACUUAUAUAAUAACAUAGUCAAAAACCCUAUACUAAACUCAACACCCAUAACUUCCAAGUUAAUCAGAAAUAAAUUUCUCAUAUUCCUAUUGUCAAAAAUAGUAAUAAAAUAUUUAUUAUAUAUGUCAAAAACUGAACAAAGAUAUAUAUAUUGACCUUGAAGAGUUUUUUUUUAUAAUUUUUGGAACUCUAAAUUUGAUUUAUGAUUUAUUUGAAAUUUUUUAUUUUGGAUAUUUUUUACAUUAUUUUUUGACAUGACAUAGAUGAUAAAAUACUAUCAUGUUGGUAAUGAAAAGUUGAAGAUUAAUUUGCUCCAAAUAAAUGAGUGGGGCAAAAUUGAAUAAAUAUGUAGAGAUGAAGGACUAAAUUUAUUAUAAUGCUCUCUCCCUCUAUAUAUAACACCAAAAUAAGCAUUUUACAGAAAACUUUUAUGAAAGGACCAUUUUUCUUCUUCAUCUAACAUGUAAGGACCAAUUUGCUCAUUUUUCUAUAGAUGCAUCAAAAUGCAAUUUAAAAUAUAGUAUAGAGACUGCAAUUUAAAAGUACUAAACUUAAUUAACUUAUUUAUACUAAUAUUUAUAUUCUAAUUAAAUUGGAGUCACGAGUCAAUCGGGAUAAUUCGGAGAUUACCAACAAAAAUAUUUUUUUAUCUUUUUAUAUUUUAUAUAAAAUUUAAAAAUCUAAACAUGACAAUAGUUAGCCUAACAUACCACAAUUCUAUAAUCUUAACUUUACAUUUUGAACCAAAGUCUCAUUUAUUUUCAAAUAUAAUUUUUUAAAAUUAUUUACAUAAUUUUUUUCACUCAUGUAAUUUAAUAUAUUUUAUAUAAGCAUUUAUAAUUAUAUCUUAUUACUUUAGACAACUAAAUCUAAAAUUAAAAAUAGAUACAAUUUAAUUUUAAUAUUUUUAAGAUCCAAAUUCACUCUACUUAAACUCGAACCGAACCACCAAUAUCAUCCAUCAAUAUAGAAAUCACAAACUGAAAAGAAAAAAAAAAAAAGCAUCACCCAAAUACAACCUCCCAAAGAGGGAAUAAGAUUAGAUUUGGUGGCAGUGAAAAACAGAUAGAAAUUUCCAUGCACCAACGUUUACGUUGUCCCCCACCUUAUCCGGUUCACAAUCACUUUUUGUUUGUUCUCUUAGCUGUGUUCUAUGAAAAAUACCCAAAUUAGAUUUUAUCCUAGCUCAGUUGAUAUAGUUGCUAUUGCAAUAAUCAAAAUAAUGUGGGCUUAAACACAUUUAAGUGCAUAUUUACCUUCGAUUUAAGAGUUGAGAGGAGUUAGGAGCAGGAGUAGGUAUUAUAUCAAAAAAUACUUUGUUUUCCCCACUUCACUUUAGGUAAACAAAUAAUUAUUUGUACCAAUUAAAAUUUUAAAAAAACUUUUUAAAAGAAUAUAUCAAAAAAAAUUAUAUUUUAGGUCAAAUUAUGGUUAUAGUCUCUCUAUUAUGUAUAAAUAUAGGAUUUAAUAUCUCUACUUUUUUUUAUUAAAUUUUGUGUGUUAUAAAUUUUAAGAGAAUUUUACGUCAUCAUUUAACUCAAAAUGGUUAAGGAUGUUUUUUUUUAUCUCAAAAGCCAACCUCUUUAUUGAUGAAUUAAACAAAGUAAAAAGACAAUUAAAUGAACCAAAAAUCAAAAGGAAAAUACGAAAAGGAAACCCUCAGCCAUGGGAUUUCGACCAGCGGCUACUCAAACAAAACAUUAACUGAUACGAGUCACAAAGGCCCAACCCAAGCCCAAGAACGUGAUGGGCUCAAAUUACCACAAGGCCUAAUAACAAGAUCAAAGGCCCGACAAAUGCGUUCCAAAAUAAACGGGACCAUUCAGGAGUUUGUUAGCAAGGCCUUAGAUGCGUACAUGAAAGAAAGAGAAAAUCAAUAUUCACUUUCUUGAUUUCAAGAAAAUCUAGAAACCGAAUCUUGGCCCAAUCUUGCUGUUUGGAGCGAUUUCAAGAAUCAAGAAAAUCAAGAUUUCAAAUCUUGGAAAACUUCGUCCAAGAAACUAAACCUUGCAGCCAAAGCGCAUUGGAUCUCCGUUACGAGCAUCAACGAACCAAUUUCGGUAGGAGAUGGAAUACAAGCCCCAAGUUCUUGAAGGCAAGGCCCAAUAAGAUGAUUCCAAGCCCAACCAAGAAGACAAACCAUACUUACUUGAAAAUCUGGCCAAAUUGUCAAAGUGGCCCAAUUUGUAAAGUUUUAUUUUUUUUAAAUACUUAGUUUAAAUUUUUAUGUAAAUAUUCAGUCCAAGAGGCCCAAUUAACAGGCCUUGGCUGAAUUUCCAUUUAAAAUUAAAAUAAUUAGGAGUAUUUUUAGUUUUAGUUUUCUAAACAGAUUAGGAAAACAUUUGAAAAGCCUAUAUAAAGGCUUGGCCGGCCACCUUGUUAGACACUUUCUCAAUUAUAUUAAAAAUUUCAGAUUUGUUUAAGUGCAGAAUUCUCCUUGAGUUUUUCUCCAAGAAUUCUCUCUUGAGUUUUCUUUAGAAGUUGUUUUAACAAUCUUUUGAUUGUGGGAGCCAUCUUCAGCCUUCUUCUUGCCAUUGAUAUUCUUUGGAGGGGAGAUUAGAGCCGUUUGAAGGGAGUUGUGAGAUCUUUCGGGAUUUCAAGGCUUCUUAGGACUUAUCUUUUAAUUUCUUGCUGUCAAUUUUUUCUUUUAAAAUCUUCUUGUGUCGAUUUUAUUUAAUCACUUUGUUUGCUGUUCUUGUUGCGUUUUAGGCGUUCCAAAGCAUUCCAAAUCUGAUUCGCCCUCUUCUUUACUAAAGAUCGGAUCGCCCCUUUUGUUCUUGGCAGUAAAAAUUCGUUCAAAAUCCCUAAAUUCCUUAUUCUUGCCGAUUUCUUCUUUUCAGAUUUGGGUUGUUUUGAUUGCUGGAAUUUUGGGGAAAUUUAACUUGCUGUUUGUCAUUCUUUUCAGAUUCGGCAGAUUGGAGUAUUCUUUGGGGUUCAAUUACAUGUUCUUGAUUCCCCAAGAACCCUUAUUAACAUUUAAACCUAUUCUCAAUUUGAUUCUUUGCUGAUUUGGGGAUUUUUAUUUCAGAUCUGGAAAUUCAAAGUUUUAAUCUUUUAAUUUCUGUUUCGUUUCAGAUCUGUUCGUUUAGAGCCUCGUAGGAGUUUUCCGUGACUUGGCAACUUGAUCUUGGUCCGCGCACAACCCGCUAUCAUUUGGUAUCAGAUUUUGGGCGUUUUGGGUGUUCUUGGUUGAUUUCUAAACUGAUCUCUAUUUUUUAAACUACAAACAACAGUUUUACCCAGAAAAAUUUUUGAAAAAAAUUCAUUUGAGUGGGUAAACGUUGUCUGAUUGAUCUAAAAUUUUACAAACAUAUUUUUGGCACUGUGAUUAAAUAUAAAAAAAUAUUUCCCGCAAAAAAGUCUGUCGAAAAAGUCAAAAAAAUUGAAAAAGAUGAAAUCUAAUAAAAAAUUAAAAAAAGAUUCAGAGGGUUGAGUUUGGUGCCCAAACUUUCCAGAUCAAAAAUUCAAUAUUUAAGGACAUUCCAGAUUUAAUUUUGUGAUUUUUGGAGAUCGGGAACACCUCAAACAAAGUUGUCAAGUUACUCCACAGUUUUUCGAGUUUUCUUGUUUCAGCAAUUUUUAUUGAUUCUUAGCUAUAGGUUUUCAUUUGUUUGUCUUUAUUCUCCCUUUACACUAUCUAACACCUUAUUGUUUCUUGUGUUAGUAGGAUUUUUAAAGUGUGCACAAUUCUUCCUCAGUGCGACACAAAUUAGUUGGUGUCACGUCAGUUUUUUGGCAUCCUAGUGCAAAUUAGGAUUCUUUGGUAGUUCGGUUCAUACACUUUCUAAUUGGUUGAUAUAGACUCUACUAAAGAACUCACAAGACAGAAUUCUACCUCAUUGAGAAUUUGAUUUUUUCUUUUUGAGUGAUUAACGGUGAGGUUUGCUAACUUUUCUUUUUGAGUGUUGAGUGUUUAUUUUGCAGGUUUUUGAAAAUGUCUAAGGUUGGUCAAGGUGAUAAUGAUCAUAAUGAUGUCUACGACACAUUUACAAAAUUCCAACAACAGUUAGACGAACAAGCUGCCUUACUCAGAACUUUGAGUGCUACUUUAAAUGAGGUACGAUUGAAUCAAGAGCCUCAAUAUCGAGAUCCAAUUAAAGAAGAUAUGGAUAACCAGCCUCCUGCUCAUCGGUGCGGUCCUCGACGUGUCCCUAGAACUGACUCUGAUUUUCAUGAUCGUGGGCAGCCCUCUUUGGCAAAACCGAAGUUCACAAUUCCCCAAUUUCGUGGUAAGAAUGAUCCAGAAGCUUAUUGUGAAUGGGAAUCUAAAAUUGAACUUAUGUUUCGAUAUUAUAAAUGUCCGGAUGAUGAAAAGGUAGCGUUAGCAACGCUGGAAUUUUUAGAUUAUGCAUUAAGUUGGUGGACUCAAUUUAGGGUGAAUCGUCAUCGGAAUUAUGAAGGUGAGAUUUCGACAUGGGAGGAGUUGAAAUAGAUUAUACGUAAAAGAUUUAUUCCACCUCACUACUAUAGAGAGAUUAAAACAAAGCUGAGACGACUUGUUCAAGGUAGUAGGACGAUGGAUGAAUAUUUUAAGGAGAUGGAGACGCUCGUUCAGAGAGCUAAUGUGGAGAAGGAUGAGGAAACAACUAUGGUUCGAUUUAUUGAUGGUUUGAAUAGGCCGAUAGGUAAUACAUUGAGGCUACAAACUUACAUUGAUUUGGAAGAAGCAGUUCAUAAAACCAUUGAGAUCGAGCAACAACUAAAGGAACAAAGGUUUGGUUCCUUCUCUACUUCACAAUAUUACCUAGGUAACAAUUCCAAUUCUGAUUUUAAGAGUUCAAAAUCACCUUUUGUUACUAAUAAGUCUUCUUUGAGUAAUGGAAGUAAGCAAUCAGAUUGGAAAAAAGGGGCUCCUGUUAAAACGCAAACACCUUCUAAGCAGCCCAAUUUACGUGAUUCGAGUGUGAAGAGGACUCGUGAGAUUGAAUGCUUUAAGUCCAAAGGGCGUGGUCAUUAUAGUAGGGAAUGCCCUAACACGAGAUUACUUCUUCUGAAAGAUAAUGGUAAGUACACUUCCGACUCUGAUAAAACAGAUCCAGAUAUGCCAGAACUUGUGGAUGACAGUGAUAAUGGCGAAGAGUUGGUUGAACCACCAAAAGAAGGGGACUUUGCUGAUUUUCAAUGCCUUGUAGUUCGCCGAACCCUUAACAUCCAGAUGAAAGAUGAUGACAACCAAAGGACCAAUAUUUUCCAUUCUCGGUGUUUUAUUAAAGGUAACUUAUGUUCACUCAUUAUUGAUAGUGGGAGUUGCUCGAAUGUAGUGAGUAGCUAUUUGGUAGAUUCUUUAAAGUUGCCUUGUACCAAACACCCUAAGCCAUAUCACCUUCAGUGGCUUAACGAAUGUUCCGAAGUUAAAGUUACGAAACAGUCCUUGGUCACUUUUAAGCUCGAGAAUUAUGAUGAUGAAAUAUGGUGUGAUGUGGCCCCAAUGCAUGCGGCACACUUGCUCCUUGGACGGCCUUGGCAAUUUGAUCACGAUGUUACACACCAAGGUAAGCUUAAUCGAUACUCCUUUGUGUUUAAAGGUAGAAAAUUUAUUUUUGCUCCUUUAAAUCCCACUGAUGUAUAUAAAGAUCAAUUGAAGAUGAUGAAAUUUUGUGAGGGGGUAAGGGAGAAAGGACAAGUACAAAAGACAGAGAGAAAAGAGGCUAGUAGUGGAAAAAGUCAAAAUUUAAAAAGCCCAAAAGUGAGUGAAUCCACAAGUGGUAAAAUGAGCGGAAAAAAUUUUUUGCCAACAAAAAAAAUGUGAGGAGACCCCUACUCAAUAAACAGCCUUGUAUCCUUGUGAGGUUUAGGCAAAAUUAUUUAUCUUUAUCUAACAUUAACGAAAAUUUACCUAGUGUGUUUAAGUCUCUUUUGCAGGAUUAUGAGGAUGUUUUUAGUGAGGCCCCUAAAGGUUUACCACAUUUACGAGGGAUAGAGCAUCAAAUUGACUUAGUACCCAGAGCUUCAAUACCAAAUCGACCAACCUAUAGAUGCAAUCUCGAGGAGACAAAGGAAUUGCAAAGGCAAGUUGAGGAAUUACUAGACAAAGGGCACAUUCGUGAGAGCCUAAGUCCUUGUGCCAUUCCUGUCUUAUUGGUACCAAAGAAAGAUGGUACUAUCGAAUUUGUGUUGAUUGCCAUCCAAUCAACAAAAUAACGGUAAAGUAUCGACACCCAAUUCCUUUCAGUCAUAUUUACUAAAAUUGAUUUGAAAAACGGUUAUCAUCAAAUUCGAAUGAGGGAAGGGGAUGAAUGGAAAACAGCCUUUAAAACAAAAUUUGGAUUGUAUUAAUGGUUAGUUAUGUCUUUCGGCCUUACUAAUGCACCUAGUACAUUUAUGAGAUUAAUGAACCAUGUUUUAAGGCUUCACUUAGGUAAAUUCGUAGUAGUUUACUUUGAUGAUAUUUUCAUUUACUCCAAGACAUUAUAUGAUCAUGUUUUCCAUGUUAGAACCGUUUUGGAUAUUCUGCAAGCUGAAAAAUUAUUUGCCAACCUUGAUAAAUGCACAUUCUGUUGUGAUAAACUAAUAUUCUUAGGUUUCAUAGUUAGUGCACAAGGUAUUCAUGUCGAUGAGGACAAAGUCAAGGCAAUCAAGGAGUGGCCCUAAAUCGGUAACUGAGGUGAGAUCUUUCCAUGGUUUAGCUAGCUUUUAUAGACGAUUUGUGAAAGAUUUCUCUACUAUUGUUGCCCCAUUAACAGAGGUUAUAAAGAAAUCAGUGGGUUUCAAAUGGGGUGAAACCCAAGAAAAGGCUUUUUAGACCCUAAAAGCUAAGUUAUGUUUGCUCCUCUUCUUAAAUUACCUGAUUUUUCUAAUACUUUUGAACUUGAGUGUGAUGCUUCAGGAAUUGGAAUCGGUGCCGUUUUAAUGCAAGAUAAGCAACCUAUUACUUAUUUUAGUGAAAAUUGAAUGGUGCACAAUUAAACUACUCGACUUAUGACAAAGAACUAUUGGCAUUGGUUCGUGCACUUCAAGUAUGGCAACGUUACUUGCUGCCUAAUGAAUUUGUCAUACAUACAGAUCCUGAAUCCCUUAAAUGGUUAAAGGGACAAGGUAAGUUGGGUAAACGUCAUGCCCGAUGGGUAGAAUUCAUUGAAACAUUUCCUUAUGUGAUAAAAUAUAAAACAGGUAAAGAUAAUGUAGUUGCAGAUGCUUUGUCUAGACGAUAUGCUUUAAUAACUACAUUGAAUGCUAAAGUCUUAGGGUUUGAACACAUCAAGGAGUUAUAUGAUGAUGAUGCUAAUUUCGGCCAUAUCUAUAAGAAUUGUGGACUUACUACUUUUGAAAAGUUUUAUCUUGUAGAUGGCUUUCUUUUCGUAUAAACAGGUUGUACAUACCAAAGUGUUCCAUGAGAGACUUAUUGAUUCAUGAGGCCCAUAGUGGGGGUUUAAUGGGACAUUUUGGAGUGGCCAAAACACUAGACAUUUUGCAAGAACACUUCCAUUGGCCACAUAUGAAGAAAGAUGUCGAAAAGGUAUGUUCCAAGUGCAUUACAUGUAAACAAGCAAAAUCUAAGGUAAUGCCUCAUGGCCUUUACACUCCUUUACCGAUUCUUACUUCACCUUGGGUAGAUUUAUCCAUGGAUUUUAUUCUAGGUUUGCCUCGAACUAAGAAAGGAAGAGAUAGUAUAUUUGUUGUUGUUGACAAGUUUUCAAAGAUGGCACAUUUUAUUCCUUGUCACAAAACAAAUGAUGCUACACAUGUGGCAGACUUAUUCUUUAAAGAGGUGGUAAGACUUCAUGGCAUCCCUAAAACAAUUGUUUCUGACAGAGAUGUCAAAUUCUUUAGCCACUUUUGGAAGGUCUUGUAGGGUAAGCUUGGUACUAAAUUACUUUAUUCCACUACAUGUCACCCUCAAACUGAUGGCCAAACUGAAGUAGUUAAUCGGAUCUUAGGGACAUUAUUACGAUCUGUUGUGGGAAAGAACAUUAGAAAUUGGGAAGAAUGCCUACCAUUUGUUGAAUUUGAAUAUAAUAGAUCUAUUCAUUCUACAACUGGUUAUUCUCCAUUUGAACUUGUUUAUGGCUUUAACCCACUAACAGUACUUGAUCUUGCGCCAUUACCACUUGAACACAUUGUUAAUUUAGAUGGCGAACAGAAAGCUGAGUUGGUGAAAUCCUUACAUGAGAAGGCUAGGCAACGAAUAGCCAAAACUAAUGAUGCCAACACCAACAAAGCAAACAAGGGGCGCAAACGGGUUCUCCUAGAACCUGGAGAUUAGGUUUGGGUCCAUUUGAGGAAAGAACGAUUUCCCACAAAAAGAAAGACCAAGUUGGACCCAAUGGGUGAUAGGCCUUUCCAAGUACUCGAGCGGAUCAAUGACAAUGCCUAUAAAAUUGAUCUACCUGGUAAGUACAAUGUAAGUUCUACUUUUAAUGUGGCUGACUUGUCCCCAUUUGAUUUUUCAGAUUCGAGGCCGAAUCAUUUUGAGAAAUGGGGGAAUGAUACGAGUCACAAAGGUCCAACCCAAGACCAAGAACGUGAUGGGCUCAAAUUACCACAAGGUCCAAUAACGAGAUCAAAGGCACGACAAAUACGUUUCAAACUAAACGGGACCAUUCAGGAGUUUGUUAGCAAGGCCUUAGAUGCGUACAUGAAAGAAAGAGAAAAUCAAGAUUCACUUUCUUGAUUUCAAGAAAAUCUAGAAACCGAAUCUUGGCCCAAUCUUGCUGUUUGGAGCGAUUUCAAGAAUCAAGAAAAUCAAGAUUUCAAAUCUUGGAAAACUUCGUCCAAGAAACUAAAUCUUGCAGCCAAAGCGCAUUGGAUCUCCGUUACGAGCAUCAACGAACCAAUUUCGGUAGGAGAUGGAAUACAAGCCCAAGUUCUUGAAGGCAAGGCCCAAUAAGAUUAUUCCAAGCCCAACCAAGAAGACAAACCAUACUUACUUGAAAAUCAGGCCAAAUUGUCAAAGUGGCCCAAUUUGUAAAGUUUUAUUUUUUAAAAAUACUUAGUUUAAAUUGUUAUGUAAAUAUUCAGUCCAAGAGGCCCAAUUAACAGGCCUUGGCUGAAUUUCCAUUUAAAAUUAAAAUAAUUAGGAGUGUUUUUAGUUUUAGUUUUCUAUUCAGAUUAGGAAAACAUUUGAAAGGCCUAUAUAAAGGCUUGGCCGGCCACCUUGUUAGACACUUUCUCAAUUAUAUUAAAAAUUUCAGAUUUGUUUAAGUGCAGAAUUCUCCUUGAGUUUUUCUCCAAGAAUUCUCUCUUGAGUUUUCUUUUGAAGUUGUUUUAACAAUCUUUUGAUUGUGGGAGCCAUCUUCAGUCUUCUUCUUGCCAUUGAUAUUCUUUGGAAGGGAGAUUAGAGCCGUUUGAAGGGAGUUGUGAGAUCUUUCGGGAUUUCAAAGCUUCUUAGGACUUAUCUUUUAAUUUCUUGCUGUCAAUUUUUUCUUUUAAAAUCUUCUUGUGUCGAUUUUAUUUAAUCACUUUGUUUGCUGUUCUUGUUGCGUUUCAGGCGUUCCAAAGCAUUCCAAAUCUGAUUCGCCUUCUUCUUUACUAAAGAUCGGAUCGCCUUAUUUGUUCUUGGCAGCAAAAAUUCGUUCAAAAUCCCUAAAUUCCUUGUUCUUGCCGAUUUCUUCUUUUCAGAUUUGGGUUGUUUUAAUUGCUGGAAUUUUGGGGAAAUUUAAGUUGUUGUUUGUCUUUCUUUUCAGAUUCGGCAGAUUGGAGUAUUCUUUGGGGUUCAAUUACAUGUUCUUGAUUCCCCAAGAACCCUUAUUAACAUUUAUUCCUAUUCUCAAUUUGAUUCUUUGCUGAUUUGGGGAUUUUUAUUUCAGAUCUGGAAAUUCAAAGUUCUAAUCUUUUAAUUUCUGUUUCGUUUCAGAUCUGUUCGUUUAGAGCCUCGUAGGAGUUUUUCGUGACUUGGCAACUCGAUCUUGGUCCGCGCACAACCCCCUAUCAUUAACAAUACUGACUAGAGAGUAACCAAAACCAAAAAUGGGGUCUUCAAAUAGCAAAUCCCCACUAUAUUUCGAAGAGAAUCAACAGUUCUAUGGUGGGCAUGAAAGCGACAGUCUUCUGCAGCCGCCGCUUCUACCAACGCCGGAGCUUCUCAACCCAGAAGCCAUCCUCUUCUCGAUUUGAACCCUCUUGCACCAUUGCUUGCGAUGUUUUGUUACCAAAUUAGCCAAUGAAGUGUAAGGCGCCAUAUGCAUGAAACUCCUUCGCUAUCUCUUUUGCAGACCAAGUAAGGGCACUUAUAUCUGAGAAAUCUUGUUCGUGGUUGUUAAUAUUCCUGAUAAAAGAUCUUGAAUCUCCCUCGACUAUUAUUGACAGAAAACCUAAAUAUUUAGCAAAUCGAAGUACAUGUAUCACCGCAACUGCUUCUGCUGCAAAGACUAAAAGAAUAGGGUAAGUGAUUUUGCAACAAGCCUCCAUAAUCUCCCCAUUUUCAUCUCAAAUUACAACCCCUACUGCAGCCUUCUUUUGAUUUAAUCUAAACCCAGCAUCAUGUUUAGUUUAACCAAACCUGUAGGUGGUGGAGACUACCGAGCUUGAAAUUGGAGGCUACACCACUGUCCGUAAGGAUCACAAAGACCAACUCCACACAAUAGUUGCGGAUGGAGCUGACAAUCUCACCUACACUCUAGUGUUCCCUUGUGCACCAUAUGAUUCCGAGCAAACUAUAUAGCCCACAUUGUACCACAAAUUUCAUUAUGUUUUGUUGUAUGAUACAUCUUUAGUAUCCAUGAAAGCCACUCAUGGAAAUCCAUUUGAGUACUAGCCACAUGCAAUGGGUAACCCAACAUUACCCACACAUUUCUCGCACUAGCACAAAAUCUUAGCACAUGGUUCACUGUCUCGUGAUCAACAUUACACCUCGAAUAGAUUGGAUUAUUUGUAACACUUCUAUUGUAUAGGCAUGAUCUAGUGGCUACAAAACCAUGAACAAAUUUCCACAAAACUAUUUUGAUUUUUGAGGGACAUCUAGUUGCCCAAAUUUGCUUGAAAAUUUCAUGCCCAAAUGAUAAGGGAGUCGGUGGCUAGAGUAAUAAAUGAUAUCCGCUAUGAACAGAGUAUAUACCCGAGCGUUCAUCACCCCAAAUGAGACAAUCCUCUUGAUGAAUAGACAGUAAAGGAAUACCCUGGAUAAGGAUUGCAUCAUCAUCUACAAAAAGCAAGUUAAUCAAAUCCUGGUUCCAACCUAUUCCAUUCAGAAAAAAAAAGCUUAGACACCCUAUCAAUGUUACCCGAUCUGGGGGUUUGACCUCUUCUAGGCAAAGACCUUGGCACUCAACAACCUCCUAAAUGUUAAUUCUAUCGCCCAUCCCCACAUUCCAUUUAAGCCCUAUCUCAACUAAUUUCCUAGCACUCUAGAUGCUCUUCCAAACGGGUGAUGGAUUGGAGCCCAACUAAGCAAUAAGAGACCUUGUAUUGGGAAAGUAUUUGGCCCUUAGGAUACGCGCCAUCAACAACGUAGGAUGCAUUAAGAUUCUCUACAUCUUCUUUGCUAGUAGGGCUACAUUAAACUUCGUAAGAUCCCUAGACCCCAACCCUCCAUCAUCCUUUAGUUUGCUAAAAAACAACUAACUACAUCAAUGGAUGCCUCUCUUGUUAGCCGCCUUCUGCCACCAAAACUGAGCUAGGGCGCCUUUAAUUUCUUUAUAGAAAGUUUGUGGCAAGAGGAAACACAUCAUUGCGGAAUGUUGGGAUUGCUUGGAGAAUGGAUUAUAUGAAUACCUCUCUUCUACCUAUUAAUAACAGCCUCGUACUCCAAGAAGAUAUUCGACUUCGAAUUUUAUCCCUUAGGUUAGCAAAGGCCCGCUUCUUGUUCCAACCUACCAUACAUGGUAAACCUAAAUAUUUCUCUAAGUUGUCAGCAUGAUGAACCCCCAGAAUUCUCUCCACAUCCAACCUAUUCCUCAUGUCAACAUUUGAACUAAAGAAAACACUGGAUUUUUCAAAAUUGACUAGCUAACCUGAACACUUGGCGUAUGAUUGAAACACCUUUAAGACAUUUGUACGGAUGGAUGAGUUCAUGGGAACUCCUAGUGAUGUGUGUAGCAAAAUUAGGAAAGAUUUUUCUUUUGAUAUAUUGAAAUUGCAUUGUCAUUUAUAAACAUGUGCAUACAAAAUUGUGAAUUCCAAAAUAUUAUAAUGAUGUGUUGAUCUAUAAAAUUGUUACUAUGACUUGCUAUAUGAAUGUGAUUGUUCUAAAGAACUGUCAGUUCGCAUGCUUUAUUACACCGAUUUUCUUGUGAUUUGACUCACACUGAGCUUCUUAAGUUCACCCCCUUUAAUUUCCAUAUUUAUAGAUAACCCACCAGGUUAGGACACGAACACGGCAUCUAGUCGGCUUGGCUCGGAUAGUUUUUAUUUUAUUUAUUUAAAAAUAUUUCAGUUUUACAUUAUAAUUUAUGUUAUCUGGAACUGUAUUGAUUUAUUUGAACUGUAGCAUGGGACUUUAGUUUUGGGUUUAUUUGGCAUGCAUGACAUUUAAUUUGAUUUUAGGAUAUUGAAAUAUGGAUUUUGAAUUAAUUAUGCAUGAAAUGUGGUUUUCCUUAAAACUAUGAUAAAAAUCAUUUUUCCACUGCAUGACUAUGUAGAAGAGGUUUGAAAGAUAUAUAUAACUGGAAUUCAACUUUUGCAAAACAAUCAUUAAAAUUGAUCUGUUUUGAAAUUAAAUUGUACAUUUUGAAAACAAGCAAAUUUUUUCUUCAAAAAUUGAAAGAAAUGUUUUAAACAAACUGUUUUUAAACUCCGAUAAUGUUUCUAGGCCAUUUCAGUGGCCAAUAUAAUCUUUCGAAUUCAGACCUAACGUCUGACCGGGUUGGGGAGGUUACAUAGAUCUAACAAUAAAGAGGGUUUUUUUUUCCUUCUAACAAACAAUGAGAAAAAAAAAGAAAAGAAAGAAGGAUUGAUGGAUUAUCUAAGCAAUAAAAACUUUAUCCUCUACAAAGUUAUCAAUUAUAAUUAGAUUAUGACACGUUCACGAUGUGGAUGAAAAAUAAAAUUAUAUAAAAAUAUAUAUUUAUAAAAAUAUUGAUAUAUAUAUAUAUAAUAAAGUUUUAGUUGAAUGGUAAAGUACAAAUGUGAAAUUUAAAAUGUAUGAAUUUGAAUCCUUUUAUAUGUGUUUUUUUCCUAUCUUUUUAUAUAAAAAUAUAAAAUAACAAAAACAAUCUAAAAAUAAUAUAAUUUAGUUUGUAAAUUGAAGGCAUUUCAUCUUUUUUUUUCAUUUAAGUUGGUAUUCGAUUAACUUGUAAAACCAACUCCAUCAAGAACUUUGUAAUAAGUAUAGUUAAAAGAAUUUAACAAAACAUUCCCCAAUGCUAUAUAAUUUUGACAUUCAAACUAAUAUUAAACUUUUUUUAUUGAUCGAAUCUUAAUUCAGUUGAUAUAAUUUUAUUGAAAUUUUUUGAAGGUUAUAGGUUUGAGUGGAUUUAGGUGUAAAAUGUUUUAAUGUUAUUAUUUAUACUAUUAUUUAAGUAUUUGAUUGAAUUGGUGUCACGAGUCAACUUGGCACCAAUUUGAUUAGAAAAUUAUGAAAAUGUCCUUAUAUAAUUAAACUAAGUUAUAUUAUUUGAGGGUACUUUAGUAAUUUAUUUUUAACAAAAACCAAUGAAAAAUAUGCAUCUUGUGGGAUUUGAAUCCCCGCCAAUUAAAUUUGUAAACUUUAAACUUACCACAUAACCAAAGUUUCAUUUUGAUAAUUUUAUACAUUUUUAUUUUAAUAUGCACAAUUUAUUACCUCCAUCAAUUGUAUAUUUAGUAUUUUUAAUUUAAUGGAUUUAUGUUUUAAAAAUUCGUUUUACUCACAAUUUAAUAUAAUUUUUCAUUUUAAUAUCGUACAUAUUUCAUGUGUUAUUACUUAAUUUGUUUCAAAUCCUACGUUUCAUUAUUUAUUGUAUGUUAUUUUUAAACAUUUUUUUGUCUUCUAAAUACGUGAUUUCCAUAGGCAUACGCGUGUGAUAAAAUUUCUAAUAAUCAAUUAGGAAUUUGAGAUUAACCUUAGAUUAAAAAUGUAUAAACAAAUUGGGAUAAGGUAAUAUUUAGUCCCUGAACUUUUUUUUUGUCCAUAUUAAUCCUUAAACUUGGCAACUUUUCUCGUUUUUGGUUCAUAUGAUGAUGUCACACUUUAAUAUUAUGUCAUGUCAUCAUCUAAAAUUUUUUUGUAAAAAAUUAUAACUUUUUAAUUGAUGAUGUAGCGUAAUAUUAAAGUAUCAAAAUCGACAUUUUUCAAAACUAACAUGGAUUAAAAAAAAUUUCAAAGGCUAAAUUAAAAAAAAUUGAAAAGUUUCUACCUAAUUUAACUUUUUUAGGAAAGCUAUGCUAUUUUCCUAUACAUUGAUUCAAGAAAAACUAAUAUAAUAUGUAUAAAUAGAUUGUAAUUUUUUUCUAAUCCAUAUUUUUUUAUAAUGAAAAUAUCAUUUUUAAUUUUAUAUUUAAUAAUAAUUUUUGUUUAUUUAUUUUAAAAAAUCAGUAUUCAUGCAAUAGCAAUUUAAUCGAAUAUUUUAUUUAGAAUAUUGAUAAUGUCGAGCAAAAUUCUAAAGAUAUACCACAAAUGACUAUAGUGGUAAAGUAAGAAGAAGCAAGAAAAACUGCCCCACGUUUUGGGUGACCUCAAACUUUCUUUUCAGAUAUUGUUAGAUGGGAACAUAGAUAUAAUUUGUUGUAGAUGGUUACAUUCCACAAUUAUGGGGGGUGACACACCACAGCACUAGUGAUUCUUUUGUCUUUAUCAACACGUGAAGACGGGGCUUGUUAAGGUUUUAUCUUUAUGUAUUAUUCUUUUCUCUUCCUUUUCUCCUCGCGAAUCUCGUUGCCCUUUGUCCUCAACUACAACUGCGCCUAUCAAGCUGCUUUUCUUGCCUUUUGUCCUGCUUUAUCUCGCCUCCCAGAUUUUCUCUUCGCAUAUUGGAAUACCUCCUUACAUUCUCUUGUGCAUGAGCACUAUAUUUUGCUCGAUAAAAUAUCCCUAGUGAGCCUUAGACAUAGAUAUCUUAGUUCAAUUCAAGGAGUUAGAUGCCAUAAUGUUGCCUUACCUACACCAAUUCGUACGAUAUACCAAUUCAUCUAAACCUCAAUCAUAAUCUUAGGAUUAAGACAACUUACGUAUAUGAGCUAAGGCCCCAUUGAGAGAAGUAAGCAAGAGCGUUCCCACCAAAAUCAAGUGACUCCCAUCUCUUUACAUAUGACCUUUGACUAUCAUAUAGCUCUUCACCUUGCAAUAUUUUUUUGUGUAUCAACAAUGUAUUAUUAUUUAGUUCACUAAUAGUGAAUAGAACUAUACAUUAUAGGUAUACAUUCUGUGUAUCAACAAUGUAUCAUAUAAAUCCUUACAGAAAUAUGUUAUUUUUACUUCUAAACAAAAUUUUAGAAUAAAAUCAUCUUUAAUAGUUUAAUUUAAAAUUUAAGAGAUUAUCCACAUUUAUUUAUUUAUUUAUUUAUUUUUAAGAAAAAGGAAAAACAUAAAAGUAAUAUAUAUAUAUAUAUAUGUAAGUUCUACACCAGAUACUUUCAUAUCUGUAUCUUCUAUUCUCUCUCAUCUUAGAGUAAAAGUAACGUAUUCAACUCCAAAACUGAACACAUGACUACUUGAGAAAGAAAAGAAAAAAAAAACACAAAGAAUAAGAAAUGUGUAGAAAGAUUGGCAAUUGGCACAAAAUGGUUUAAAUGAAAACUUGGUCCCCACUUUUAAGUAUUUAAUUUCCCCCCUUAUCAAAUAUUUUCUUCCUUUCUCUUGCAUCAUGUACCAUGUCUUUUUUAACCCUAAAUUAAUAUCAAAUAGUUUCAUAAAAAAAAAAGACAUGGGGGAGUUUUAAUUGAUUUAAAAGUUUUGUCUUUUAAAUUUAUUUAAUUAAAUAAAACUAUUUUUGUAUUUUUUUUAUUUAUGAUUAAAUGAUGUGUUUUAAUUUGAUUGGCUCAAAAUUUUUGUAAUAGAGUAAAUGGUUGGACAAAAAUGAUAAGGAGACCAAAGUUUAAGUACUGCUUUUAAUAAAUAAAUAAAAAUGCUUAAAUACUUGAAGCUUUAAAUUGUCAAUUCUCAUAGUCCGAGUGAAUGUGGCCAAAAUUAAUUGCACCAACCUAUUUUAAUUUCUCCUCAAACUUUAAAAUAUUUUAAUUAUAUAUUUAAACUAUCCAUGCUCCGUUUUUAAAUUAAUUAAUUUAACCGUUACAUAGAACGUUAAUCUUAGUCAACAUAAUUUAAAAUAAAAAAAAUUUAAAAAUAAAUAGUGUAAAGUUGGAUGUUGUAAAAGACAACAAAUCUUACUAUAUUAAAUAUAAAAAUUUUGAUUUUGAGGUUUUCCAAGUUUUUACAAAGAGUAUCAUUCACUCUUUCUCUCUUUUUGUUUUACUUUAUUUUUAGUUUUAAAUAUUAAAAGUUAUAUGGAAAAAUUUUGCUUUUCUUUAAAAAUUUUAUAUUAAAUUAUAUGACACAUAAGAUUUUACGUGUCAUUUAAUAGUUAAAUUAACGGUUUCAAUAAUGGAAGUACCCAAUUAAUAUAAUAUUGAUAAUUUAAAGACUAAUUUAAAAUGAGUCAUAAUUUAGGGAUGUUUGAUGCAACUAACUAAUAAGUUCCACAUUUUUAAUUUUUAUAAUUAAGAUAAAUUACUAUAUUAACGUGGCAAAUGUUUUCUAGUGGCCUUCAAUUCUUUUUUUCUUUUUUUUAAGUCUAUUUGCUUUAGUUUUUUAAAAAUUAAAAUUUUUAUUAUGUAUUUCCAUAUAUAGAUAAUUUCUACUCGAAGUAAUAAUUUUAAAAAAUAAAAUAAAUGAUUUUACAUAAAAACCAUUUUUUAUGGAAAAAUAUUAAGAAUGCUUUAGUACUAAACUAUAUAUGGUUUUCUUCCCUUUUUUUUAAUUUUUUAAAAUUUUUCUAAUAAUCGAGUCAAGUGGUUUCAUGUAUUCAAUUAAGAGUUACUUUGAUUCGCGUUAGGGGUGUGCAUAAUUCGGGUAAAACCGAAAAAAUUCGGUUAAUCAACCGAAUUCAAUUAAUCGGUCGGUUAACCGAAUUUUUUCGGUCGGGAGUCGGUUAAUUUUUUUAUGAUUUUUCGGUUAACGGUUAAUUCGGUUCGAAACCGGUCGGUUAACCGAAAAUUUUCGGUUAACCGAAAAAUUAAUAAAUAAAAUUAUCCAACCCAGCCCAAACUCAAUUACCCAACCCAAUUACCCAACCCAAUAAAACUAAAACUAAAGUUUACCCAAUUACCCAAUCCAAUAAAACUAAAACUAAAAGACAACCCAAUUUACUAAAGUCUAAAACUCAAUUUACUUUAAUAAUUUAUAAAUUUUUUAAAUUUUAAAAAUAAAAAAUAAAAACAAUUUGGGUAAUUCGGGUAUUUUUCGGUAAUUCGGUUAAUUCGGGUAAUUCGGGUAAUUUUUAACCAAAAAUAAAAAAUACAUAAUUUUCGGUUAAUUCGGUUAACCGACCUUAUUAACCGAAAAAAUUUCGGUUCGGUUAAUUUUUUUUAAAAAAAAUCGGUUCGGUUAACGGUUAAAAUUUUUGGAAGGUCGGUUAACCGAAUGAACACCCCUAAUUCGCAUUCUUUCUAAAUUUAAAAUUGAGUUUUUCUACUUUUAUUCCAAAAAAAAUUAUUUUUUUAUUUUUAAAAUUUAAAAUUUUAAAUUCAAUUGUUAAUCUGUAAAAAAAAGUUAUUAAAUUUAAAUUUAUUAUAAAAUCAUUUUUUAAUUGUAUGGCUAUGAAGUGAAUUUUUUUAUUAUUUAAAAAUUUUAUAUCCAUAAAUUUAAAAAAAUUAAUAAUGUUAAUAAUUUGAAUUGAAUUUUAAAAUAGAAAUAAAUUAUUUAUGAUAUUUUAAAAUAUUAUUUCAACUUAUUUGUCUUGUUUAGGGGUGUAAACUAGUAUAUAAUGGAGGUGCGUAUUGCAAUAUCAGAACAACGACACAACACAAAACAAACCGAAACACACAAAGCUUAGCUACGUACGUACACCAUCACCAUGACUGCCAAUUCAACCCUGCUAGCAACACAAUGCGCGGCUGUUGUGGCCGUCCCACAGCGGUGCCAUCCCCCCUCUAGAUUUGCCACUGGGUACCAGCAGCUUCGUACAAAUUUGGUAACCACCAAAACAUACAAACCUACAAUCAUGGCUGCCGGUGCCUUGGUCUCCAAACCAUCCCAACUUCAUGCAAAUUUGGUACCCAAAAGAAACAAAAUGGUGGUAUUUGCCUAUCCAGAAACAAAAACAAUAGAAAUCUCAACCAAUGGCUUUCCAGAAUUCAUUAAAUGCAUAAUUAAUAACGAAAGUAAGAAAACGCUAGAACUGGAUUCGACUGAACCAUUUCUGGGGUCUGAGGAAUUUGAGAAGAUCG